GACCCAAUCCUGUCCUAAACUUGUUUUCGUGGUGAGACUAGUAUGUUGUGCUACAAAUGUGCAAAAAUGAUCGUAAUUUCUCAAGACGACAUCAAUGUUGAAGAAAUUGGACAGAAAAUUUUUUGAGCGAGCAUUAACCUCGCGGAUUACUGCGCAUGUUCUUUGGCCCAUUUUUCUCCUCUUAAACAAAAAAGAUUGAGGAUUAUAGAAUAGUAGACUUCAUAAGAGUUUAGCGGACUCUAACUUUUUCAAAACGGGAGUCCAUGUUUAACCAUUCAAACACAGUAUGAUCCUUGGUAUAUGAUUUGAACGACCUCAUAAUUGUCUAAUAGUUCCAAAUAAUAUAGACAAUCUGCAGAAACAAACAAUGUUGUCUUGAUUCUUCCAAGAUCUCAAUCACAAUAUAAGCGAAAAAUAUGGAAAGAAAUGGGUAAAAUACAUCUAAGAUCUACGUAGAAGUUGAAACAACUUUCUCAAGUUCAGAACUUCAACUAGAUAUCUAACUCCACCAAUAACAAUGACAGGCUCUGUUAUGCUAUUCCUUUUGUGUUAUUGUCUGAUUAUUAUUUAUUACGUUAUCCAGCACCAGACAAAAGCACAAAAUAAGAUCUUAUUGAAUAAAUUUUCAGUUGGACAAUCAUCACAAUAUAGCCAGGACUUAAGUCCUUUGUGUUGUUACUCAAAAGAUCAUCAUAUAACCUGAAAUGCAAAUUACUCUUCUAUUGCAAUUAGCUUAAAAUUUUCUACUAUUACAUGAAUCCAGUAAAUGGACGCCGGUAAAUGGACGCCGACGCGGUAAAUGGACACCGACGCGGACCGUCUGAUCCGGCUUUGAAGGGUCCAUGGGGAUAUCCUCUACCUCAUCUCCAGUCUCUAGCCUCUGGGCUUCUCGGUUUGCUGAGGAUCGAUACAAUCGAUUGAAAGGAUAUUGGACCUCUUUCCGGACCUGGGCUCGGGGGCCGACGUAGAAGUGGCUUGCAAAGUAGCGAGGUAACACUCUCGCGCUGCACAUACAUCGCUGCUAACCUCGACGACUCCUGUUGGGGUUGGGAACUUAAAGGUUAGGUGGUAUGUGGAAUACACCGCACAAGAGCAUUAAGCGUGGGUCGGCCCAUGAGCAAGUUGUAGGGAGAAUCGGUUUUGACCAACGAAGUUGACAGGAAUGGUUCGGCAGCGAGCGAGGGUGGCGACCCACCGUCACUGUUAGGGUCACCACCCCUUCUGAAUAUACGACGUGUCCCCGAACCCUACUAGGGCAUCCUAACGGCGGACAAUUGUUUCUUGUCAGGUUCAAACUUUCAAAAGUUCGGAGAUACAUGACGUCCACCGAACUUCUCGGGUCAACGUAGACCUUCUUAACGAUGUAAUUGUUGAUGAGGAUCUCGAUCACCAAAGCUUCAAGGCUGCUCGAGGCGGCAGGAACGGGGUCGCUGGGGCCAUAAGAUAUCACUUCGGACAAGCGUGAGAUCGGCUUGGCCUGCUCAGUGUUGGCCUGCCAGUAGGUCCUCUUCUGGGAGUUCUGGCUGUUCCCUCCCGUCGGACCUCGGCAAUGGCGUUGAUGACCCAACGAUGUUUGCGUCCAUAUCCUAACCCAUGGCCUGAGGACUCGUCUGUGGGAGGUUUUUUCGUCUCCCUGGGGUCCUCACGGGGUCGGCAACUGCUACUCGACCCUCGUCUGUCUUCUCGACGCCGAUCACCCUCGGUCACCACGUCGAGAGUCGGCGCGUUGGUAACCUCGUCUUGGCGGAUAAACUGCUUCCAGUGUCCUUGCUUAAUGAGGCGCUCAAUCUCCCUCUUGAGGUCAUUGCAGUCCUCCGUCUUGUGCCCGAUGUCCGGUGGUACAAGCAGUAGAGGUUGGAGUUCCUCUUAUCUCUACUCCCAGCCAUCUUUGAAGGGACAAGCCCGAGUUCUUCUGCUCCAUGACGUAGAGCACUCGGAUCGGGCAGUGUUCAAAGGCGUCAGGUCGGACUCGGGGAUAGAUGUCUUCCCCGUAGAUAUCUGGUCGAACACAUUUCGACGAUCCCGGUUGGGGCUUUGAAAGCCACCAAUAGCGCCUACCUCACUUAGGCCGGAUUCCUUCUUCCUUUUGGAUCGGUUCCCGAGCGAGUUGCUUGGACCUCCUUCUUCAUUCGAUGAGAACUUCGGCUUGUAUGCCUUUUUCGACCUUCAACCAGAGUUCAUAGAGUGUACCAGGAUACUUCUUGUGUAUCCCUGUGUUAAAUACCCUGGCCACGAGUCCAUGGUGAACGUAACUAUAGUAACCUGUUCAUUAGGAUCAGGUAUCUGCAUGCUUUCCUCAUUGAAUCUCCUGUACAUAGGACCGAAGUGAUUCUCCGGAGUUCUGCUGCAUAUUCAGCAGGUAAGACGAGGUCCUAGUUGUGGGUCUGAAGGACACGAAUCGGUGAAGAAAUCUCUCCAUGAGCUCUCCUAGGAUGGAUAUGCUCCUAGGUUCCAGACUCCAGAACCAUUUUCGAGUUGUCCCCUGAAGGAAUACUAGAAAAGCCCGACAUAUAAUGGGGUCGGGAAUGCAAUAUAAUCGAAAUGCCGAAAUGAAAACGUGAAUGUGAUCUUCAGGAUCACCUCGGUCGUCGUAUGGAUUUAUUGAGGGAAGCUUGAAGUUGGGAGGAAGCCUUUCCUCGUUGAUUUCAUCCAGUGAAGGGUGGGGCCCUCAUAUAAUCCACCCACAGCCUCCCGAGAUGUCGAGCCUCUUCUCCGCUUCACCUCCCUAGCAAGUCUCGGAGAACGCCUUUGUGAUAGAGGCGAUUUUGGAAGUGACCUUAGAAGAGACUCGUUUCGGGGCGCUUCUAAUGGAGUGUCUUCCCUUAGAUUCCUCAUCAGAGGAGUCUUCAGGGGACCCAUCUGAUUUUCUUUUAGAGGACUCGACCUUUUGUUUGCUUUGUCUCUUGAAAUAUCUUCCCAACUCUUCAAAGAUAUUGGGGUUUUCACGUACAAACUCGGUCAUACGAGCUAUGGCUUCUUCAUUUGCGAGUUGAGUUCUAACAAACUCCUGUCCUUCAGAGGCAUUCUCCUGUUGGGCGCGCAGCACUUUGCUCAGCUCCAAUGGCAAGAGCCUUCUUGCUCCUAGAACGCGUAGGUUUUAUCUUUUGAUGUUUUCGUUCCCACAAAACGGCGCCAAUUAAAGAGGUGAUUUCUGACCUCACGAAGUGAUUACUGAAGUCGGAGGUGCCCUGGCCUGAAGAAAUCAAAACGCCCGGAUCACCUGCUCUCAGAUACUAAGAAGAGAGGCUGAAUCCCCCGGUAUAGCUCCGAAACUUAAGUUAGUUUGAAUAAGAGUGAGUGUUAUCAGAGAGAGAGUUUUAGCUUUUUUACCAGAGAUUUGGCAUCCCCCCUCUCGAAGGGAGUUUCUGAUAUUUAUAAGAGGCACGAGAGAGGGACUACAGGUAAAGGUCCUUAGAAAUCCGAUACAGGCAGUGUAUCCAAUUGAUUUGAGUAAUCCCUAUCGAGGUCAGGCGGCGCAUGUCAGAGUAGCCAUCUGUCAGACGUCAGGUGUGUCAGAUGUCACAUCUCAUCCCAUUCCGGCUCAAACCCUUAGAUGCCACCUCGACGUCACGAGAGACGACUCGCACCGAAACGAGAACUCAGGUCGGGACCACCUCAGCGAUUAGGCGAAUGAGAUGGCACCCACAGGGGUAGCAGAAGGAUGAAACCCCAGGUAGUUCGAGCCGAAAUGACCAUCCUCAUAUUUUAUUAUUGUUGUUGUUGUUGUUAUAAAUUUUCUUCCGUUAAAUCUUUCAAUUUGGUAAAUGUAAUAAAAAAAUCAUUAGAACAAAAAAGGACUUCAUAAGAGUUUAGCGGACUCUAGCUUUCUCAAAACGGGAGUCCAUGUUUAACCAUUCAAACACAGUAUGAUCCUUGAUAUAUGAUUUCAACGACCACAUAAUUGUCUAAUGGUUCCAAAUAAUAUAGACAAUUGCAGAAACAAAUAAUGUUGUAUUGAUUCUUUCAAGAUCUCAAUCACAAUAUAAGCGAAAAAUAUGGAAAGAAACGAGUAAAAUACAUCUAAGAUCCACGUAGAAGUUGAAACAACUUUCUCGAGUUGAGAACUUCAACAAGAUGUCUAACUCCACCAAUAGCAAUGCCAGGCUUGUUAUGCUAUUGCUUUUGUUUAUUGUCUGAUUAUUAUUUAUUACGUUAUCUAGCACAGACAAAAGCACAAAAUGAGAUCUUAUUGAAUAAAUUUUCAGUUGGACAAUCAACACAAUAUAGCCAGGACUUAAGUCCUUUGUGUUGUUACUCAAAAGAUCAUCAUAUAACCUGAAAUGCAAAUUACUCUUCUAUUGCAAUUAGUUUAAAAUUUUCUACUAUUACAUGAAUAACAGUAUUACAAUCAAAGUCAGGCUGCAAAAUCUCGACCCAUGAAUUGUAGCACAGGCAAAAUUUCCCUCAGUCACCUUGAAUCACAAGAAGAAGAAAAUGAAAGUAAAACCAAUACCAUCGCUCAUAAUUCAUCAAACCCUUCAGUUUUCCUUUUUUCCUCUUCUUCUUUCCACUCUGCUCUGCAGAAUCACUUCUCUCUCCACCAUCAACCUCCCUGCUCUUCCUCUUCUUCCCUUUUUCGCUGCCAACAUUUCUCCAUCAUCUCACCCUCAUUCUUUUUUUCUUCUUCUUCUUAUCCUUACUCUUGACACCUUCAACUCUCCAUCCAUGUCUCUUUCAAUUUCCACAAUCUCUUGCUUAGUAUUAUUCUUAACCUUAUCUAUUUCCUCUCUAUUUCACCUCUCCCAAUCUUCUCCUGUUUCUUCUUUUUCCUUUCCUCCCCAACCCCACUGUCAGGGCUUCGCUCAAUCUGUUCUCUCUGCUCACUCCUCACCUCCGAUUGGCUAUUUUUCUUUCCUUUUUUGCCAACAUUUUCUCCAUCCUCCUCAUCCUUCUUUUUCUAUUCUUAUCCUUCCUCUUCACACUUUCACCUUCAACUCCAUCAAUAAUGUUCCUUUCAACUUCACAAUCUCUUGCUUAGCCUUAUUCCUACCCUCAUCUCUUUCCUCUGUAUCUUCACCUCUCACAAUCUUUUCAUGUUCUUCUUUUUCCUUUGUCCCCAACCCCAUCAGGGCUUUGCUCAAUCUGUUCUCUCUCCUCAUUCCUUAACUCCGAUUGGCCAGUUCUCUUAUCUUUUUGUUCUUGUCCGAACUUCUUGUACCUUAACUUUGUCAAGCCUAUCUGCUUCUUGGCCAAUCUUCAACAAGCCUUCAGUGCUCGGCUCAAAUUCGCGAUUUUUCUUAUGUUUUCCCUUCUUUUCCGACCUUUUCACGGCGUUAACUUCAUCAAUCCCUCCUUUAUCCUUCUCAAUCUUUAACGGUUCUUCAUCAUUUACCUCUAAUUCGCGAUUUUUCUUCCGCUUGCCCUUACUUUCCACAUUCUUGAUCUUUUCUUCAUCUGGAUUUUUGUCAACGGUGGCUAAAGUUUCAAUCUUUGUAUCAACAACAAGAGGUUGAGAUGCCUUACGUUUGCGAUUCGAAUGGGGCGCUUUUAGCUCCUUGUGGAAUUGAACCAAGUUGUGAAGGCAUCAGAAGCGCGUUUCAGAUACACGCGGACGGCAUCGGAAGCUCCGUUCUCCUCUUCUAGGGAGGCGAAGUGUGGAGGGUUUUUGCUGCUGAAGAUAGAGAGACUGACUUUGUUGAUACCACUUGGCCUGUGACAGUCUUCAUUGGAAUUUGACAAUUUUGAUACUUUUUGGGGUUAAUUCAGCUGCGAUUUAGGGUUUAAGGGGUUUUCGUCGGGGUGGCGAUCGUUCAAAAAGCGGUUGGCGGUCGGGUUGAGAUUUGGAUAUAAUAGAAAAUCCCGCUGACUCGAACUCGAAAAUUUUGGAUUGGAUUAGCGAGUGAUAUGAAAUGAUUCAAAAUUUAAUUUUAAUUUAUUAAUUUAUCACUGUAUUUUUUUAUAAAACCAAUUUCACACAAGAUUAAUUACAUAAUCAAGUAAUAAAAUUUUAAAUAAAUAAUUCUAAAUCAAAUAUAAAAUAAAUAAAAUAAUAUAAAAGUAAAAAAUAAUAUAAUACAGUAUUUAUUCAAAUGUAAUAAUUUCAACUUCACACAGGUUAAAUAUAAUUCAUUUAAGAUUAAGUGAUUAAUGUCUUUGGAAAAAAGAAUAACUUAGUUUAGUUAGAUAAAAUAAUUUUUAUGUUUAUCAAAUUAUUUUUAUUCAUAAACGGAUUACGGAUCACCUACGGGUUGAUUCGAAUUCGACUCGUUUUCUUUUCAGGAUUCAUCGGGUUUGACCCGAUUUUGAUCCGAACCCGCAAGACCUCAAUAAAAUCCAUUAAUUUCGUUAAAUUCAUGUGCGUGUCAAAAAUUGCCAUCGCUAGGUUUUCGAAGGUGAAGUCAAACGGGGUCGAAGACAAUGACAUUUGGUUUGGGACCCUCAGCCAACCGGAAUCUCAAACGGAUCAGACCCAAUAAAACAAGAACUGCUAAAGCAAGGCAAAAAUUUUUCUGAAUGAAAAUGUAACACGUUAAAAUAAAUUUCCCGCUGCAAAAAUAGGAAAUAGGAAACUUAGGAGUCAAUAGCAUGUACAAGUUUGAUAAGACCAUUGAAAUGCACACGAGAUCUUCGGUCUUCCUCAAAAAAAAAAGUAUACGUUGUCAUACGUACAAACAUGAAUGUGAUACAUAUUUACAUAUAACAAUUGAUUUAGGAUUCUCUUGAUGGAAUACACUUGAGUAAUAACAAGUAAUACUGAUAUCUUGCUCAAUUUCAUGUUAGCAUCACAUAUUAUAAGAUACAGAAUAAAAUAUAAAUUUGUGUUGAAUUAUCUUCUAAACUUCACCCUUACAAAAUGGAGAAAAAUUAAAACAAACCAAAGGGGGAGAAAGGGAAAAUUUUCAAUUAUAUCAUGUCAAUUGGUCAUUCUUCUCAAUAAUAAAUAUAAAACUGUUUUCAACUUUCUUACAAAAUAAUAGAUAACAUGUAUCUUAAAAAAUGUUAUUACUUUUCUCCUAUUCUUAAUGUAACAACGUUAAUUUUGUAGUUAUGAAUGGACUGAAUAUACAACGUAUGAAGGGAAUGUUUGGUUGAAUGAUAAGAUAGAAGAGAUUAUGAAUGAGAAGUUUUGAAAAUAAAGUUAUAUAUCUUACUUACACAAAGUUUUAAAAAAAUACAAAGGUGUAUGCUUGUGUUUAUUUACUUAAAUUACACAUUUAUCUUGUUUCAUGUUUUCCAUUUACUCAAAAUCUUACAUUGAUACCUUCCGCAUCUUUUUCAUCUUGAAAUUCUUAUUAUUUUAUCUAAAGAAAGCUACUAUUAGAAAACUUCCUCCUCAAUUUUCAUCUUGAAUUCUUAUUUUUUCUCCUCUUAAUAUUCCUGUUAUUUUCUCUAAAGAAAGCGAGCAUUAGAUUUACUCUUUGGAGGGUUAGAAGGCAUCUAAACUCCUUACAUAUUAAACUUCCAUAAAAUUUCAAUAUCAAAGAUUAAAAUGAACACAAAAAUUUAGAAAAUUCAUUAGCUAUUUUUGGUACAAAGUCCUUUUAUCUUUCUAUUUGCUUAAAAGGGGGUGAGGAAAAUAAGAAUAACAAAUUUAAUGGCAAUUCCGUUUGUUAGACUCGAUCCCGCAACCGCCUUCGACGGAGGAAAAAUGAGCAAUCGAACCUUGCAACGUUCUCACUCCACCAGCACACCGUCUUGAAAACUAGGUCAACCGUUCGCACAAAUUUUUAGUUCAGCUAUUGACUUUAUAUGCUGUCUCUGCCAGCUUUAUUUAUCAGUUCUGCAACCGCUGAGAAACUCUAAAACCCUCCCGCCUAAUUCUUAAACCUCAGUUUUUUGCGUAAAUUAGCAAACAUUAGGAAAAAUGACGAGGAUAGCGCAAGCUCCGAUUCAAUUCACAAAACAGCCCUACAUUGAAGAUGUCGGCCCCCACAAAAUGUAACUGAUCUCUACUGCUAUUGCUCUAUUUUUUUUGGGUUAAAUCUUAAAAAGUGAAAUUCCAACGUGUUUGAUAAUUUCUUUAGUUUUUUUUUGUGGAAAUUUGUGAACAGAGAAAGUAUUCAGUUUUCUACAUUCGGAGAAUCCGAGAUUCUGAAAGCAGCUGAAGUACAAGUAUACCGCGGUGUAUAUUAUGAUUCUGCGAAAAAGCCUUGGGAGAAUGGCUUAUUAGACCCUCAUAUGGUAUCUUAUUUAACGUUCAUUGUUUCUUUUAACAGUGGUGAACUAUUUUUGCGUACGAUGAACUGAUAGCCGUGAUUCAUUUUCCACAUUUUCUAUCUGAUGAGAAGACAAUGUAUCUGCUGUUGUUAUUUCACAUUUAAAAGAAGAAGAGAAGGGGAGUUCGAAUAAAUAGCAUUUUCUGGGGAGCUGAUGAUGCAUUAGUUAUUUUUUAGGUCUCUUUUGCGGCUAGAGUUUGUUUAAUCUGUCAAAUUAUGCGAUAGGAAUUGCUUUGUUCAGUAAAUUACUUGUAAUAGUCUAUUGAUAAGGGGAUCACUUCCAGUGACUUUCUAAUUUUCUAACAAGCUAAAUCAAUGUUGUUUUUGAAUGUAGGUACUGCUGCUGUUGUUUCCAAUUUAUUUAUAGUUCUGGAGUGUAUUAAUUUAUUGGUUACAUUUUUGAGUUUCUGAAAUUGAUAUUAGAAAUCUUCUGAAAGGUGCUGUUUGGUCCAGGGCCCCGGAAACAAGAAUGGAAUUUGUGAAACAUGCCAUGGGAACUUUAGAGAAUGUCCAGGGCACUACGGAUAUUUGACUCUUGCUCUACCAGUUUACAAUGUUGGAUACUUGAUUACUGUCAUCGACAUCUUGAAGUGCAUUUGCAAGGUAGAUGCUUAUAGUUCUACUUAUAUGUUUGUGCAUAGUGUUUACUUUGACGCUGCAAAUCUCUCUCUCUCUUCUAUCUCUCUCUCUUUUGGAUUCAAGUUGAUGCAAAGUAUACUUCUGAUUUGUUGUUGGUUCAUCAUUUUGUACGUAGGAUUGACUUGAAUAAUUAUGGAGAGUGCUAGGAUGACAUUCUUUUGUCUGAAAAAAAAAAUUCUUUUACCAAUCUGCCUUCUAUUUGCCACUUGUGUCCUUAUGUGCCCAAAACAAAUCUCCUUCUCCUUGCACUCAGAACACGCAAAGAGGUGCUGUUUCUAGAAGCGACUACUUCUGCACGCAGUAAAUGCUAAAUUUGCUAAUGGGAGUUGUGGCGACCCCACUUUCCCCUAAGGCGAACGAGAGUUGGCGGGCCAUCUGCCUAGCUCUCGCCAGGAUUCACGCAAGCAAGCUAGCAAAAAUCCUUCCGAAGUAUAACCUAAUCUAUUACACAUCGAUUUCCUCCAAAAUAAGCCGGUUUCUAGAUCACAUUAACUUCAGAGAUAACAGUGCCUUAAGAUCCAACGUCGAUUCUUAAAAUAGCUUCCCGAUACAACCCAAGAAACAAAACAUCAAUUCAAAUACAUCCUUACAAGCCAAGUAACAAAUUCAUACAAGCCACAUACAAAUCAGGGUUUACACUUUUCAACUUCAAGUGGCAACCUAACAAAACUACAAUGUUUAAUUCGAACUACAUGCUUAAAGUACAAGUAGAUCUCAAGUCUUCCUCAGUUGUCAGAACCUGUAAAAGAAAAACCACAACGUGGGAUGAGCUACACAGCCAGUGAGGUUCCAAGACGCUCUAACAGUUCAAAUAGGUCAAGUAAGUUGUGCAUAUCAUAUGCAUGAUUCGAGGUUACACAAUGGCAUGUUACCAUGAGGUGAUAAUCAUUACACGGGUAAUUGCUACUUGAAAACACAUGUAGAACUAGUACUUUUGGAAUGAAUGGCCAUAUAAUUAUAUUUUCAUAAAUUUUCAGUCAAACAAAUAGUGGCUCGUCCAACUAGAAGAACAUUACAAGGAUUGCUUCAUCUCAGAGGUUAAUGCUCAUGAGGAGUCUUACCCGAGAAUGCCAACUAGGAGAGCAAUAAUAUUAUUAAUAGUAAAGCAAGCACGAAAGGAUACGGUGUUCCAGUGGAACUUUGUCGGUCAUCGGCACCUUAUAACUCCCGGAUCCCACGGUUGACUGGCCAUCACCUUAUCCCUCCAGUGGUAGUACUCGAGUAUACCGAAACGGUUGUCCAGGGUUCCAACCUACCCGACCGAGCCCAGUCCUGGCUCGAGUAGGUCAGUAACCGAGGCAGGGCCAAGUUCAGCUUAUAGCUUACAACAUGCACAGGUAAUCAAGUAAUUCGACAAAAGUAAAAUUCAUCAUUUGAAUAGGUCGAGUGAGGUAAAGUACACACUCGCCUAACAAUGAUGGACAACUUCAUAUAACAUGUGAUUCAUGAUAAUCAAGUAAUCAAGUGGACACUUAGCACGUAAGCAAUACAAGUUGAUUUCAUGGGAGCAUAUAAUUCACGGAUAUCGAAUAAUCAUAUAGAUUAGAAAUCAUGUGAGCAAAUAGUCAGGUAAUCAGGUAGUCAUGUGGGUUGGUAAACGGUUAACGGUUAACGGUUGACGGUUAACGGUUGAGUAAUGACGGUUAUUUGGCAGGCAUUUGCCAUAUUAAUAGGCCAUCAUUGGCCAUUAUCCCAUUUUUACCAUGUGAGAGUCGAGGAGAUUCACUCCAACGACGUUACUACAUUUAGAUUCACGAGAAAAUGUUUCACGCAAGUCACCACUCGAACGGCUAGUGUGAUAAAGUACACACUGCGCACUUCGAUGGAUCGGAACUCAUUUUCCAAAUUGUCACAUAACGAGUCACAAGAGCACUUUAACCAAAUAAGCAUAAAACAAGCAGGCUAAGCACGUAUUGAGUUUACAAGAUCAUUUGAUAGGGUUAAUCAUUUAACCAAUUCAUGUCGAUAUGCAAUGCAUAUAUAUUUCUUAAAUAGGCACGAGUAUGGUAAAUACUUAACGAUCAUGAAAUGAGCAUGUCCUAGACUUACUCAAUUACGUAUUCCUAUAUGGAACACUCACCUAGUCAAACAAGCGCAAUAGGUCUCAAACAAGCGUUUUAGGAGUCCGCUCCGAGUUCCUCUUGGAGAUCUCCUCGAUUGCCUGAGCAAACAAUAAUUCAAGUACCACUCAAUAUCGCUAGAAAUUCUCUAGUUUUCGAUGAAAGAUUGUACGCUAGUGAAAUCUAAGAAAUUAACGCGGAGACGAGCCUAAGAAUUCGUGUAACUCGAGGUUCACAAGUGGGUUUUAAAAUACAAGACAAAUCUGAUUUCCAUCUCUGGAUUCAAAUGUAAAACAAUCAAAUGAUAUUGACAGAAAUGAAGAGUUCGAAACCCCUUAGUUUCCUUUAAGUUAGAAAAUUCCAGAUUUAACAAGUAAUCUUUGAAAAAUCAUAUCUUACUCUCUACAAGCCCAAAAUUGGAAAACUUGGUACUAUUGGAAACCUCUUUGAAAGUACUAAAAGUCCCUAGAAUACACUUUUCCAUGAUUCUAAAUUGGAAGAUAGUCAAAAAUGGGCUCAAAGUUACUGUUUUGGUUCAUAAGGCAGAUUAAAGUUGGUUUUGGCCAACUUUGGAAUUUCGGCAAAAUUCACUUGUUUGGAACUAGCUUUUGAAAUUUUCAACCCUAUAGUGUUGUAAUCCAAGAGUAUAACAAAACAAACGGAACGAGAAACGGGGUUUUGAGCACCAAGAUACGGUAGCUCAAAGUUACUAAAUUCCCAUGUGAAACAUGGGUUUUUCAAACUCGAGUCAUGAACUUUGGUAAUUUAUUUGACCCAUGAACGGUCAGAAUAACACCAUAAUUAUAAUACUACCAUAUAAGGGUUACUCCUCUACCAAAUUUCAUGAAAAAUAACUUCGGAAAGGUGGUCAAUCAAACACCUAAAUUUCGCAAAUACUAAGACAAAACUGCCUUGAACCUUUUGUUUUUCCAUUUCAGACAUUUGGUCAAAGAAAGAUUCCUCCAAACCUGGUUCAUUUGUUUAGGCAAAACUUAAAGAAUGUUCAUGGUACAUUUGGUAAGUGUUUAGCAUCAAAAUAUUCAGUUAGCAAGACUUUGCCAAACCUUGCAUCAAAUCUGUCUAAAAAAUCAGGGUUUUAAGGGCAGAGCAGGUUUCAUAUUUUGAUCACAGAUCACUCAAAUUAACUCAGAAUUUGGCAUGGUUUAAGGCGUUAGAAAACACAUUCAUAGAGCUAUAAUUUCAUAGAAGAAAUCAUUUGAAAUUUGGCACACAACUAGCUCGAAUUCGAGUCACAAGUUGCAGCCUCAGCAUUUUGUUCUUGUAAAACAGAGAGACAGAACAGCCGACUUAAAAUAGUUGGUUUGGCUCACAUACAUGGAACCAGAAUGUGAAUUUUAUAUCGUCGGAAAGGUUGGAAUGUCUAGUUUCAAAUGCCGCUAACGGCACUCGAUUUCGACAUCGGAGUUAAAAUUAUGGCCGAAACACGAAAGCUGGUCAGAGCAUUUCGGAAAUAGUUCCAGAUUUACUAGCUUUGUUAAAUCGAUUUAUUUGACCAACCAAACCUCAAUAUUUUUCAAUGAAAACCAUAUACAACAUAUCAACAUGAUAUACAAGUCAUGAAACUCUCAAAAUUUUGCAAAAAGGGGUGCGAUUAAAACAGGGCAAAUCUGAACAUUUUUGAACAAUGCAUCUUUUGGAGUCUAGACUAGCUAGGUAUCAUUAAUCUACCUAUUUAAACACUAAACUAGCAUUGUAUCCAUCAUCAAUCCAAGGGUGGGAGUUCAUAGAGCCACCAUCAAAAUUUUCCGACACGAAAUAAAACAAAUAACAUGUAAUUUUAGCAAAUAAUUCCACCACAAUAAAUCUGUCAUCGGCUAAACAGAAUUUCCAGCAGCUAAUUGGUCAUAAAACCAACUUUUUACUCGGCUAAUACAUGAUAUUAAGUACUCAAAUCCGACAAGCAAAUAUUUGACUAGCUAAUCAGAUCAUCCAAGUCAUUGUGGGAAUUCAUAGAGCCCACUCACCAAGUUUCCAUUAAAACUCAAAAGAGCCACCAUCGGCUAAGCUGGGAAAAAAAAUUGCAGCAGCUAUGUUUCAACAUUUUUGGUCAAUUUAUCCAACGGAUCAAGUACUUUACAACUGAAUAUCUUACAAGACUUAAGACACAUAUAUUUCAUGUAUUUCUAAACAUUGUUUGCUAAUGAAAAAUUCCAGAAACAACUGCAAAUUCUGGUUUCACUCCCUUGGCAAGUCACGUAAAUUUUCCAGCAUUUACUCAGUCAUAAACAAAAUUUUUCUUCGGUUUCAAUCCACAAUUCAACUUUUCCUCAGAUUUUCUUCCAUUAAGCUUCACUUAAUACUUAAAGCUAACAAUCUAUAUGCAAUUCAUAACAAAAUUUUCCAUUUGACAGCAAUUACAAAUGCAAACAAACAUGAAGUCUCUCGGCUAUUCCAGAAAAUUUCCAGCAGUUAAGUUAGACGCAAAUCUGGAUUUUCUUCAGCUAAAACCUUGUAUUAAGUACUCAAAACCAACAUGCAUGACUAAUUAAUGGAAAUUACUAACAGCUCUGGUUUAAAUCAAGUUCGGACAGCAACUACUAUCAUCCACAAUUCCAGAAAUUCCUACGACUAUUCUCGGAUGAUCUUGCAUGCAACAGAUUUUCUUGUUCAUCUUUAUUUCUUGCUUAACCGAGCAAAUGAGCUGCAUUCAAAGUUUAAUCAUCUUGUCUUAAGUUAGGGAAACACAUAUAUACAUUCAGAUUGCAUCAGGGAAACAGAAUUAAAGCUGCAUCUCCAUUUCAGCUUUUCGGCAAAACCAUUUACUUCCAAAACAGAUUUUUCUAAUGCUUUGAUUUCAUCAUCCGAUUGCACAAACAAUACAUGCAUGCCCCUAGAUGGCUCAAUCUACCUCUUGAUCAACCUAAAAUGGUCCAGAAAUUACCUCACAGUGCAACUCACUCACACGACAGAGCUGAAUUUUUUUUCUUCCUCUCGCACGCGCGCAAGGCCUGAAGUGCUGGUUCUGGUUGCAAUAGUUGCGGCUGGGACUGAUGAAGGUGGUGACGAUCAGCAGCUCCCACGACUUCCACUUGCUCUCUCCUUUCUUCCCUCAAGCUCACGGACAGACCAGAGAAGAUUCAGCUCGCGAUUUUUCUUUCUUUCCUCUCGGCUGCAAGAUGCAGCUCACUCUCUCUCUCUCGUCGAUGAUCACGAGGUGAAGCUCUCUCUCUCUCACUCUUGGUCAAUGCUCACGGUGUGAGGAAAUGGAACUGGUUGUGCGAGGUUGAAGUGAAGAAAUAGGUGCGGUUAAGGGGUUGGGUGUGCAAGAGGGUGGAGUGUGAAGAUGUUUUGUGAUAUAGGAAUGAAGGUGGAGUGGGAUGGUAUCGCGGUUUUGUGAUAUGAAACGGAAAGGAAAUGGUUUGCGGUUUGUGUUAUGAAUUGGAGAGUAUGGUAUAAGGUGUCGUGGUUUAAGAGAAAGGAUUGCGUGUGUACGAGUAGGUUGCGUAUCGAAUUGGAUAAAAUGUAAUUGGUUGAUAGUGCGGUGAUUAGAAUUCUUGUCAGAGGGUUCGUUUGGUUUGCAUGGAAAUGUAAGGGCAUUUUAGUCUUUUCACUUUGCUCCCUAACCUCAAUUUAAUUUCUCAAAUCCAACUUAAUUCUAAAAAUUAUCCCCAAGCGUGAUUUGAACGCCUAAAUAUACACUAGUAUACUUAAACCAUUUUUAUCGAAUAAUUAUCGAUUAAACUUGAAUAUUGGGAUUCCUAGUAAUUCUUAUAUUAUUUAGCGAUUAAAUUAAUUAUUAGAAUUUCCAAUUAUUAUUUCUCAAGGAAUAGAGUUAGUCUAACUCGAAAUUUAUCGAUUUAGUAAUGUAAAGUCAAGUGAAAUAAUAAUCAAAUCCAAGGAUGUCAAUAUGCACAUAAAAAUUAUUUUUACGUACUUAAUUGCGAACAAUUAAAAGUAAUACUAAAAAAAAUUAUCCAAGAAUAAAAGAAAUGCAAAUGAAAUAUGCACUAGUUUAUAUAUCCAUUUUUCAGGGUUCUCACAGGAGUCAUCUGUAGAAGCAGCUCUGAAUAGUUUAAGACUAUCAUCUUGGAAUGUUAAGAGGUUAAAAUGGCCUUCUCUCAUUUUUCUGUUGGGAUUGUAGCUAGUGAUAUGGUAUUUGGUAAGUUCUUCUAAUGAAAAUUUCAUCUGAAUUUUUGAGAUAAAGUUUCUUUCGGAAGUUUCCUUCCAUUACUAGGAGUCAAAACCCAAGAAUUUUUCCGAGGUGACUCCAAAAAUAACAUUUUUUGGAGUUUAGCUUCAUCCGAGUCUCUCGUAGGAUCUCGAGAACUUCCUUCAGGUCGGAUAUGAAGGUGGAGGUUUUCUGGCUCUUGAGGAGGAUGUCGUCCACGUAGGCUUCCACAUUCCUUCCUAUUUGGAAUUUGAAGGCUCGGUUUACCAAAACGCUGGUACGUGCCCGGCGUUCUUCAAUCCCAAAGACAUGGUAGUGUAGCAGUAUAACCUCGAUCUGUGUAGAAGACUGUCUUCUCCUUGUCUUCCUCGCUCAUCCCAAUCUGAUGGUACCCCUUAAAGGCGUCAAAAAAAACAAAGGAUCUCGUAACCCAUAACCGAGUCCACCAGGGUUUCGACUCGGAGUAAUGGGUAACAGUACUUGGGACAGGCCUUGUUCAGGUCGGUGAAAUCCACGCACAUUCUUCAGGUCCCGAUGUCCUUCUUGACCAUAACCGGGUUAGAUAACCACGUCGGGUAUUGAACUUCUUGGAUUAUCUUGGCGGGAAGGAGUUUGUCCACUUCUUCACCAGCGGCUCGGCUACGUUUCGGGCCGAGGUGCCUUCUCUUCUGCUGAAUCGGGCGUGCCUGAUGGUCUACAUUCAGCUUAUGUAUCAUGAGGUGAUGGGGCACACUUUGGAUCUCGUCGGCAGCCCAGGCAAAGACAUCCCGGUACUACUUGAGGAGACCCACUAUGUCUUUCUUGAUUGAAUCCGGUAAAUGGACGCCGAUGCGGACCGUCUGAUCCGACUUUGAAGGGUCCAUGGGAAUAUCCUCUAUCUCAUCUCCAGUCUCUAGCCUCUGGGGCUUCCUGAUUUGCUGAGGAUCGAUACAAUCGAUUGAAAGGAUAUUUGUCCUCUUUUCGGACCUGGGCUCGACGUAGAAGCGGCUUGCAAAGUAGCGAGGUAACACUCUCGCGCUGCACAUACAUCGCUGCUAACCUCGACGACUCCUGCGGGGUUGGGAACUUAAAACUCAGGUGGUACGUGGAAUAUACCACACGAAGAGCAUUAACCGUGGGUCGGCCAUGAGCAAGUUGUAGGGAGAGUCGAUUUUGACCAUAACAAAAUUGACAGGAAUGGUUCGACAGCGAGGGUGGCGACCCACGGUCACUGUUAGGGUCACACCCCUUCCGAAUGCACGACGUGUCCCCGAACCCUACUAGGGGCAUCCUAACGGCGGACACAACUGUUCUCUUGUCAGGUUCAAACUUUCAAAAGGUCGGAGAUACAUGACGUCCACCGAACUUCUCGGGUCAACGUAGACCUUCUUAACGAUGUAAUUGUUGAUGAGGAUCUCGAUCACCAAAGCUUCAUGGCUGCUCGAGGCGGCGGGAAUGGGGUCGCUAGGGCCAUAAGAUAUCACUUUGGACAAGCGUGAGCUCGGCUCAGCCUGCUCAGUGUUGGCCUGCCUAUAGGUUCUCUUCCGGGAGUUCUGGCUGUCCCCUCCCGUCGGACCUCCGGCAAUGGUGUUGAUGACCCCAACUAUGUUCGGUCCAUAUCCUAACCCGUGGCCUAAGGACCCGUCUGGGAGAGGUCUUUUCGUCGCCCUAGGGUCCUCAGGGGUCAACAACUGCUACUCGACCCUCGUCUGUUUUAUCGGCGCCGAUCACCUUGGUCAUCACGUCGACAGUCGGCGCAUUGGUAACCACGAUCUUGGCGGAUAAACUGUUUCAAGUGUCCUUACUUAAUGAGGCGCUCAAUCUCCCUCUUGAGGUCAUUGCAGUCUUCCGUCUCGUGCCCGAUGUCCCGAUGGUACAAGCAGUAGAGGUUGGAGUUUCUCUUAUCUCUGCUCCUGGCCAUCUUUGAAGGGGCACACCCGAGGUUAAUCUGCUCCAUGACGGAGAGCACUCGGAAUCGGAUAGCAUUCAAAGGCGUCAGGUCGGACUCGAGGAUAGAUGUCUUCCCCGUAGAUAUCCGAUCGAACACACUUCGACGAUUCCGGUUGAGGUUUUGAAAGCCACCAACAGCGCCUGCCUCACUUCAGCCGGAUUCCUUCUUCCUUCUAGGAUCGGUCCCCGAGCGAGUUUCUUGGACCUCCUUCUUUAUUCGGUUGAGGUCUUCGGCUUGUAUGCCUUUUUCGACCUUCAACCAGAGUUCAUGGAGUGUACGGUGAUACUUCUUGUGUAUCCCUGUGUUAAAUACCCCGGCCACGAGUCCGUGGGUGAACGCAGCUAUAGUAACCUGUUCAUUAGGAUCUGGUAUCUGCACGCUUUUCUCAUUGAAUCUCUGUACAUAGGACCGAAGUGAUUCUCCGGGUUCUGCUGCAUAUUCAGCAGGUAAGCCGAAGUUCUAGUUGUAGGUCUGGAGGACACGAAUCAGUGGAGAAAUCUCUCCACAAACUCUCCUAGGGUGGAUAUGCUCCUAGGUUCCAGACUCCAGAACCAUUUUCGAGCUAUCCCCUGAAGGAAUACUGGAAAAACCCAACAUAUAACGGGGUCGGGAAUGCAAUAUAAUCGAAAUGUCGAGAUGAAAGCGUGAAUGUGAUCUUCAAGAUCACCUCGGCCGUCGUAUGGAUUUAUUGAGGGAAGCUUGAAGUUGGAAGGAAGCCUUUCCUCGUUGAUUUCAUCCGUGAAGGGUGGGGCCCUCAUAUAAUCCACCCCAGGCCUCCCGAGAUGUCGAGGCUCUUCUCGCUUCGCCUUCCUAGCAAGUCUCGGGAAAACACCUUUGUGAUAGAGGCGAUUUUGGAAGUAGCUUUAGAAGAGACUCGCUUCGGGGUGCUCCUAAUGGAGUGCCUUCCCUCAGAUUCCUCAUCAGAGAAGUCUUUAGGGGACCCAUCUGAUUUUCUUUUAGAGGAUUUGGCCUUUUGUUUGCUUUGUCUCUUGAAAUAUCUUCCCAACUCUUCAAAGAUAUUGGGGUUUUCACUUACAAACUCGGCCAUACGAGCUAUGGCUUCUUCGUUUGCGGGCUGAGUUCUAACAGACUCCUGUCCUUCAGAGGCAUUCUCCUGUUGGGCUGCAGCACUUUGCUCAGCUCCAAUGGCAAGAGCCUUCCUGCUCCUAGAACGCAUAGGUUUCAUCUUUUGAUGUUUUCAUUCCCACAGACGACGUCAAUUGAAGAGAUGAUUUCUGACCUAACGAAGUGAUUACUGAAGUCGGAGGUGCCCUGUUUGAAGAGGUCAAAGCGUCCAGAUCACCUGCUCAGAUACAAAGAAGAGGGCUGAAUCCCUCGGUAUAGUUUUGAAGUUUAAGUUAGUUUGGAUAAGAGCGAGUGAUAUCAGAGAGAGAGUAUUAACUUUUUUACCAGAGAUUUGGCAUCCCCCUCUCAGAGGGAGUUUCUGAUAUUUAUAAGAGGCACGAGAGAGGGACUAUAGGUACAGGUCCUUAGAAAUCCGAUACAGGCAGUGUAUCCAAUUGAUUUGACUAGUCCCCAAGGAGGGGCGUGUCAGAAAAGUCGUCAGAGUCAGGCGGCGCGUGUCAGAGUAGCCAUCUAUCAGGCGUCAGGUGUGUUAGAGGUCAUAUCCCAUCCCAUUCCAGUUCAAACCCUUAGAUGCCACCUCGACGUCACGAGAGACGGCUCGCACCGGACUAGAACUCAGGUCGGGACCACCUCGCGAUUAGGCGAACGAGGUGGCACCCAUAGGGGUAGCAGAAGGACGAAACCCCAGGUAGUUCGAGCCGAAAUGACCAUCCUCAUAUUUUAUUAUUGUUGUUGUUGUUGUUAUAAAUUUUCUUCCGUUAAAUCUUUCAAUUUGGUAAAUGUAAUGAAAGAACCAUUAGAACAAAAAAGAACUUCAUAAGAGUUUAGCGGACUCUAGCUUUCUCAAAAAGGGAGUCCAUGUUUAACCAUUAAAACAUAGUAGGAUCCUUGGUAUAUGAUUUAAAUGACCUCAUAAUUGUCUAAUAGUUCCAAAUAAUAUAGACAAUCUGCAGAAACAAACAAUGUUGUCUUUAUUCUUCCAAGAUCUCAAUCACAAUAUAAGCGAAAAAUAUGGAAAGAACGGGGAAACUACAUCUAAGAUCCACGUAGAAGUUGAAACAACUUUCUCGAGUUGAGAACUUCAACAAGAUAUCUAACUCCACAAUAGCAAUGCCAGGCUCUGUUAUGCUAUUGCUUUUGUGUUAUUGUCUGAUUAUUAUUUAUUACGUUAUCCAGCACCAGACAAAAGCACAAAAUGAGAUCUUAUUGAAUAAAUUUUCAGUUGGACAAUCAACACAAUAUAGCCAGGACUUAAGUCCUUUGUGUUGUUACUCAAAAGAUCAUCAUAUAACCUGAAAUGCAAAUUACUCUUCUAUUGCAAUUAGCUUAAAAUGUUCUACUAUUACAUGAAUAACAGGUAUUACAAUCAAAGUCAAGUUGCAAAAUCUCGACCCAUGAAUUGUAGCACAGGCAAAAUUUCCCUCAGUCACCUAUGAAUUACAAGAAGAAGAAAAUGAAAGUAAAACCAAUACCAUCGCUCAUAAUUCAUCAAACCCUUCAGUUUUCCUCUUUUUCCUCUUUUUCCUUUUUCCUCUUUUUCUUUCCACUCUGCUCUGCAGAAUCACUUCUCUCUCCACCAUCAACCUCCCUGCUCUUCCUCUUCUUCCCUUUUUCGCUGCCAACAUUUUCUCCAUCAUCUCCACCCUCAUUCUUUUUUCUCUUCUUUUUCUUAUCCUUACUUUUGACACCUUCAACUCCAUCCAUGUCUCUUUCAAUUUCCACAAUCUCUUGCUUAGUAUUAUUCUUAACCUUAUCUAUUUCCUCUCUAUCUUCACCUCUCCCAAUCUUCUCAUGUUUCUUCUUUUUCCUUUCCUCCCCAACCCCACUAUCAGGGCUUCGCUAAAUCUGUUCUCUCUGCUCACUCCUCACCUCCAAUUGGCAAUUUUUCUUUCCUUUUUUGCCAAUAUUUUCUCCAUCCUCCUCACCUCAUCCUUCUUUUUCUUUUUCUUAUCCUUUCUCUUCACACUUUCACCUUCAACUUCAUCACUAAUGUUCCUUUCAACUUCCACAAUCUCUUGCUUAGCCUUAUUCUUACCCUCAUCUCUUUCCUCUGUAUCUUCACCUCUUACAAUCUUUUCAUGUUUCUUCUUUUUCCUUUCGUCCCCAACCCCAUCAGGGCUUUGCUCAAUCUGUUCUCUCUCCUAAUUCCUUAACUCCGAUUGGCCAGUUCUCUUAUCUUUUCUGUUCUUGUCCUAACUUCUCUGUACCUUAACUUUGUCAAGCCUAUCUGCUUCUUGGCCAAUCUUCAACAAGCCUUCAGUGUUCGGCUCAAAUUCGGAUUUUUCUUAUGUUUUCCCUUCUUUUCCGACCUUUUUACGGCGUUAACUUCAUCAAUCCCUCCUUUAUCCUUCUCAAUCUUUAACGGUUCUUCAUCAUUUACCUCUAAUUCGCGAUUUUUCUUCCGCUUGCCCUUACUUUCUACAUUCUUGAUCUUUUCUUCAUCUAGGUUUUUGUCAACGGUGGCUAAAGUUUCAGUCUUUGUAUCAACAACAAGAGGUUGAGAUGCCUUAUGUUUGCGAUUCGAAUGGGGCGCUUUUAGCUCCUUGUGGAAUUGAACCAAGUUGUCGAAGGCAUCAGAAGCACGUUUCAGAUACACGCGGACGGCAUCGAAGCUCCGUUCUCCUCUUCCAAGGAGGCGAAGGCGGAGAGGUUUUUGGCUGCUGAAGAUAGAGAGACUGGCUUUGUUGAUACCACUUGGCCUGUGAUAGUCUUCAUUGGAAUUUGACUAUUUUGAUACCUUUUGGGGUUAAUUUAGCUGCGAUUUAGGGUUUAAGGGGUUUUCGUCGAGGUGGCGAUCUGUUCAAAUCGCGUUGGCGGGUCGGAUUGAGACUUGGAUAUAAUAAAAAAUCCCGUUGACUCGAACUCGAAAAUUUUGGAUUGGAUUAGCGAGUCAAUAUGAAAUGAUUCAAAAUUUAAUUUUAAUUUAUUAAUUUAUCACUGUAUUUUUUAUAAAACCAAUUUCACACAAGAUUAAUUACAUAAUCAAGUAAUAAAAUUUUAAAUAAAUAAUUCCAAAUCAAAUAUAAAAUAAAAAUAAUAUAAAAGUAAAAAAUAAUAUAAUACAGUAUUUAUUCAAAUGUAAUAAUUUUACCUUCACACAGGUUAAAUAAAUUCAUUUAAGAUUAAGUAAUUAAUGUCUUUGAAAAAAAAAGAAUAACUUAGUUUAGUUAGAUAAAAUAAUUUUUAUGUUUAUCAAAUUAUUGUUUAUUCAUAAACGGAUUAUCGGAUCACCUACGGGUUGAUUCGAAUUCGACUCGUUUUCUUUUCAGGAUUCAUCGGGUUUUACCCGAUUUUGAUCCGAACCUGCGAGACCUCAAUUAAAAUCCAUUAAUUUUGCGUUAAAUUCAUGCGUCAUGUCAAAAAUUGCCACCGCUAGGUUUUCGAAGGUGAAGUCAAUCGGGGUCGAAGACAAUGACAUUUGGUUUCUCGACCCUCAGCCAAGACCGGAAUCUCAAACGGAUCAGACCCAAUAAAACAAGAAUUGCUAAAGAAGGGCAAAAAUUUUUCUGAAUGAAAAUGUAACACGUUAAAAUAAAUUUCCCGCUGCAAAAAUAGGAAAUAGGAAACUUUGGAGUCAAUAGCAUGUACAAGUUUGAUAAGACCAUUGAAAUGGACACGGGAUCUUGGGUCUUACUCAAAAAAAAAAAAAAGUAUACGUUGUCAUACGUACAAUCAUGAAUGUGAUACAUAUUUACAUAUACCAAUUGAUUUAGGACUCUCUUGAUGGAAUACACUUGAGUAAUAACAAGUAAUACUGAUAUCUUGCUCAAUUUCAUGUUAGCAUCACAUAUUAUAAGAUACAGAAUAAAAUAUAAAUUUAUGUUGAAUUAUCUUCUAAACUUCACCCUUACAAAAUGGAGAAAAAUUAAAACACAAACCAAAGGGGGAGAAAGGGAAAAUUUUCAAUUAUAUCAUGUCAAUUGGUCAUUCUUCUCAAUAAUAAAUAUAAAACUGUUUUCAACUUUCUUACAAAAUAAUAGAUAACAUGUAUCUUAAAAAAUGUUAUUACUUUUCUCCUAUUCUUAAUGUAACAACGUUAAUUUUGUAAUUAUGAAUGGACUGAAUAUAUAACGUAUGAAGGGAAUGUUUGGUUGAAUGAUAAGAUAGAAGAGAUUAUGAAUGACAAGUUUUGAAAAUAAAGUUGUAUAUCUUACUUAUACAAAGUUUUAAAAAAAAUACAAAGGUGUAUGCUUGUGUUUAUUUACUUUAAAUUACACAUUUAUCUUGUUUCAUGUUUUCCAUUUACUCAAAAUCUUACAUUGAUACCUUUCUCAUCUCUUUUCAUCUUGAAAUUUUUAUUAUUUUAUCUAAAGAAAGCUACUAUUAGAAAACUUCCUCCUCAAUUUUCAUCUUGAAUUCUUAUUUUUUUCUCCACUUAAUAUUCCUGUUAUUUUCUCUAGAGCAUUAGAUUUACUCUUUGGAGGGUUAGAAGGCAUCUAAACUCCUUACAUAUUAAACUUCCAUAAAAUUUCAAUAUCAAAGAUUAAAAUGAACACAAAAAUUUAGAAAAUUCAUUAGCUAUUUUUGGUACAAAGUUCUUUUAUCUUUCUAUUUGCUUAAAAGGGGGUGAGGAAAAUAAGAAUAAUGUAUUUAAGGCAAUUCCGUUUGUUAGACUCGAUCCCGCAACCGCCUUCGACGAUUGAAAACAGAGCUAAUAGAACCCCACAACGUUCUCACUCCACCAGCACACCGUCUUGAAAACUAGGUCAACCGUUUGCACAAAUUUUUAGUUCAGCUAUUGACUUUAUAUGCUGCCUCUGCCAGCUUUAGGCUUCAUUUGGAUAGAAAGAAAAGGACAGAAAAGAAAUGAUUCUGAGAGAAACCCGUACCGUUUCAUUCAUUUGGGAGUUUUAAGAUGGACAGAAGAGAAAAGGAAAGAACGGAUAAGAUUCCCUCCAACUGGUGAAAAUUUUUUCGGCCCAAAAGUGGGAAGAAAAGGACGGAAAUAACUUGGGCGCCAAAAGACAUUUCUAAUAUGACAAUUUUGUCCUUUAAAAGUUGAUACAAAAAUUCAUUAUACCCAAUAUAUCCUAAAGUUCAUUUGUAAAACCACCGGUGCAAGGCUUUCUCAGCUCUUACUUUCAAUCAAUGUUUUCAAAUCCGGAUCGGACCGGUCGGUUCGGCCGAUUCGAUCGCAAACCGGACAUGUGUCCGGUCCGGUUCAUAGCCUUUGUUGACCUAAACCAAAAACCGGUCAAAAUUGCAAAAAAUCGUAAAAACCGUUAAAAUCGUUCAACCCGUGAACCGCGGUUCUCCAAUUUUUGACCGAAUUUUCAAUUUUGACCGCAAUUGUCUAAACCUAAUCUUCACUUCUUCAGUCAUCAGUUCACUCUUCUCUUCAGUUAGGGGUGGCAAACGGGUCGGGUUCGGGUUGGCGGGUCGGGUUAAGGCUUAAGUAUAACAAAGAACCUGCUGACCCGAACCCGACCCGUCAAUCCGAAACGAGUCAGGGUACCUGACACGAACUCGAAAAUUUCGGGUUGACGGGUUGACCCAAAAUGACCCGAAACUUAAUUUUAAUUUAUUAAUUUAUCACUAUAAUUUCUAAUAAAAUCAAUUUUUCACAAAAUUAAUUACAUCAUCAAGUAACAAAAAUUUAAAUAAAUAAUUUCAAACCAAAUCUAAAAUAAAUUAAACACCAUAAAAGUUUUAUCUCAAACCAAAUAUAAAAUAAAUUAAAAUAACAUAAAAGUAAAAAAUAACAUAAUAUAUUAUUUGUCCAAAUAUAAUAAUUUUAACUUCACACAAGUUAAAUAAAUUCAUUUAGAAUUAAGUAAUUAAUGCCUUUGGAAAAAAAGAAUGAUUUAGUUUAGUUAAAUAAAAUAAUUUUUAUGUUUAUUAAAUUAGUUUUAAUUCGUAAACGGGUCACAUCGGGUCAUAUCAGGUCACCACGAGUUGAUUCGAAAUUGACCUGUUUUCUUUUCGGAUUCAUCGAGUUCGACCCAAUUCUGACCCGAACUCCCAAAACCUCAACCCAAAUCCAUUAAUUUCGUGUUAGAUUCGUAUCGUGUUUUCGAAUCGUGUUAGGAAUUGCCACCACUAUCUUCAGACUUCACGACGCUCUUCGCUUUGCCGCUUCAGUCUUCGCCGCUGCUUCAGCUUAAUUCAUUUGUUUCGAUUCUUAUUUCUCAGCUGCUACCCAGCAAUUCAUCUCAACUGGGUUUUGGUUGUCCCUUUUUCCCUUUUUUUUCCUUUCAUCUUCGCCGCUUCACGUUUGGUUAUUGGGUUUGUAGCCUUCACCGGUUCAUAGCCUUCCGUCCCCUCGGCCCUCUUUCGUCCCCUUCGCCGGUUUCGCUUCAACUCAAUUCAUCUUCGCCGGUUCAUAGCCUUCGCCGCUUCACGACACUCUUCGCCGCCGCUUCAUUUCUCAGCUGCUACCCAUCUCAGCUUAUACCAGGUUUGUUUAUCCUUUUUCCCUUUUUUUUUUCCUUUUGUUGUUGAUUACUGGGUUUUGGUUGCCCUUCCGUCCCCUCGGCCCUCUGUAUAAUGUAUAUGUACUGCUAUAAUUUUUGGGCAUAUGAUCCUUAUUAACUUGGCAUUGCAGCAGCGGCUAAAUGAUUAUAUUAUAAGCUGAUCAGCCUAAAUCAUUUUUUUUUUGGUUUGUCCUCAAAUUAGAUAAGCUGUCAGUCUGUUUGUCCUGCAGUUUUCGUUUUUUUUUUUUGACUCGGUAGAUAAUUUGGUUGCCCUGUUGUUUAAGUUGCGCCGCUGGUGAAACCGGAACUUAAUUGGGAGGUAGACUCCCUGUUAAUGUUUUUGGCCGACAAUCAAAAAUGUCAAUUAAUUAGUGGUCAGGUAUCAGAUGUUGGAACUAAACUGUACUUCACUGCUAAAUUCCACCAACGGCCUCAGUAAAAGUCUUUUCUUUUGGUAUUAUCUGAAAACUGGAUUAAAAAAAAAAAAAAAAAAGUCCUCGGUCUUUCAGUUGGACAGCCUAUCAUAUGGUCCCUUCUGUCACUUAAUUCAGUAAUUGAUAAUUGAUAACCAUGUCAUUGUGGAGUUGUAUUAUAAUUUGAUAUUGAAGCAUGUAGAAAGUUUCCCUUGCUUCAAGUACUUCCAUUUGGUGAAUUGGGAUGAAUUUUUGACACGUUUGGUUACUUGGUCAAGUGAAGUGAGAAUUUGACAGAAGCUUCCAAAACAUGUUUUUCAGUUGUUGAACAAAUCUUCUUGUUUGUCUUGUCAGGUUAAUAUAACAGGUUAACAUAGAUAUAAUAACCAUGACUCUUUCAGUAAUAAUCUCAUACUACCAUUUAUCAUAGUUGCCAGUCUUUCAAUCUUUAGUUGUUAUAGGUAAACACGUAAUCCUAUAAUUAGAAAACUUUAUUAACCAAAGUGCAGUGACACAAAGAUUCUAUGAUGAAACAGAAUUUGAUUUUCUGUACAGCAAGGUUCUUUUCUUUCUUUAGCCAAAGCUUUUUCUGCUUCUGUCUAUAAGACAAAAUGUUUACACAUAUCCGGUUUCUGUCCUUUUGGUUUAUAUUCUUCAAAUCAUCUUUUCUACAAUCCACCAUUAGUGUAUUUCGCAGAAGCUCAAAUGCUACUCCACUUAUUAAAUAAUAUAAGUCCCUUGCUAGGCUCUUGCUACUAAAUCAUUCCGUGACCUCCUGUUUCUGAAAGGUAAACAACCAAAUCUAUUGUUGACUAAUUAGAGCUCAUUAAAUUAUGCACAACCUACAGUUGGAAAACUAUUAUGUCUACAUAUUAAGACUGCUGUCUACUACCAAACAUGUACAAGGAGUCUGAAUACUAGAGAAGCAACCAAAAGCUGCCAGGUGUAACCAAGAAUGUUAGAAUAUAAAUUCUAUCCUAGGGUAGAAUUACUUCAGAAUCUUUGCAGUGCCAAAUCCAGAGUAGAAUUACUUCAGAAUCUGGAUUUCCAUCUUAGCAGUGCCAAAUCACUAACAGGAGAUGCAGAUUAGGAUAUGUAUAUAUAUAUUAUUUAUUUAUUUAUUUAUUGAACCAGGGUUGAACCGGUCCGACCGGUUGAACCUCGAUUCUUUCACUUCACCGGUUCGCUUGACGGUCCGGGUUUUAAAACAUUGCUUUCAUUCCUUGCAACUAGAUUCACCUGGCUUUCUUCCGUUCAACACCGACAAUUCAAUACAAAAGGUAUUUCUUUAACUCAAUCUCUUCUUUCUUUCUUUCUUUGUUCAAUCUUCUCAAGAAUUAUGAAAAAAGGAUUUUUUGUGUAGAUUGUUAUUGUUUAUAUUCUAAAUUUUUUUGUUCAUUUUCUGUCAUAAAAUUCUUGUCCACGAGAAAUCUUGAUUUUUAUAUUAUUGAUUUGUGAUUAUAUCGUGCAUGGUUAUGGUAAAUGUAAGUUUCAGUGGUGAUACAUGAAUAUGAAAUUUAAAUGCAUACAUUCUGUUUGUUUAUUUGUCUGUGUAAGCUUCAAAAUAUUGUAUAAUGAUGAAUACAGAGUGUUUGGCUGAUGUCAAUAUUUGUCAAAGUGUGGCCAUGUAAACUUUUGUGUAAUGUUUGUUAAUUCUUCUAGACUAAUUGUUGGGGUGGCUCAUGUUGAAGACUUCGAAUCAAUAGCUGAGCCAGAGAAACGUGCGAAUUGUGAACAACAAGCUCUCACCUUUGCAAAACUGCUUCUGAAAGAAAGGCGAAGGUUCAAGAGCAUUGGUGAAGUUGUUUCUGCCAUUCAGCAGCCUAAAUCAUGAGAAAUUCCUCCUCAAAUUUAUGAUUUUAGAUAUUGCAAGGAUAAUUGAGUUAAAUUGUGAUACCUCCAAAGGACAAGCAGAAUGUAUUCAAGGUAAUAAGAGAUUUCUUCGGUUUUGCAUCCCAAAAAAAAUAAAAAAUGAACGGGCAAAUACGUAAAGUUACAUUCUGAGAAAAUUCUUUCUUUCCAUAUCUCUCCAACUCUCAAACAAGGGAUGUAGCAGUAUACACCUCGAUCUGUGUAGAAGACUGUCUUCUCCUUGUCUUCCUCGCUCAUCCCAUUCUGAUGGUACCCCUUAAAGGCGUAAAAAAAACAAAGGAUCUCGUAACCCAUAACCGAGUCCACCAGGGUGUCGACUCGGAGUAAUGGGUAACAGUACUUGGGACAGGCCUUGUUCAGGUCGGUGAAAUCCACGCACAUUCUCCAGGUCCCGGUGUCCUUCUUGACCAUAACCGGGUUAGAUAACCACGACGGGUAUUGAACUUCUUGGAUUAUCUUGGCGGGAAGGAGUCUGUCCACUUCUUCACCAGCGGCUCGGCUACGUUUCGGGCCGAGGUGCCUUCUCUUCUGCUGAAUCGGGCAUGCCUGAUGGUCUACAUUCAGCUUAUGUAUCAUGAGGUAAUGGGGCACACUUUGGAUCUCGUCGGCAGCCCAGGCAAAGACAUCCCGGUACUACUUGAGGAGACCCACUAUGUCUUUCUUGAUUGAAUCCGGUAAAUGGACGCCGAUGCGGACCGUCUAAUCCGACUUUGAAGGGUCCAUGGGAAUAUCCUCUACCUCAUCUCCAGUCUCUAGCCUCUGGGGCUUCCUGAUUUGCUGAGGAUCGAUACAAUCGAUUGAAAGGAUAUUUGACCUCUUUUCGGACCUGGGCUCGGAGGCCGACGUAGAAGCGGCUUGCAAAGUAGCGAGGUAACACUCUCGCGCUGCACAUACAUCGCUGCUAACCUCGACGACUCCUGCCGGGGUUGGGAACUUAAAACUCAGGUGGUACGUGGAAUACACCACACGAAAAGCAUUAACCGUGGGUCGGCCCAUGAGCAAGUUGUAGGGAGAGUCGGUUUUGACCAUAACAAAAUUGACAGGAAUGGUUCGACAGCGAGGGUGGCGACCCACAGUCACUGUUAGGGUCACCACCCCUUCCGAAUGCACGACGUGUCCCCCGAACCCUACUAGGGGCAUCCUAACGGCGGACAACUGUUCUCUUGUCAGGUUCAAACUUUCAAAAGUUCAGAGAUACAUGAUGUCCACCGAAUUUCUCGGGUCAACGUAGACCUUCUUAACGAUGUAAUUGUUGAUGAGGAUCUCGAUCACCAAAGCUUCAUGGCUGCUCGAGGCGGCGGGAAUGGGGUCGCUAGGGCCAUAAGAUAUCACUUUGGACAAGCGUGAGCUCGGCUCAGCCUGUUCAGUGUUGGCCUGCCUAUAGGUCCUCUUCCGGGAGUUCUGGCUGUCCCCUCCCGUCGGACCUCCGGCAAUGGUGUUGAUGACCCCAAUUAUGUUCGGUCCAUAUCCUAACCCGUGGCCUGAGAACCCGUCUGGGAGAGGUCUUUUCGUCUCCCUAGGGUCCUCAGGGGGUCGACAACUGCUACUCGACCCUCGUCUGUCUUCUCGGCGCCGAUCACCUUGGUCAUCACGUCGACAGUCGGCGGAUUGGUAACCGCGAUCUUGGCGGAUAAACUGUUUCAAGUGUCCUUACUUAAUGAGGCGCUCAAUCUCCCUCUUGAGGUCAUUGCAGUCUUCCGUCUCGUGCCCGAUGUCCCGGUGGUACAAGCAGUAGAGGUUGGAGUUUUUCUUAUCUCUGCUCCUGGCCAUCUUUGAAGGGGCAUACCCGAGGUUAAUCUGCUCCAUGACGGAGAGCACUCGGAAUCGGAUAGCGUUCAAAGGCGUCAGGUCGGACUCGAGGAUAGAUGUCUUCCCCGUAGAUAUCCGAUCGAACACACUUCGACGAUUCCGGUUGAGGUUUUGAAAGCCACCAACAGCGCCUGCCUCACUUCGGCCGGAUUCCUUCUUCUUUCUAGGAUCGGUCCCCGAGCGAGUUUCUUGGAUCUCCUUCUUUAUUCGGUUGAGGUCUUCGGCUUGUAUGCCUUUUUCGACCUUCAACCAGAGUUCAUGGAGUGUACGGAGAUACUUCUUGUGUAUCCCUGUGUUAAAUACCCCGGCCACGAGUCCGUGGGUGAACGCAGCUAUAGUAACCUGUUCAUUAGGAUCUGGUAUCUGCACGCUUUUCUCAUUGAAUUUCUAUACAUAGGACCGAAGUGAUUCUCCGGGGUUCUGCUGCAUAUUCAGCAGGUAAGCCGAAGUUCUAGUUGUGGGUCUGGAGGACACGAAUCAGUGGAGAAAUCUCUCCACGAACUCUCCUAGGGUGGAUAUGCUCCUAGGUUCCAGACUCCAGAACCAUUUUCGAGCUAUCCCCUGAAGGAAUACUGGAAAAACCCGACAUAUAACGGGGUCGGGAAUGCAAUAUAAUCGAAAUGUCGAGAUGAAAGCGUGAAUGUGAUCUUCAAGAUCACCUCGGCCGUCGUAUGGAUUUAUUGAGGGAAGCUUGAAGUUGGGAGGAAGCCUUUCCUCGUUGAUUUCAUCCGUGAAGGGUGGGGCCCUCAUAUAAUCCACCUCAGGCCUCCCGAGAUGUCGAGGCUCUUCUUCGCUUCGCCUCCCUAGCAAGUCUCGGGAAAACGCCUUUGUGAUAGAGGCGAUUUUGGAAGUAGCUUUAGAAGAGACUCGCUUCGGGGUGCUCCUAAUGGAGUGCCUUCCCUCAGAUUCCUCAUCAGAGAAGUCUUUAGGGGACCCAUCUGAUUUUCUUUUAGAGGAUUUGGCCUUUUGUUUGCUUUGUCUCUUGAAAUAUCUUCCCAACUCUUCAAAGAUAUUGGGGUUUUCACUUACAAACUCGGCCAUACGAGUUAUGGCUUCUUCGUUUGCGGGCUGAGUUCUAACAGACUCCUGUCCUUCAGAGGCAUUCUCCUGUUGGGCUGCAACACUUUGCUCAGCUCCAAUGGCAAGAGCCUUCCUGCUCCUCGAACGCGUAGGUUUCAUCUUUUGAUGUUUUCGUUCCCACAGACGGCGCCAAUUGAAGAGAUGAUUUCUGACCUCACGAAGUGAUUACUGAAGUCGGAGGUGCCCCUGUUUGAAGAGGUCAAAGCGUCCAGAUCACCUGCUCAGAUACAAAGAAGAGGGGCUGAAUCCCCCGGUAUAGUUUCGAAGCUUAAGUUAGUUUGGAUAAGAGCGAGUGAUAUCAGAGAGAGAGUAUUAACUUUUUUACCAGAGAUUUGGCAUCCCCCCUCUCAGAGGGAGUUUCUGAUAUUUAUAAGAGGCACGAGAGAGGGACUACAGGUACAGGUCCUUAGAAAUCCGAUACAGGCAGUGUAUCCAAUUGAUUUGACUAGUCCCCAAGGAGGGGCGUGUCAGAAAAGUCGUCAGAGUCAGGCGGCGCGUGUCAGAGUAGCCAUCUAUAAGGCGUCAGGUGUGUUAGAGGUCAUAUCCCAUCCCAUUCCAGCUCAAACCCUUAGAUGCCACCUCGACGUCACGAGAGACGGCUCGCACCGGGACUAGAACUCAGGUCGGGACCACCUCGGCGAUUAGGCGAACGAGGUGGCACCCAUAGGGGUAGCAGAAGGACGAAACCCCAGGUAGUCCGAGCCGAAAUGACCAUCCUCAUAUUUUAUUAUUAUUGUUGUUGUUGUUAUAAAUUUUCUUCCGUUAAAUCUUUCAAUUUGGUAAAUGUAAUGAAAGAACCAUUAGAACAAAAAAGGACUUCAUAAGAGUUUAGCGGACUCUAGCUUUCUCAAAAAGGGAGUCCAUGUUUAACCAUUAAAACAUAGUAGGAUCCUUGGUAUAUGAUUUAAAUGACCUCAUAAUUGUCUAAUAGCUCCAAAUAAUAUAGACAAUCUGCAGAAACAAACAAUGUUGUCUUUAUUCUUCCAAGAUCUCAAUCACAAUAUAAGCGAAAAAUAUGGAAAGAACGGGGAAACUACAUCUAAGAUCCACGUAGAAGUUGAAACAACUUUCUCGAGUUGAGAACUUCAACAAGAUAUCUAACUCCACAAAUAGCAAUGCCAGGCUCUGUUAUGCUAUUGCUUUUGUGUUAUUGUCUGAUUAUUAUUUAUUACGUUAUCCAGCACCAGACAAAAGCACAAAAUGAGAUCUUAUUGAAUAAAUUUUCAGUUGGACAAUCAACACAAUAUAGCCAGGACUUAAGUACUUUGUGUUGUUACUCAAAAGGUCAUCACAUAACCUGAAAUGCAAAUUACUCUUCUAUUGCAAUUAGCUUAAAAUGUUCUACUAUUACAUGAAUAACAGGUAUUACAAUCAAAGUCAGGUUGCAAAAUCUCGACCCAUGAAUUGUAGCACAGGCAAAAUUCCCUCAGUCACCUAUGAAUUACAAGAAGAAGAAAAUGAAAGUAAAACCAAUACCAUCGCUCAUAAUUCAUCAAACCCUUCAGUUUUCCUCUUUUUCCUCUUUUUCUUUCCACUCUGCUCUGCAGAAUCACUUCUCUCUCCACCAUCAACCUCCCUGCUCUUCCUCUUCUUCCCUUUUUCGCUGCCAACAUUUUCUCCAUCAUCUCCACCCUCAUUCUUUUUUCUCUUCUUUUUCUUCUCCUUACUUUUGACACCUUCAACUCCAUCCAUGUCUCUUUCAAUUUCCACAAUCUCUUGCUUAGUAUUAUUCUUAACCUUAUCUAUUUCCUCUCUAUCUUCACCUCUCCCAAUCUUCUCAUGUUUCUUCUUUUUCCUUUCCUCCCCAACCCCACUAUCAGGGCUUCGCUCAAUCUGUUCUCUCUGCUCACUCCUCACCUCCAAUUGGCAAUUUUUCUUUCCUUUUUUGCCAAUAUUUUCUCCAUCCUCCUCACCCUCAUCCUUCUUUUUCUUCUUCUUAUCCUUUCUCUUCACACUUUCACCUUCAACUUCAUCAAUAAUGUUCCUUUCAACUUCCACAAUCUCUUGCUUAGCCUUAUUCUUACCCUCAUCUCUUUCCUCUGUAUCUUCACCUCUUACAAUCUUUUCAUGUUUCUUCUUUUUCCUUUCGUCCCCAACCCCAUCAGGGCUUUGCUCAAUCUGUUCUCUCUCCUAAUUCCUUAACUCCGAUUGGCCAGUUCUCUUAUCUUUUCUGUUCUUGUCCUAACUUCUCUGUACCUUAACUUUGUCAAGCCUAUCUGCUUCUUGGCCAAUCUUCAACAAGCCUUCAGUGCUCGGCUCAAAUUCGGAUUUUUCUUAUGUUUUCCCUUCUUUUCCGACCUUUUCACGGCGUUAACUUCAUCAAUCCCUCCGUUAUCCUUAUCAAUCUUUAACGGUUCUUCAUCAUUUACCUCUAAUUCGCGAUUUUUCUUCCGCUUGCCCUUACUUUCUACAUUCUUGAUCUUUUCUUCAUCUGGGUUUUUGUCAACGGUGGCUAAAGUUUCAAUCUUUGUAUCAACAGCAAGAGGUUGAGAUGCCUUACGUUUACGAUUCGAAUGGGGCGCUUUUAGCUCCUUGUGGAAUUGAACCAAGUUGUCGAAGGCAUCAGAAGCACGUUUCAGAUACACGCGGACUGCAUCGGAAGCUCCGUUCUCCUCUUCCAGGGAGGCGAAGGCGGAGAGGUUUUUGGCUGCUGAAGAUAGAGAGACUGGCUUUGUUGAUACCACUUGGCCUGUGAUAGUCUUCAUUGGAAUUUGACUAUUUUGAUACCUUUUGGGGUUAAUUUAGCUGCGAUUUAGGGUUUAAGGGGUUUUCGUCGGGGUGGCGAUCUGUUCAAAUCGGGUUGGCGGGUCGGAUUGAGACUUGGAUAUAAUAAAAAAUCCCGCUGACUCGAACUCGAAAAUUUUGGAUUGGAUUAGCGAGUCAAUAUGAAAUGAUUCAAAAUUUAAUUUUAAUUUAUUAAUUUAUCACUGUAUUUUUUUAUAAAACCAAUUUCACACAAGAUUAAUUACAUAAUCAAGUAAUAAAAUUUUAAAUAAAUAAUUCCAAAUCAAAUAUAAAAUAAAUAAAAAUAAUAUAAAAGUAAAAAAUAAUAUAAUACAGUAUUUAUUCAAAUGUAAUAAUUUCAACUUCACACAGGUUAAAUAAAUAAUUCAUUUAAGAUUAAGUGAUUAAUGUCUUUGGAAAAAAAGAAUAACUUAGUUUAGUUAGAUAAAAUAAUUUUUAUGUUUAUCAAAUUAUUUUUUAUUCAUAAACGGAUUAUCGGAUCACCUACGGGUUGAUUCGAAUUCGACUCGUUUUCUUUUCAGGAUUCAUCGGGUUUGACCCGAUUUUGAUCCGAACCUGCGAGACCUCAAUUAAAAUCCAUUAAUUUUGCGUUAAAUUCAUGCGUCAUGUCAAAAAUUGCCACCGCUAGAUUUUCGAGGGUGAAGUCAAACGGGGUCGAAGACAAUGACAUUUGGUUUCUCGGACCCUCAGCCAAGACCGGAAUCUCAAACGGAUCAGACCCAAUAAAACAAGAAUUGCUAAAGUAGGGCAAAAAUUUUUCUGAAUGAAAAUGUAACACGUUAAAAUAAAUUUCCCGCUGCAAAAAUAGGAAAUAGGAAACUUAGGAGUCAAUAGCAUGUACAAGUUUGAUAAGACCAUUGAAAUGGACACGAGAUCUUCGGUCUUACUCAAAAAAAAAAAAAGUAUACGUUGUCAUACGUACAAUCAUGAAUGUGAUACAUAUUUACAUAUACCAAUUGAUUUAGGACUCUCUUGAUGGAAUACACUUGAGUAAUAACAAGUAAUACUGAUAUCUUGCUCAAUUUCAUGUUAGCAUCACAUAUUAUAAGAUACAGAAUAAAAUAUAAAUUUAUGUUGAAUUAUCUUCUAAACUUCAUCCUUACAAAAUGGAGAAAAAUUAAAACACAAACCAAAGGGGGAGAAAGGGAAAAUUUUCAAUUAUAUCAUGUCAAUUGGUCAUUCUUCUCAAUAAUAAAUAUAAAACUGUUUUCAACUUUCUUACAAAAUAAUAGAUAACAUGUAUCUUAAAAAAUGUUAUUACUUUUCUCCUAUUCUUAAUGUAACAACGUUAAUUUUGUAAUUAUGAAUGGACUGAAUAUAUAACGUAUGAAGGGAAUGUUUGGUUGAAUGAUAAGAUAGAAGAGAUUAUGAAUGAGAAGUUUUGAAAAUAAAGUUGUAUAUCUUACUUAUACAAAGUUUUUAAAAAAAUACAAAGGUGUAUGCUUGUGUUUAUUUACUUUAAAUUACACAUUUAUCUUGUUUCAUGUUUUCCAUUUACUCAAAAUCUUACAUUGAUACCUUUCUCAUCUCUUUUCAUCUUGAAAUUUUUAUUAUUUUAUCUAAAGAAAGCUACUAUUAGAAAACUUCCUCCUCAAUUUUCAUCUUGAAUUCUUAUUUUUUUCUCCUCUUAAUAUUCCUGUUAUUUUCUCUAAAGAAAGCGAGCAUUAGAUUUACUCUUUGGAGGGUUAGAAGGCAUCUAAACUCCUUACAUAUUAAACUUCCAUAAAAUUUCAAUAUCAAAGAUUAAAAUGAACACAAAAAUUUAGAAAAUUCAUUAGCUAUUUUUGGUACAAAGUCCUUUUAUCUUUCUAUUUGCUUAAAAGGGGGGGUGAGGAAAAUAAGAAUAAUGUAUUUAAGGCAAUUCCGUUUGUUAGGCUCGAUCCCGCAACCGCCUUCGACGAUGGAAAACAGAGCUAAUCGAACCCCACAACGUUCUCACUCCACCAGCACACCGUCUUGAAAACUAGGUCAACCGUUCGCACAAAUUUUUAGUUCAGCUAUUGACUUUAUAUGCUGCCUCUGCCAGCUUUAGGCUUCAUCUGGAUAGAAAGAAAAGGACAGAAAAGAAAUGAUUCUGAGAGAAACCUGUACCGUUUCAUUCAUUUGGGAGUUUUAAGAUGGACAGAAGAGAAAAGGAAAGAACGGAUAAGAUUCCCUCCAACUGGUGAAAAUUUUUCCGCCCAAAAGUGGGAAGAAAAGGACGGAAAUAACUUGGGCGCCAAAAGACAUUUCUACUAUGACAAUUUUGUCCUUUAAAAGUUGAUACAAAAAUUCAUUAUACCCAUUAUAUCCUAAAGUUCAUUUGUAAAACCACCGGUGCAAGGCUUUCUCAGCUCUUACUUUCAAUCAAUGUUUUCAAAUCCGGAUCGGACCGGUCGGUUCGGCCGAUUCGAUCGCAAACCGGACAUGUGUCCGGUCCGGUUCAUAGCCUUUGUUGACCUAAACCAAAACCGGUCAAAAUUGCAAAAAAUCGUAAAAACCGUUAAAAUCGGUUCAACCCGUGAACCGCGGUUCUCCAAUUUUUGACCGAAUUUUCAAUUUUGACCGCAAUUGUCUAAACCUAAUCUUCACUUCUUCAGUCAUCAGUUCACUCUUCUCUUCAGUUAGGGGUGGCAAACGGGUCGGGUUCGGGUUGGCGGGUCGGGUUGAGGCUUAAGUAUAACAAAGAACCUGCUGACCCGAACCCGACCCGUCAACCCGAAACGAGUCAGGGUACCUGACACGAACUCGAAAAUUUCGGGUUGACGGGUCGACCCAAAAUGACCCGAAACUUAAUUUUAAUUUAUUAAUUUAUCACUGUAAUUUCUAAUAAAAUCAAUUUUUCAAAAAAUUAAUUACAUCAUCAAGUAAUAAAAAUUUAAAUAAAUAAUUUCAAACCAAAUCUAAAAUAAAUUAAACACCAUAAAAGUGUUUUAUCCCAAACCAAAUAUAAAAUAAAUUAAAAUAACAUAAAAGUAAAAAAUAACAUAAUAUAUUAUUUGUCCAAAUAUAAUAAUUUUAACUUCACACAAGUUAAAUAAAUUCAUUUAGAAUUAAGUAAUUAAUGCCUUUGGAAAAAAAGAAUGAUUUAGUUUAGUUAGAUAAAAUAAUUUUUAUGUUUAUUAAAUUAGUUUUAAUUCGUAAACGGGUCACAUCGGGUCAUAUCAGGUCACCACGAGUUGAUUCGAAAUUGACCUGUUUUCUUUUCGGAUUCAUCGAGUUCGACCCAAUUCUGACCCGAACUCCCAAAACCUCAACCCAAAUCCAUUAAUUUCGUGUUAGAUUCGUGUCGUGUUUUCGAAUCGUGUUAGGAAUUGCCACCCCUAUCUUCAGACUUCACGACGCUCUUCGCUUUGCCGCUUCAGUCUUCGCCGCCGCUUCAGCUUAAUUCAUUUGUUUCGAUUCUUAUUUCUCAGCUGCUACCCAGCAAUUCAUCUCAGCUGGGUUUUGGUUGUCCCUUUUUCCCUUUUUUUUCCUUUCAUCUUCGCCGCUUCACGUUUGGUUACUGGGUUUGUAGCCUUCGCCGGUUCAUAGCCUUCCGUCCCCUCGGCCCUUUUCCAUCCCCUUCGCCGGUUUCGCUUCAACUCAAUUCAUCUUCGCCGGUUCAUAGCCUUCGCCGCUUCACGACACUCUUCGCCGCCGCUUCAUUUCUCAGCUGCUACCCAUCUCAGCUUAUACCAGGUUUGUUUAUCCUUUUUCCCUUUUUUUUUUCCUUUCGUUGUUGAUUACUGGGUUUUGGUUGCCCUUCCGUCCCCUCGGCCCUCUGUAUAAUGUAUAUGUACUGCUGUAAUUUUUGGGCAUAUGAUCCUUAUUAACUUGGCAUUGCAGUAGCGGCUAAAUGAUUAUAUUAUAAGCUGAUCAGCCUAAAUCAUUUUUUUUUGGUUUGUCCUCAAAUUAGAUAAGCUGUCAGUCUGUUUGUCCUGCAGUUUUCGUUUUUUUUUUUUUGACUCGGUAGAUAAUUUGGUUGCCCUGUUGUUUAAGUUGCGCCGCUGGUGAAACCGGAACUUAAUUGGGAGGUAGACUCCCUGUUAAUGUUUUUGGCCGACAAUAAAAAUGUCAAUUAAUUAGUGGUCAGGUAUCAGAUGUUGGUACUAAACUGUACUUCACUGCUAAAUUCCACCAACGGCCUCAGUAAAAGUCUUUUCUUUUGGUAUUAUCUGAAAACUGGAUUAAAAAAAAGAAAAAAAAAGUCCUCGGUCUUUCAGUUGGACAGCCUAUCAUAUGGUCCCUUCUGUCACUUAAUUCAGUAAUUGAUAAUUGAUAACCAUGUCAUUGUGGAGUUGUAUUAUAAUUUGAUAUUGAAGCAUGUAGAAAGUUUCCCUUGCUUCAAGUACUUCCAUUUGGUGAAUUGGGAUGAAUUUUUGACACGUUUGGUUACUUGGUCAAGUGAAGUGAGAAUUUGACAGAAGCUUCCAAAACAUGUUUUUCAGUUGUUGAACAAAUCUUCUUGUUUGUCUUGUUAGGUUAAUAUAACAGGUUAACAUAGAUAUAAUAACCAUGACUCUUUUAGUAAUAAUCUCAUACUACCAUUUAUCAUAGUUGCCAGUCUUUCAAUCUUUAGCUGUUAUAGGUAAACACGUAAUCCUAUAAUUAGAAAACUUUAUUAACCAAAGUGCAGUGACACAAAGAUUCUAUGAUGAAACAGAAUUUGAUUUUCUGUACAGCAAGGUUCUUUUCUUUCUUUAGCCAAAGCUUUUUCUGCUUCUGUCUAUAAGACAAAAUGUUUACACAUAUCCGGUUUCUGUCCUUUUGGUUUAUAUUCUUCAAAUCAUCUUUUCUACAAUCCACCAUUAGUGUAUUUCGCAGAAGCUCAAAUGCUACUCCACUUAUUAAAUAAUAUAAGUCCCUUGCUAGGCUCUUGCUACUAAAUCAUUCCGUGACCUCCUGUUUCUGAAAGGUAAACAACCAAAUCUAUUGUUGACUAAUUAGAGCUCAUUAAAUUAUGCACAACCUACAGUUGGAAAACUAUUAUGUCUACAUAUUAAGACUGCUGUCUACUACCAAACAUGUACAAGGAGUCUGAAUACUAGAGAAGCAACCAAAAGCUGCCAGGUGUAACCAAGAAUGUUAGAAUAUAAAUUCUAUCCUAGGGUAGAAUUACUUCAGAAUCUUUGCAGUGCCAAAUCCAGAGUAGAAUUACUUCAGAAUCUGGAUUUCCAUCUUAGCAGUGCCAAAUCACUAACAGGAGAUGCAGAUUAGGAUAUGUAUAUAUAUAUUAUUUAUUUAUUUAUUUAUUGAACCAGGGUUGAACCGGUCCGACCGGUUGAACCUCGAUUCUUUCACUUCACCGGUUCGCUUGACGGUCCGGGUUUUAAAACAUUGCUUUCAUUCCUUGCAACUAGAUUCACCUGGCUUUCUUCCGUUCAACACCGACAAUUCAAUACAAAAGGUAUUUCUUUAACUCAAUCUCUUCUUUCUUUCUUUCUUUGUUCAAUCUUCUCAAGAAUUAUGAAAAAAGGAUUUUUUGUGUAGAUUGUUAUUGUUUAUAUUCUAAAUUUUUUUGUUCAUUUUCUGUCAUAAAAUUCUUGUCCACGAGAAAUCUUGAUUUUUAUAUUAUUGAUUUGUGAUUAUAUCGUGCAUGGUUAUGGUAAAUGUAAGUUUCAGUGGUGAUACAUGAAUAUGAAAUUUAAAUGCAUACAUUCUGUUUGUUUAUUUGUCUGUGUAAGCUUCAAAAUAUUGUAUAAUGAUGAAUACAGAGUGUUUGGCUGAUGUCAAUAUUUGUCAAAGUGUGGCCAUGUAAACUUUUGUGUAAUGUUUGUUAAUUCUUCUAGACUAAUUGUUGGGGUGGCUCAUGUUGAAGACUUCGAAUCAAUAGCUGAGCCAGAGAAACGUGCGAAUUGUGAACAACAAGCUCUCACCUUUGCAAAACUGCUUCUGAAAGAAAGGCGAAGGUUCAAGAGCAUUGGUGAAGUUGUUUCUGCCAUUCAGCAGCCUAAAUCAUGAGAAAUUCCUCCUCAAAUUUAUGAUUUUAGAUAUUGCAAGGAUAAUUGAGUUAAAUUGUGAUACCUCCAAAGGACAAGCAGAAUGUAUUCAAGGGUAAUAAGAGAUUUCUUCGGUUUUGCAUCCCAAAAAAAAUAAAAAAUGAACGGGCAAAUACGUAAAGUUACAUUCUGAGAAAAUUCUUUCUUUCCAUAUCUCUCCAACUCUCAAACAAGGGAAAGAUGUUUCUUUUCUUUUCUUUCAUUGAACUCCCAAACGAAAUAUUCAUCUUUUCUCCUCUUUUCCUUUCUUUUCUAAGUUAUCUUUUCUCUUCUCUUCUCUUCCUUCGUCUACUCCCAAACUAAGCCUUAUUUAUCAGUUCUGCAACCGCUGAGAAACUCUAAAACCCUCCCACCUAAUUCUUAAACCUCAGUUUUUCUGCGUAAAUUAGCAAACAUUAGGAAAAAUGAUGAGGAUAGCGCAAGCUCCGAUUCAAUUCACAAAACAGCCCUACAUUGAAGAUGUCGGCCCCCGCAAAAUGUAACUGAUCUCUACUGCUAUUGCUCUUUUUUUUUUUGGGGUUAAAUCUUAAAUAAGUGAAAUUCCAACGUGUUUGAUAAUUUCUUUACUUUUUUUUGUGGAAAUUUGUGAACAGAGAAAGUAUUCAGUUUUCUACAUUCGGAGAAUCCGAGAUUCUGAAAGCAGCUGAAGUACAAGUAUACCGCGGUGUAUAUUAUGAUUCUGCGAAAAAGCCUUGGGAGAAUGGCUUAUUAGACCCUCAUAUGGUAUCUUAUUUAACGUUCAUUGUUUCUUUUAACAGUGGUGAACUAUUUUUGCGUACGAUGAACUGAUAGCCGUGAUUCAUUUUCCAUAUUUUCUAUCUGAUGGAGAAGAAAAUGUAUCUGCUGUUGUUAUUUCACAUUUAAAAGAAGAAGAGAAGGGGAGUUCGAAUAAAUAGCAUUUUCUGGGGAACUGAUGAUGCAUCAGUUAUCUUUUAGGUCUCUUUUGUGCGGCUAGAGUUUGUUUAAUCUGUCAAAUUAUGCGAUAGGAAUUGCUUUGUUCAGUAAAUUACUUGUAAUAGUCUAUUGAUAAGGGGAUCACUUCCAGUGACUUUCUAAUUUUCUAACAAGCUAAAUCAAUGUUGUUUUUUAAUGUAGGUACUGCUGUUGUUUCCAAUUUAUUUAUAGUUCAGAAGUGUAUUAAUUUAUUGGUUACAUUUUUGAGUUUCUGGAAUUGAUAUUAGAAAUCUUCUGAAAGGUGCUGUUUGGUCUAGGGCCCCGCAAACAAGAAUGGAAUUUGUGAAACAUGCCAUGGGAACUUUAGGGAAUGUCCAGGGCACUACGGAUAUUUGACUCUUGCUCUACCAGUUUACAAUGUUGGAUACUUGAUUACUGUCCUCGACAUCUUGAAGUGCAUUUGCAAGGUAGAUGCUUAUAGUUCUACUUAUAUGUUUGUGCAUAGUAUUUACUUUGACCUGCAAAUCUCUCUCUCUCUGUCUCUCUCUCUCUCUCUCUUUUGGAUUCAAGUUGAUGCAAAGUAUACUUCUUAUUUGCUGUUGGUUCAUCAUUUUGUACGUAGGACUGACUUGAAUAAUUAUAGGAGUGCUAGGAUGACAUUCUUUUGUCUGAAAAAAAAAAUUCUUUUACCAAUCUGCCUUCUAUUUGCCACUUGUGUCCUCAUGUGCCCAAAAAAAAAAAUCCCCUUCUCCUUGCACUCAGAACAUGCAAAGAGGUGCUGUUUCUAGAAGCGACUACUUCUGCACGUGGGAAAUGCUAAAUUUGCUAAUGGGAGUCAUCUGUAGAAGCAGCUCUGAAUAGUUUAAGUCUAUCAUCUUGGAAUGUUAAGAGGUUAAAAUGGCCUUCUCUCAUUUUUCUGUUGGGCUUGUAGCUAGUGAUAUGGUAUUUGGUAAGUUCUUCUAAUGAAAAUUUCAUCUGAAUUUUUGAGAUAAAGUUUCUUUCGGAAGUUUCCUUCCAUUACUGGGAGUCAAAGCACAUGAGAUGAAUAAUUUUUCCCACGUUGUCAUUUCUUAGUUGCCUCCUCUCUCUCUCUCACACACAUAUUUUGGUGAAUGGUGCUGGGCGUGUUGAAUGCUUUAUCAGAGUUAAAUUUUGAGCUUAUUCAUUUAUUUUUCUCCUACUGUGCUUUCUAGUUUUGGAUGUGUUGAAGAUAUGUGAUCUAAUAUUAGGAAAGAUAUGAUUAUAGUAUCAUGUAUUAAUUAGGUAUCAUAUGAUUAUAGUAUCAUGUAUUAAUUAGGUAUCAUAUGAUUAUAGUAUCAUAUAUUAAUUAGGUAGUAAAUUGAUUUAGAUUAGCAUGAUUUUAGGAUCUAAAUUAGGUUACACUUGUGUAUAUAUAUAUAUGUAUAUUGUGUAGUCCAAAUAAGAUGAAGGAAAAUAUUUUCUCUCCCUUUUUCUUAGUUUUCAUGGUAUCAGAGCCCUACCAUCAAGGUUAGGCUCUCUGUCCGCUGCCGGAAAAUUCAGUAGUCAUCAUUCGGUUCCUCUGGUUCUGUAUAGAACACAUUUGUGUUCUAUUCUUCACUCUUGUUUUAAAGAGUUCAGAUCUGUCUUUUUUUGUUUUUAUUCUGUUAAUUCUGAACCCAUGGCAGAAACGAAAUCUGUCGUUACGUCUGAUGUGGUUCCUGUGAUGUCUAAGAUCACGGACCACAAACUCAACAAUUCUAACUAUCUUGAUUGGAGCAAAACGGUUCGUCUUUAUCUGCGAAGCAUUGAUAAAGACAAUCAUCUGACUGAUGAUCCUCCAAAAGAUGGUUCAAGACAGACAUGGUUAAGGGAAGAUGCCAGAUUGUUCCUGCAAAUACGAAAUUCUAUUGACAGUGAGGUAAUUAGCUUAAUUAAUCACUGUGAAUUUGUUAAGGAGUUAAUGGAGUAUUUAGAAUUUUUGUAUUCUGGUAAAGGGAAUAUUUCUCGCAUAUAUGAGGUGUGUCAAGCCUUUUAUCGUGCAAAGAAACAAGAUAAGUCCAUCAUGACUUAUUUUAUGGAUUUUAAGAAAACUUAUGAGGAGCUUAAUCUGUUGUUACCGUUUAGUUCUGAUGUGAAAGUUCAGCAAACUCAACGGGAACAGAUGGCAAUUAUGAGUUUUUUGGCUGGUCUUUCACCUGAUUUUGAAGCUGCUAAAUCUUAGAUUCUUUCCAGUCCUGAGAUCUCAUCCUUGCAAGAUGUGUUUAGUAGGAUGCUUCGCACAGAGAAUACCCAGUCUGUUCAGUCCAGCAGUGCUCUUGUUGGUCUUGGAAAACAGCAAUACAAAGGUGGUGGUAAAGGAAUUGACACUCGGGGACAGAAUGCAGAAGUGGUUGUGUGUUACUAUUGUCAAAAGCCGGGCCAUAUGAAGCAUGAUUGUAAGAAAUUGCAGUACAGGAACCAGAGAACUCAAUCCGCACAUAUUGCUUCUACCAAUGAUGCUAUUAACCAUGGAAAGUCUGUUACGAUCUCUGCAGAUGAAUUUGCUAAAUUUUCUCAGUAUCAAGAAUCAUUAAAGUCUUCAUCUACUCCCGUAACUGCCAUCGCUGAGUCAGGUAAACCAAACACAUGCCUUCUGUCCUCGUCCUCCAAAUGGGUAAUUGAUUCUGAUGCUACAGAUCAUAUGACAGGUAAUUCUAGUCUAUUUUCUACAUUUCAGUCACACACAUCUGCACCUACAGUUACCUUAGCUGAUGGGUCAAAAUCUCGUGUUCUUGGAUCAGGCUCAGUUAACCCCACUCCAUUAAUCUCAUUGUCAUCUGUCUUAAGUUUGCCUGAGUUAUCUUUUAAUCUAAUUUCUGUGAGUAAACUUACCCGUGCCCUCAAUUGUUCUGCCCAAUUCUUUCCUGACUAUUGCUUGUUUCAGGAUCUUACGACGAAGCAGAUUAUUGGUAAAGGGCAUGAAUCUGGAGGUCUUUACAUUCUUGACACACAGAUACCAAAGUCCAUAGCUUGUUCUGGAAUUGUAACACCAUUUGAAGCACAUUGUAGGCUGGGUCAUCCUUCUCUCCCGUUGUUAAAGAUACUUUGUCCACAAUUUCAGAAUUUGUCUCUAUUAGAUUGUGAGUCUUGUCAAUUUGCCAAACAUCAUCGUGUUAAUCUGAGUCCUAAAGUCAAUAACCGAGCGGAUGCUCCUUUUGCAUUAGUUCAUUCAGAUGUCUGGGGAUCUAGUCCAGUCAUUUCUAAAACUGGAUUCAAGUAUUUUGUUACUUUUGUUGAUGACCAUUCUCGUAUGACUUGGUUAUAUUUAAUGAAAAAUCGGUCAGAGUUGUUUUCUCAUUUUUGUGCUGAGGUUAAGACUCAAUUUAAGCGUUCUGUACAAAUAUUGCGAAGUGACAAUGCCAAAGAAUAUUUAUUCGCACCUUUUCAAUCUUUUAUGGUGCAAAAUGGCAUUAUUCAUCAAACCUCUUGUGUUGAUACACCAUCCCAAAACGGGGUCGCAGAACGAAAGAAUAGACAUUUGCUUGAAACUGCAAGAGCCUUAUCAUUUCAAAUGCAUGUUCCUAAACAUUUUUGGGCUGAUGCAGUGUCCACAGCUUGCUUUCUAAUUAAUCGUUUGCCUUCAUCUGUUCUGAAUGGUAGGACUCCUUAUAAUACUCUUUUUCCAAAUAAACCUUUGUUUCCCAUCGAACCUAAAAUCUUUGGAUGUACAUGUUUUGUCCGCGACUCUGGUCCCCAAGUCACUAAAUUAGACCCCAAAUCAUUGAAAUGUAUUUUUCUUGGUUAUUCUCGUGUCCAAAAAGGAUAUAGAUGUUAUUGUCCUAGUCUUGGCAGGUACAUUGUGUCAGUUGAUGUUACUUUUCUUGAAAAUACACCUUUUACCCAUUCCUCAUCUCAUUCAUGUCAGGAGGAGGAUGAUGAUUUGUUAAUCUAUACUGUCACAUCUUCAAGAUCUUCCCCUGCUAAACCUCCAAUUACUCAGGUAUAUUCUUGACGACAAAAGUCUCCUGAUGCAUGCCCUGAACCAGUUCCUUCGUUACUAGAUCUUGUCUCAAGUGAUGAUCUUCCUAUUGCUCUUCGCAAAGGUAAGCGUCAAUGCACUUAUCCUGUGUCUUCGUGUGUAUCUUAUAAUCAUUUACCCACCUCUUCUUGUUCCUUUAUUACAUCUAUUGAUUCUAUCUCCCUUUCUAAAACUGUUCAUGAAGCCCUAUCCCAUCUCGGAUGGCGCAAUGCUAUGAUAGAGGAAAUGAAUGCUCUAGAUGGUAAUGAUACUUGGAACUUAGUAAAUUUACCUGCAGGGAAGAAGGCCAUUGGGAGUAAGUGGGUUUUUGCAGUUAAAUUCAAUCCUGAUGGGUCGGUUGCUCGGUUAAAAGCUCGCCUUGUUGCCAAAGGCUAUGCCCAAAUCUAUGGAGAGGAUUAUUCUGACACUUUUUCCCCUGUUGCUAAGUUAACAUCUGUCAGGUUAUUCAUUUCUAUGGCAGCCACUCAUAAUUGGCCUUUGCAUCAACUAGAUAUCAAGAAUGCCUUUCUUCAUGGAGACCUCCAAGAGGAAGUUUAUAUGGAGCAACCACCAGGGUUUGUUGCUCAGGGGGAGUCUGGGAAGAUUUGUCAUCUUCGAAAGUCCUUGUAUGGACUGAAACAAAGUCCUCGUGCUUGGUUUGGAAAAUUUAGUCUAGCAGUUGAGAGGUUUGGGAUGCAGAAAAGCAAAUCUGAUCACUCUGUUUUCUACAAACAGUCUGAAGCUGGUAUUAUUUUGUUGGUAGUAUAUGUGGAUGAUAUUGUUAUCACUGGAAAUGAUGCUGCAGGUAUUUUAUCUCUUAAAACUUUUCUCCAUAGUCAAUUUCAGACAAAGGAUUUGGGACUGUUAAAGUAUUUUUUGGGUAUUGAGGUGGCAAAGAGUAGGAAGGGGAUAUUCCUGUCUCAAAGAAAAUAUGUUCUUGACUUACUAUCUGAAACGGGAAAAUUGGGGGCUAAACCAGCUAGUACCCCAAUGAUCCCUAACUUGCAGCUCACAAAAGAAGGUGAAUUAUUAGAAGAUCCUGGGAGGUAUAGAAGAUUGGUUGGAAAGUUGAAUUACCCUACAGUGACUCGUCCAGAUAUCGCGUAUUCAGUUAGUGUUGUUAGUCAAUAUAUGUCUAAUCCUACUGUUAAUCAUUGGGCAGCUGUAGAACAAAUUUUGUGUUAUUUAAAAGGAGCUCCUGGACGUGGUAUUCUGUAUGAAAAUCAUGGUCAUACUAGGAUUGAGUGUUUUUCAGAUGCUGAUUGGGCAGGAUCUAAGGCAGAUCAAAGAUCCACAACUGGAUUUUGUGUCUUUGUUGGAGGAAACCUGGUCUCAUGGAAGAGUAAGAAGCAGAUUCCUGGUCUCAUAUCUCUUCAUCUGCAACUAAUUCUUGGUUUGUCGGGUAAAUAUUUAACUGCAUGUUAUGGAACUGUUUAUAUAGACUUGAAUUUACAAAAUUUCCUGGGAAUCGUGUACUACAUUCCUGUGAUAGUGGUAUUUUUGGAUAAAUCUAAAUGAAAUUGUUCACUUAAGUCACUGAUUAACAUAGGCGUCGUCAAUCAUAAUUAUUAAAUUAACUAAGUGUAUAUAAUGUAGCUUUAUAUUCUGGGCUUAUGUUCUAGGUUUAUUAUAUCAGCUUAGUUGCAUUAUGAAAAAAUUGGUACUAUAUGGAUGCUAACAUGGAGUAUCGAUCUUGAAAAGCUUCAAGGAAUCUUGGCUUGGUAUACAAACCAAAUGUUGAAAACUUGAACUUUGAUAGUUGAGCUGGCAUAAAAACCUAGCUAGAGUGAUGCAUUGAAUUUUUCUUUUUCCUGCUCAAGCCACAUAGUUUGGAGUGUUGUGGAAGAAUUUAUGCAAUUAAAUUUUAUGUCUGGCAUGUUUGAGGAAAAUUCUAUAUGAUAUUCUGGGAGAUGUAUUUAUGGUUCUUCGAAAAAAGAGGAUUAAAAAUCUUUUGGAUCCUGCUAAAUGCCUGCACAUUGACAUUUUACAUCACUAAUAUGUGCAGUAACGAGAAUGACACUACAGAGAGACUAAAACGCAUUAUCCAAGCUAAUGCUAGUCUUCGUCAAGAAAUAUCAGACACAAGCCUUCCAUCCAAAAGCUUGGUAUGAUUUUUGUUUCCCAAGUUCUAUAUUCUCUGACUUUGGUUUAUUAUUUACUUCCAUAUCCAUUUUGUAAUUAUUUGUCUGCUAGAUUUGUGUCACACAUCUUUGAUAACUAUUCUCUAUGCUUACUUUUCUUUUUGAGUUUUUAUUGUGUCUUUCUUAAUUCUGAAUCUGCAUGCUAAUGAUUGUUAGAAAUGUAAACACAAAUAACUUUUUUUUCCUUACAUAAAAUAGGAUGAAAAGAAAGAGGACUGGCUGCAGUAUCAUCUUUGACUCUGAUUGAUUCUCUUAUUGUUGUGUAAUUUGAAAAGAAAAGUGCUUCAAAUUAAGAAAAAAUGCACAAUGAGAUGACAGGCACUGCUCCAACCCUAUCAACGAAAGGAAAAAUAAGAAAACAAAGACUAUACAUGCUUUUCUUUGCUCCCAACUGGAAAAUCUGAUUGCUCAUUUGUCCUCGUGUUUGGCAAAGCAUGUUUCGUGGGGAUGUUGUCAUGUUUCAGUGAUUACAUUGACCCAAUCCAUCAUAUGCUAAUUUAUAUUCUUGUACUGUGGAUACUAUUGUUCGGGAUGUCAACAUUUUGCUGCAUGCCCUUGCCUGUAGUUGAAUGCAUUGGGUGUAUCUCACUGAAAUCUCCAAUGCCUAUUGGUUAUGUGGGGGUGCUAUGCUAUCUGUGGAUUUCAUCAUUUUGUAUUACCAUGCAUUUUGAGAGAUUUAUGGGCCUUUUAUCCUGUUUUGUGUGGUUUGCAUUCAUUCCCAUGGUUAUACCGACACCACAGCUUCUUGCUUUCCCUGUCCGAUGGUGUAACAAGUUCCUUCCCAGCAAAGCCCAUCAUACCUUCUGAAAAAACUGAAAAUGCCAAAAAGUUAAAAUUUGCAGCUAGUAUCAUUGAUUUAAUUGGCAUUGACAUAAUAGUAAUAUUUCAUCUAUUAAGAAGGUCACCCUGAAUACCUGAAAUAGAGAAUUAUAGCAAGAUUUCACUCCUACAUCUUCUAAAGCCCCUUUGAUAUCUCUUCAUCUGCAACUAAUUCUUGGUUUGUCGGGUAAAUAUUUAACUGCAUGUUAUGGAACUGUUUAUAUAGACUUGAAUUUACAAAAUUUCCCGGGAAUUGUGUACUACAUUCCUGUGAUAGUGGUAUUUUUGGAUAAAUCUAAAUGAAAUUGUUUCUUGGUCUUCCAUUGCAUCUCUUUUUCAAUGUCCAGGAAUACGUCACAAAAUUAAUUGUAUUGUGCCAUUGCAAAUGUAACAUCACUUCUGUCUUUGAGUAUAUCUUCUAAUGCACUUCUAGUGAUUUGUUCUUCACCUGGUUUAGAAUGGUUGGAUUGAUCUGCAAGUGGAGGUUGCACAAUAUAUAAAUAGUGAUGUACGUGGAGUUCCCUUAUCUGCACCAGCUACCAAACCUUUAAGUGGUUUUGUCCAGCGUCUGAAAGGGAAGCAAGGAAGAUUUCGUGGAAAUCUAUCAGGAAAACGUGUCGAGUAUACAGGAAGAACUGUUAUAUCUCCUGACCCAAAUUUGAAAAUCACGGAGGUAUGUUGUUUGAGUUAACUCAUUUCUGACUUAAGAUGAUGGUUUACACCAUGAGAAUAUCCUGUCUAGGUGAUUAAGGUAAAAGUAAGCCACACCAGUUUGUGUCCCUUUUGAUUGAUUUCAUCUAACAGGCUUUCUUUUCCAGGUUGCGGUUCCUAUAUUGAUGGCUCAGAUUUUAACGUAUCCUGAGCGAGUGUCCUAUCAUAAUAUAGAGAAGUUGAGGCAAUGCGUGCGAAAUGGGCCUAAAAAGUAUCCUGGAGCAAAAUACAUCAGGCAGCCAGAUGGUACCGAGAUGUAAGGAGUGUGUAUGUUGGGGCCUUUUUGUUUGUUGGCUAGGUCUUAUGUUUCCUUAUUUCACAAAUGUUGUUGUCCAUUAUGCUGCAGAUCAUUGAAGUUUAGUUCUAGAAAGCGUCAUGCUGAUGAAUUGAAAUUUGGUUACAUAGUUGAUCGUCAUGUAGAAGAUGGAGAUGUUAUUCUCUUUAACAGACAACCGAGUCUGCAUAGAAUGUCCAUCAUGUGUCACAGGGUAAUUACUGCAGUAUAAAUACUGAAGCAUUAGAGUGUACUUAUUUAGUUUUUAAUUUAUUUGUCCUUUUUUAUUGGCAGGCAAGAAUAAUGCCAUGGCGAACAUUGAGAUUUAAUGAGUCCGUCUGUAACCCAUAUAAUGCUGAUUUUGAUGGUGAUGAGAUGAAUAUGCAUGUGCCUCAAACAGAGGAGGCUCGCACAGAGGCGCUAAUGUUGAUGGGAGUAAGUAGUUAUUCAUGUCUUAUUUAUAGAUUUAAUUUAGCACCAAGUUUUAGAACAUCUUUUCUCGCGAUUGCUAGUAGAAUUUCAUCGCUGUGUUUUCAGCUUUUUGUUUUGUAUGUGAUUUUCUUUUCUCUUUGAAAUGUUAUUGACAAUUCUGCAGGUGCAAAACAAUUUAUGCACUCCAAAAAAUGGAGAGAUUUUGGUUGCUUCCACACAGGACUUUUUGACAUCUUCAUUUCUCAUUACAAGGAAGGACACAUUUUAUGAUCGUGCUUCUUUUUCACUUAUGUGUUCAUACAUGGGGGAUGGGAUGGAUCAGAUUGAUUUGCCAACUCCUGCACUACUUAAGGUUAGUUAAACUGAUGUAAUUAUAUUCUCUAAUUGCUACUUGAUUGAUAAUGUCUUUUUUAUUAUUAUUUUGACCUAUAUAUUCACCUCUUAUUCUUUUGGAUGGAAUAGCAGAUCCUUUUACCUUUAAGUUUCUUAAUACACCAUUUUUUCUUUUACUAAGUCAUAUUUCAUGAAUUGCCUAUAACGUGCAUGAAGUUAAUAUUCUUAACUACUUUAGACCUUUUAGGUUGAAAAAUGAUCAUGGCCUAAUGGCCUAAUAGUAACCCUAAAGUGGUAGAGAAUGUAGUUGAUCUUCUUAUAUUCAGUUCCAAGUUGGAGGCCUAGUUUUUUCCUGUCAAGUGGGCACCAUGCUAGUUCUUGUAGUUUCUUGUUCAAAUUAUAAGGUGCCCUGUUUGGAAAGUAGGAGGAUUUGGGAAAUUAUAGUGUUGGUUCUUUAUGCCUUUUUUUUUGUUGUUUUUGGUGGGGGGGGGGGACGGUGUUGUAUUGUUACUUGCACUUGGUGCUGUUACUGUAUAUAUGAUUUUUGCCUGUGCAGCCAGUUGAACUUUGGACCGGUAAACAAUUGUUCACUGUACUACUGCGUCCAUUUGCAAAAAUGAAAGUCUAUGUGAAUCUAACUGUUGCUGAAAAGAAUUACCAAAAGCCCAAAGAAACCAUGUGCCCGAAUGAUGGAUUUGUUUGCUUCCGUAAUAGUGAGCUGAUUAGUGGACAAUUGGGAAAAGCUACAUUAGGUGAGAUUCUUUCCUUUACUCCAAAAAUAUAAUGCGUGCCUACUUUAUGAAUUUUGGGUUGCUUCUGCUGUUAAUGUUUUCUCUCUCUUGCACUUGUUUUAUGGGGAGCAACCUGUAAGUUAAUUGCCAAGUUUUCUUAUUUAGCCUAAUUAGAGUAUGUUGCAGAGUCAAAGUAUACCACUUUUUGCCUCAGAUUCAGGCUUUUAUGUUGAGAUGCAUUUUCAGUUUUGCAUACUAAAUGACCCACAAACUUUGACCUCUGCAUGAAUUUGUGAUCAUGAGACUUGCCUUUAGAUUUUACAAAAGUCCCUCUAAUUUAAUCUGUGGUCUUUUAUUGGAUUUUUUUGAGCUGAUAUCAUGUUGUGGAAGAGUUGAAGGCUAAGAUUGGGUUUAUUGUUUUAAGGUUGAUGCCUUCUUUUUGAAGGGAUGAUUCUGAAAGUCAUCUUUUCGUCUUGAAAUGUAUUAAGUUGUCAUGAAGCUUUUUUUGGAGAACUAUUGCUUUAUCAUGUUUUUAAAAAAAGUUCCACAAAAAAUAUGAAUGUAGAAGAUUGAAACACAAAAUGGAAUCCUUAUCAAGUUUAUGCAUGUUCUUCUGUUUGUUAUAACUUUUCAUACUGUGAGCGAGAAAACCCAUACUUUCACCAAAAAAGUAUGAAAUGUGAUUUUUAGAGCUGGCUUUAAUGGGCAUCAUGUUCAUUUUAGCUCAGUUUUCAUUUGAUAUUCCAUCCUAAAGCAAGUAGUUUCUGAAUAGAUUCUAAUCCUCAAAUAGAUAGUCUAAUAUGUUAAUGAAAAAAAUAGGGAUGAUUUCACAACCUCUCCCGAGAUUUAUGACAUUUCAGUUAGCUCCUAUCAGAUUGCAAUAAUUAAACUUGCAUUCUAUUUUCAUACUGAUAGAGGUCAAAAAAAAGUUACUUUACUGUGUAAAGUGUCUGUUAACCUUCUCAUGUUCCUUAACGUAAUAAUCUAAAAACAAAGAUAGAAAGAAAGAAAGAAAUUCUACUUAGAGUGUGGCAUCACAACUUUAUAUGCUAUCUGAGGAUGGCAUCACAGUAUUUGUUUGUCCCGUAUAUGCAAUUUGUGCUAGUAUAUCCAUCUUUUGCCUCAUGUUUUUGGCUUUAGAAAGAGCACACUAGAAUAAUUUAAUUCAUUAGGAUAAGAAACUUGUGUAUUUAAGCACAAUGUAGCUCUGCAUUUGUGUGCUGGAAAAGAUUUAAGUUCUAAUUUCUGCAAUAUGCUGUUUUUUGUGUUUAUUGGUAGCUUUGGAUGCCUUAAAAUGUAAAGCUCAGAACAAGAAGUACUUAUGUUUGUGAUUGGAACAGGGAAUGGGAACAAGGAUGGUCUUUAUUCGGUCCUCCUAAGGGACUAUAAAUCACAUGCUGCUUCAGUAUGUAUGAAUCGCUUAGCAAAGUUGAGGUAUGUUAGUAGUGGCUUUUGACUGGCAACCAACCUUUUCCUUGUGUCUCAACAUUGUCUGUUAAUAAGGUUUCUCAUUGAACAGACACAUUAGUGUGUCAUAUACUUUCCAACCAUUCAUUUUGGUAUUUGUUUUAAAUUAUUGAUGCAUGUAAUUUGAACUUUGUUUUGAUAAUGUAAUUGUUAAGAAGCAAACCUCCUGUAAUUUUUCAUAUAUUCCUCUGUAUACUCUCUGCCAUAUCUUACAAGUAAUAUAAUAGGUAGUUGCAGUUUUUGUUGAAAAAAAAAUUCAGAGAGUUUAAUAUUUAUAAGCUAAUUUAUUAAGAAGAUUGUAUAAUCCAAUGCUUUUCAACUAUUGAUUGUUGUAUAUGUGGUUUACUAUUAAAUUUCCAGGUGUUGAGCAAUGGAUUCCUAGUAAACUUGUCAGUUGUCCGGACUCUUAUCCAUAUAGUUUUUCUAUGGUCAGGCUUACCUGACCUCUGCAAAAUUUUGUAGUAACUAUAAAUCGUGUCUUGUUAUUUUCAAAUUCUAUUGGAUACAAGUGAUCAGGAUACCUUCCUGCACAGUACCUGAUCAGGAUAACUUCCAUCUUUAGCCUCAUGAUCUAAUGAAAAUCUACCACUUAAAAAGUACUUUGAACCAAGCUCCUUGUACUUCUCCAGAACAAAAUGAGAUCUGUAACUAAAUAUCGCAUCGACGAUGGGCAUACGGGAGCUCCAUAACUGCUGAAUGUAUCUCUAUCUUAAAUUUACUUAACCCCCUACUCUAGACGGGCUUCAUAUUUUUCUAUGUAUCUGUUCACUUUUAACCCUCUUUAUGAUCUCUUGGUGGCAGUUUUUUUUUUUUAACUUGGAAGUAAAACAUCCUUAAUAUUCUUGUCUUUCUUUUGGGGGGAUGUUCAGAGAUCUUUCCAUACAUCUUGCGCGACUGGCUCUUGGAAUUCAAAAUCAUGUUGUCCAAUGAAGGCCAGUCUUUUCUUUACUUCCCUAGUCAACCACCAUCAGCAAUAUUUUAGCCACUCUUUUACACGCCCAAGCCCCAAAACCAACCCCAACCCCAAAAAUAAAAAAAGAAGGCAAUAUCUAAUUUGAUUGAAUUACUUGAACCUGAAACUGAAGUUAUUUAUCAUACCAAGUUUGGACAUUAAUUUUAGGUUCUUUGUGGAAUACGAAUUUGAGCACGCUGGAUUUCAAGUCCAUUUCUUUUAAAUCCUCGCAUAAAUUUCGAUCUGCCUAUUCUAACAGAACUUUAGAGUCUUUUCAUCUUGUCUACUGCUUAAGGAUAGCUAUUGCCCACUUACUGAUCUUUUAGGUUCUUUGGAAAAUUAUUUUGCAAUUCCUGUACUUUGUUUUGCCCAUAUAUGUUGAGUGCUUUAUGGUUCGAUAUGCUGGAUUUUAAUUUACCUUUUGUACUUGUAUUCAUUGCUAUGCUAAUUGAUGAACAAUGCUAUUUUGGGUUGUUAAGAUGGAUUGUAGUGUCUUUCAUGUGAGGCUGACAGCUUAUUGUGUGAUACAAUUGCUCUUGAAGUCUAUUAUAUUUGCUCCUUUAUCUGGACACUUUCUCAGGACUUAAAUUUCUGUCACAGAUUCAAAGUAGCUCUACGCAAUGAGUAUUAUAUUCAUUUUUCAUUUAAAAUGUCAUUUGCAGUGCAAGAUGGAUAGGGAAUCAUGGAUUUUCUAUCGGCAUUGAUGAUGUGCAACCACCUGAUCGUCUAAUUACUGCAAGGGAUGAAAAAAUUUCCACAGGAUAUGCAAUGUGUGAUGAAUUAAUAGAGAAGUAUAACAAGGGUGCGCUUGAGCUGCAGCCAGGUCAUGAUGCUGCACUGACACUUGAAGCUAAAAUAACAAAAGUUCUAAAUGACAUUCGAGAUAUUGCUGCCAAGGUACUUCCUGUUUUUACCCUGUUGUAGCACUGCUUGCAUAUCUCUGAUCUGAAAGUACCAGUGAACAACUAAGAAUGGGUCAGGGAAGAUAUACCAAGUGAUUCCUCAUUCUUUUGCCAGCCUGUGACCUUGUCCCUGACCUUAUCGUGCUUUAUGGGUGGCAUAGAUUGUCCAGCUUUUGCCAUUGGCAGCAAACCUCUCUUACUGGUCUUCUUUACUUUCCUCUAACUUAACCCUCCAGAGACAUCUUAUAACUUACAGACUGACUAGCUAAGACCAACAAGGCACAAAUAGAAGUGAAGUGAAGGCAUCCGUUUUCUUCCCCCAAUGUUGAGGAGGAUUUAAUUGCCAGCUGUCCAUGAUUACCUUGUGCAUUUCAACACAAACUUCUUUAUGCCAUUAUCAGCUCCUUAUUUUUAAUUACUAUUCUAGAAUUUAUCAUUGGCUGGGUCAUCUGAGUAGUAACUUAAAUUGGCGGAGUUGGACAAACUGAUAGAAAAUAUCAAACUUUAAGUCGUCACCAAAUAUCUUUCUUUCUGCAUUGAAUAUGUGCACAUGCAUAUGUACUGUUUCUGUCUUGUUUGCCUUUGGGGAAAGAGCCAUUGUCUGCAAUAGCUGUCUGUGUAAAAGGUUAAAUGAAGGAAAUGACUGGACAAGUCAGAACAUUACAUCAGUUAGACUACAUGAUGGAAGAACAUUAGGGGGUCAGAAAGGAAUCUGGCUAGAGAUCAAUGAUAAAAUGUGGUUCUGUGUCUUGUCAAAGGAUAUUAGUCUCUCUUCUGCUGCAGCUCUUUCUUAUUUUUGUACUGUUCUACUGACUUGGUUAUGGAUCUCACACAGGUUGAAGUCACCAUGAUUAUCUGUGAUAGAUUUAUAUUUUUCUAAUGUAUUGCCUUUUGUGACUUCUUAUUUCCCCUUUAGAUUUUAUGUAUUGUUUCUCCAUAUAAUGAUCAAGCCUUUUUAAUGAUUUGAAACUUUUUGUAGGAAUGUUUGACGUGUCUGCAGUGGAGGAAUAGUCCUCUAAUUAUGUCACAAUGUGGUUCAAAGGGAUCUCCUAUAAAUAUCAGUCAGAUGGUUGCAUGUGUUGGACAACAAUCUGUCGGGGGUCGUCGGGCUCCAAAUGGUUUCAUUGAUCGCAGCCUUCCUCAUUUUCCCAGAAAGUCAAAGAUCCCGAAGGUUUGUUCAUUUAUUUCAUCUGGAUAAAUUUUUCUGGUCUGCACCAAAGUUCAUCUGUCAGCAGAAGUCUUGGACUAGGAAGAGGGGAAAAAGAAGAAGGGAUUGAAGGUGGAGUCAUGGAUGGAUGACUCUGUGUGGAUUUAACGGGGAAUAUCAUGUAGUGGGAAGAGAAAGGGGUAUGCAUUUGAGGGGGAAAAAUUUGAUUUAGUGUUUAGAGAUCUGAAAUACAUUCUGCAACAUUACUUAAUUUCUCUUACCUUGUGAUUAAGAAUCUUUCAUGUAUCAUUUAUUAUGUGUAUCAGCAUAUGGUUUAAUACUUUAGAAUCUGCGGGUGGAGUGGUGAUAUCAUUGUUAGUUUACAAAUGAUAUCAUAUCAUUUUGCAGCUUAGUUUAUGAAAUCUUGAGAGUUCUUUCAUAUAUUGUUGAAUUUUGAAUAGGAUUAGGGCCAUAGAUUUCAUUGGGGUAAAGAUUGGGAUCACGUCUUUUUUGUUGAAAUGAUUGGUUGGUUCCUGUGGUAGCUUUCUGGCUUUUUUAUCCUGGGCAUUUUCUUUUGGCGAUAUGUAACUUUUGAGCCGAUUGAAAUUUGUGUCUGUCUUAAGAUAAAUUAAAUGUCUUUUCUGGUGAUUGCCACAAGUAUUUAAAGCUUUAAAUUUUAUUGAUAGCCAAUAUAAAAUUGUCCACAAGUCAAUUGCACUUAGUUUAACCAGUUAUGUUGGAUUGUGCAUGUUACAAUGUGGAGUGAGACUUGGAUAAAUAAUACUAUGUAGUUCUUUUUGUUAGGAAAUUGGCUUAAAUUCUUUUAGGUAGAUUUCUUAUUUGGUGUGGGAAGUAACUAGAUUCCUAAUUGGUUUUAGUUACUUGAAGUAAUAGUCAAGUAAAGCCCUAUUUAGCAGGAAUUAGAUGUUAUUUCGAUAUGAGUUUAGGAAAUAAUAUUGGUUUCCAAUUGUUAUUUAGUUUUUUGGCAGCAAUGUUCCCUAUAAAUAGGUGGGUUGGCAUAUUACACGUGACACACAAAAGAGACACAAGGGCAUCAUGUAGCUUUAUACAUGGGGUGUGAGAGAGGGUUCUUGGGAGAUGAGAGAUGGUAUACAAGGGUUGGGUUCAGGUUCAAGUUGUAUUCUUGUAUAGGGUUUCCUCUCAUAAUAAAGAACAGGUUUCUCUCCGUGGAUGUAGGCUCAAUGGUGGAGCCGAACCACGUUAAAUAUUGUGUGUCGUUUAUCUUUCAUGCUUGUGACUUGUUUCCUCAUUAAAUUGUUGUGCACUUGAUGUCUCAAUAGUUGUUUAUUCCGCGCCUGGAUCCUAACAAGUGGUAUCAGAGCCAGGUUGCGAGACUUGACUGCUCAAGGUUCAUAGUUGGAUCCUAGUUAACUAUUGAGAUCAAGUGGAUUGGUAGUUGUCACCAAUUGAACAAUUUAAUGGGUGGUAUCCUUGUUUCAAUGGCUUGGGAAAAACCAUUAAUGGUGAAGGAUGGGAAGUCGAAAAGCAUGGAAAUGCUUGGCAGUGAAUCUAAGCAGGUGAUUCAAGGGUCAAGGAAAAGGUGGAGUCCAAUGUUGAUUUUGGACGUGAAUCGGUGGAGACUUUCUCACAUCUCCAACGGUUGAUUCUUCAUCCCGGUGGAUUUUAAAUUUUGGUUAUGUUUUUUGGGUGGUGUGGCACGUGUCCCAAAGAAAUAAGGAGAUCUAAUUUCUAUGCGUCAGAAGACUCUGACAGGUACGAGUUUUUCGUUUUAGGUGGAGUCUUGAAAAUCACAUGUGGCGAGACAGUCCUGAGGAUGGGAAGAAGUAUGGUGACUUUACCACUUGAUUGCCUCAAUGGUUAGGGUUAGAGCUCACAGAAGGGAAUCCCAAAUUGCAAGUGGUGGUGAGAAGAAAUCCUGCAAAGGGAGACGGUGAAUUGAGGCACCUUCUCACGAGUCAACUGGAGGUUGGACUCGGGGUAACUACACAUGUUCAUUUGCCGAUUGAAUCAAUUUGGUAUCAGGACUGUAUUGAUUCGGAUGUGUAGUUUGGUACCAUAUUAUUUGGUAGUUGAAGACAAAUGGUUUCUAAAAGAAAUUUUCGCCAAGGUGGAGAUUUGUUAGGAAAUUGGCUUAAAUUCUUUUAGGUAGAUUUCUUAUUUGGUGUGGGAAGUAACUAGAUUCCUAAUUGGUUUUAGUUACUUGAAGUAGUAGUCAAGUAAAGCCCUAUUUAGCAGGAAUUAGAUGUUAUUUCUAUAUGAGUUUAGGAAAUAAUAUUGGUUUCCAAUUGUUAUUUAGUUUUUUGGCAGCAAUGUUCCCUAUAAAUAGGUGGGUUGGUAUAUUACACGUGACACACAAAAGAGACACAAGGGCAUCAUGUAGCCUUAUACAUGGGGUGUGAGAGAGGGUUCUUGAGAGAUGAGAGAUGGUAUACAAGGGUUGGGCUUGGGUUCAAGUUGUAUUCUUGUAUAGGGUUUCCUCUCAUAAUAAAGAACAGGUUUCUCUCAAUGGUGGAGCCGAACCACGUUAAAUAUUGUGCGUCGUUUAUCUUUCAUGCUUGUGACUUGUUUCCUCAUUAAAUUGUUGUGCACUUGAUGUCUCAAUAGUUGUUUAUUCCGCGCCUGGAUCCUAACACUUUUCGUGCCUUUUUUAAUUAUUGCAUAGUCUCCAUUACCUGCCCUAUUAUUGUUUGAGCUGCUGAUCUGCAGACUAUGUUUCAGUCUUGUUCAUUCUGGGUUUAUCUUGUGUCCUUUCCUAACACGAUCAACAGUCAUAAGAAUUGUCAUAAUGUGGAAUAAUUAUAAGUGUCGGAUAAAACUCAUCAUAGUUGUCUAUUUAUCUCUUGAGAUUUUAUGCUUCUCAUUAAUGUUUUGUUAAUUGAUCAUCAAAAUCUAAAAUUUGCGUGUUGGGUGUUAUCCUAAAGAUGUCUUGAUGAGUUACUACCAUUGAUUACUUGAAAAGAUGCAUUUUUAUUCUAUUCUUACAUUUUCUCAUUUGGUGUUCCACUUUGAAUCAAAUACUUAAGUUCAUCUAAUAUUUCUUUCAGGCGAGAGGGUUUGUGGCAAAUUCAUUUUAUAGUGGUUUAAGUGCUACAGAAUUCUUUUUUCACACAAUGGGAGGAAGGGAAGGCCUUGUGGAUACAGCGGUAUGUAUGAUCUUUUUUUUUCCCUUUACACAGUUGCCUAGUUAAAUUACAAAUGUUUACACCUUUUCUUUAUUUAUGUGUUUGUUUAUUUUUUGGGUCCUUGAUUGCGAUUUCCUUGUUUCAUUUUUUCUUUUCCAUUUAAUUAUGUAUUGAACUUGCAAAAGUAUUGACUUAGCAAUGUUGUAGAGGUUAGUAUUGAUCUGCUAGUACUAUAUAUAUAUAUAUAUAUAUAUAUUUUGUCUUUUUCCUGAAGACCUUCUGGUUGUCUUUCUUUCCUGCCAAGGUUUUGUUCCAGAGGUUUUUGUGCUGUACACAGAAGCUUUAUUUGUAAUGCGUUUAUAUUCCUGUUAGUGCAGCCUGAGAUUUUCCCUUCAUCUUAUUGUCUAAUACUGCAUCCUCAAUUCUGGUUGUUCUGAGUUUUUCAGCCACAUAACUUUUUGAAAUUUAUUCCUUCCAUGAUCUCGGUUGGAUUGUUAAUUCCUUUCUUUUUCUUCCAUAAGCAAAAGUACUAUUUUCUAUCUUUUCUGCUUAUUUACAUCCUUUUCACUUACUCAAGUAAAUGAUAAAGUUUUUCAGAACUAUUUGUGGCACUCAAAAGCAUGGUACUCUUUGUUUUGUGUUCUAAAACAGUUUGAUAACUCUUUAUCGUGCUUAGAAAAAAGGAUAAUUGCUGAGUGUUUAUACUUUGGUUUAGUGUCUGUUGGUUAGUUUGUUUUGGGGAAUUAGUGUAUAAAUGUCUACUGCUACAUCUUCUAUUUUUGGUGUGAAAUGGACUGCAGAUUCACAAUCAGAUUUCUAGAAAAUCUGUCGAAGUUAAAUUUUAUGUACGUUGUUUCAGGAUAAUUGUUGAAAAUCUAGAAAAGGUUGUUUAGUAUUGAUUGUAAGCUUCCUCUGGACAAUCUUGAAGGCACAUGAAGUUAAAUAUCAUAGGGUUUUGAACAUUUGUCUUGCUUACAUGUUUCCUUACUCUUCUCACUUUAGAACUCUUAUCCGUUUUUGCAGUUCUGAGAUGUUCUACAAUGUCAUAUCUUGUCACUGAUUAAACUGCUGAUUUUGGGAUUUUCUUUGAAUACAAUGCGAUAAUUUGGCAAACUUCUUCAACUAAUGUGAUCCUUCAAAAUCUUGCAGCCUGCAAAAUUAUGAUGCUUGGGCUUCAAUUUUAUAUUAUUAUAGGUUAAAACUGCUGAUACUGGAUACAUGUCUCGUAGACUCAUGAAAGCUUUGGAGGACCUUUCAAUUCAAUAUGACAACACUGUCCGAAAUGCUAGUUCUUGUAUAGUUCAAUUUGUUUAUGGUGAUGAUGGCAUGGAUCCCUCACAAAUGGAAGAGAAGAGUGGACAUCCUCUGAACUUUGACAGAUUACUUAUGAAAGUGAAGGUUGUGUAUUCACAUCUUGAGAUCUCUUAUACCUGGUGCCAUGAAAGUAAAACCAGAUCCUCUUAUACUCGUUUAUUUCCAUUGACAGGCCACCUGUCCUGCCGGUGAUCAGAAGAGCUUGUCCCCAUCGGAUAUCUGCAAAAAGACUGAUGAAAGGCUCUCAGAACGUGAUACGACUCCCGAAGGCGGGUGCUCAGAGGCUUUCAGAGACUCUUUGUCCAAGUUCCUUAAAGUCAAAUGUGUUCAAAACUUGGAAAAAACAAUUGAAAGUUUGAAAGCCCAGGAAGAAGACCAUAACAGCUCUUUCGAAAAUAUCUCUUCAAAUAUAUCCGGCUUUACUUCUAGGCAGCUGGAGGUGAAACCUGAUACUAAAUGUUCUUUUCUGAUAUACAUCUUACAAUUCAACUACCUGAAUGCAUUUCUGUGCAUUCUUGCUGGCCGUCCUGCUUGCAUUAUUAACCUUUCAAUGUGUUCAUUAUUUUUCUAAAUUUUUUAUUGUUGCAAUAAUCAUUAAUUGAUAUCAUCAUGAUGCUAUCAUUAUUAGGUCACUUGCUACAGCCAGGACAUGUGUUUUGGCUUCAAAACUGGAAGUUUCUCUUAGUGAAUUACCAUCAAGUGCACGAAAGGACUGUCUCUGUUUGGGUGAUCUUGGGAUGUUGACGAUCAUUUCAAUUGCUUGAUUUAUUUUUGGUCCCAUCAUACACAGAAUUUUGUAUGAACUGUCACUAAUUGUUCUAAAAAUUUGACAUUAUGUGGACAAAUUCUUGUUUCCCCUGGGAGUCCCGCAAAAGCCCUCCCCUUCCACUCAACCUUGGAUUGCCAAGCGAACACCCGUCUGUAUUAGGCUUAUAACCUGCCGUUGGGCCCACCCACUUUACAAGCCAAAUGAGCAUCCGUUUUGGCCGAACUUCCAAGUCCGUGUGCAAGCUCCCCCAAGAGCCAUGGGAUACAUUUGUUUAACUCUCUUAAUUUCCUGAAACUACAGAGGAGUAGACCCAAGCUGCUCUCCUCGCGGUCCACAUCCGUAGGGGAUUUUGGUAAUUAGCAUCUCCAACGUCUUGGUCCUUACAACAAGUGGUUUUCUACUGGCUUCUCCACUAAUUUUAGUUAACAGUUGUUUGACAAUUAUUGUGAUUAUUCAUUAAUGGGUGUCACAAUUUAGAUUCUUGCUGCUAUGUGGUAGGAGAAUAUUUCCCAUGCAUAGUGCUGCUGUAUUUCAGUUUCUUCAAGAUAUUAAAAGGAGUUUCUUUAUGUAUGUCGGAAAUGUUGAUUGUAUAAAGUUUUGUGUAUUUGUUUAUGAAGCUGGAUUAUUGUGACGACCCUACCUCUUCCUAGGGUGUACUCCAGGAUUUAACAGACCGUCUGCCCAACUUUUGCCAAGAUGCACUUACUCAUUUCAAGAAAACAAGUGAUAACUUCGAAAGGGAAACGAAACAAUAGUUCCAAACUUAGAAUGUAUAUUUAUGUUCAAAUCUAUCUCAAAUAUUCAUACAUUCCUCAAAAUACAAUAAAAGAUUUAAGAUCCAGAUGACUUCCAACUCUAAUCAAGCACUAGUGCGAGUAUAAUUCACAAAAACCAAAAACUAGACAACACUAGCCUGUACCAACCUAACGCCCCCGCUCGUACCCCCUAUAAGGAAAACAAAACUAAUAAGGUGAGUCAAAACUCAGUGAGAUUCCAAACAUCAUGCAAGAAUCAUAUAGCAAGUUAACCACUAUGUAAAACUUGAAAUAUCAAAGUAGCAAGCAUAAGAAUUCAUAAAAGUAGACAAUAACACUUCAAAUAACAAAUCAUUAGAUAUCCAACAUUUCCAGGUAAAAGGAUAUAGUAGUUCUUGCAAGUUAACUCCGCCAUAGCUUCACCAAAUAGUAGUUGACACUCCGUCAACUUUCAAGUAGAGUAACCAGUCCAGUAGAUCACCACUUAGCUCCAAUCUUCAUCCACCAAUCAACCUCCUACUGGGCCCGAACUUCAAAAUAACAGUGGUGGUAAUAUUCGAGUAUACCGAAUCCAGUGAACCAUAUCCAAAGGAUUACACAAUAAAUAAUAAACGAUAAAAAAUAAACAGUACCUAUGGUUCGCCAGUCUCCUCGACCAAAUCCUUACUAGCUUGAUUCGACUAACUAACCAACAGGGUUAGGAUCCUAGGCAGUAUUCAAGUCAUACACAUCUAUAUAUAUCAAAUCAUUUGUAACCAAUGCACAGUAAUAAGUCACAUGUGCGAUAAAGUACACGUUUAUCCUAUCAAACAAAGUGAUUCAUUCAAGUAAUAAGUUCAAACAUGCAUUUGAAAACACUCACUAAUGAUUUAUUGCUUUCCAAAAUCAAACUUAGGUUCAAAUCCUUGGCUGGAAUCCAAAUCUGCGAUAAAAUACCGUUUAACAAUUUACAAUCAACUAGGGUUUCAAAAUAUGGGAGUUUCGCUUAAAGAAAACCAAAUGAAUAGAAUGCAUUUAAGUGGCACUCGUUUUACUUAUCAAAUCCUAGAAAAUUCAUGCUUGCUCUUUUGUUUUCGAUAAAGAAGUGAUUAAAAUGUUUGAGUUCACAACUUGGCUAAAGAAACUAGGAAAUCAUGUUUAAAGUGGUUACUACUUUGUCUUUGAAAAAUAUACACUUUUGAGCAAAAUUUUCGCUUAUAAGUCACUCACAAGGUCAACCUAAGCAUCCCUACAUAACUAAGCCCCAAAUUGAGCACAAGUCACACACUUAUUUCCACUUUCACUCACUUAUCCCACGAGAGAAAAAUCGGGCAGCGUUUCCUUUAUGUUUACCAAUUUUUCCAGCCAUAGAAGGCUUCAUUUUCUUUCCAAAUCAGCUCCACAUCAAUACUACAAGUAAGAAUAUAAAGAUAGCUCUUGAUCUAGGCUAUAAAACCGUCUAACUAUAGCUCAUUUCUAGCAAAUAAUCAUCCAAUACCAAGCUGGAAAAUUCUUACAAAAGUUGAAAUUUCCUCUUUUAAAACUAAAAAGUCACAAUAAGGCUACUAAUCACCUCACAAGUCCAAAGCCAAGCUCAAAACCAACAUAUUAUAGUUAAACAACAUAAAUUAAGGCUGAAAAUUGCAAAACCCCUAGCUGAAAUUUCACUAAUCUACACCAAACCUAGAGUAUCAUCCAUAAUAUUCCAAGAUUCAAGUCAUCUACACCAUAUUUUGCAAGAAUAAGAAAGAAAAAGGAAGUUGUUGAACUUAUACCUUCAAAGAAGUGAAAAACCAAGCUAUUUAUCCAAAAAAAACUCUCCACUACAAGCUUCCUAACUCCCUUGGUACUAGUUUAAUCGGUUUAGUUUUUGUGAUUUAAACUCAAACAAGGAAAAAUCAAGAUGAAGUUGGAAGUUUCUCCUCUCUUUUUUUCUCUCAAAUGGUUCGGCCAACAUGAAGAAAAAAUGGAAGAAAACUGAGCCAAAAGGAAAGAUAAGAAGAAAGGAAUGUCUUGGCGAAACAUCUCUUUGAUUGCCAAUACUUGGUAAUCAAGUUUCUUUUUUUUCUCUCACCUUUUCUUAGUCAAAGAUUUCGGCUGGAUUAAGGGUUAAUUUAGGGAUGAUUAGAUGAAAUAAAAACAAGAAGAUUAGGGUAAGAAAGUAUUGGCCAAGUGAUGUACUCAACCGGUAACAAACGACACACAUCGGUUCAAGCUUAUUUCCUUGAAUCUCUUGUACUUUUGUUUUAACUUAUGAUUCACUAACUUAUUAUUAGCACUUCUAAUCACACAGUUCCUCUUACUUAAUAUUCGCUCUUAUCCAUCAUAUUUAGUACACAUAUCUUAUCAACUGACCACACUACCAAAAUAUGCAAAAACCCUUAUUUAUCUUAACUAUAAGAGUAAAAGUAAAACUUUCGAUUUUAUGAUGUAUUACAACUAUUGAGAGAGUAAAUUAAUAGUAAAGAAAUGAUAAAUGAACUUAUUCAAAAUAAAAGAGAAUUAUAAGGAAAAUAUAGGUGAAUUUUCAAGUGCUCGGUCUUUUCUUUUUUGGAAAAGGUAAAACAAACAAGCACUAAAAUUCAGAAUUUUGAAAUCAAAGUAAAGAUUGAAGAUAAUGAAUAUUGAGUUGACCUUUUCAACAGAAUCGUGUCCCAGCAUCCAGAGACGAUCCCCGGAAAAGAAAAUUUUCAAAUCGAAGCACCCUACAGCUACAGUUGCCUGUGCACGCCUCAAGCUGGUUGUCCAAUACGAAAACAAGUAAUGGCAAAAUUGUUCACAAUAUUACAUCGAUUGGGUCUUUCAAAUUUAAUGCUUGGAAGCCAUACAUAUACAGAUUUAAUGUAGCAUAAUUUUUUGAAAAUUGUAAUAAUUUUACUCCUAACUUUUAAAUACAUAUUGACUAUUCACACGUACAAAUUUUUGUGUAUAAUUUUAGCUUUUUGUCAUACUUUUAGAAAGGAAUCUGUAAAAUAUGAGUGUACAUAAUAUUCCAUACAAUGGCCUAUGUUGAAAGUAAAAUAUAACAUUCAUUAGCUUAAACCUACUUCCACAGUGGUAAAUUCCGGAUUCCAAAACAAAAUGAUUGACGUUCAAAUCAGGCCAAUAUUUUGUUAAAAUAAAAAAAUGAUUCGAACAAAAUAUCUUUCGGAUUUCCAAAAAUAAGAAAAACAUAGCAAAGACACAUACAUGCCAGAAAUAUAUAGUCAGAACCCAGAAAAAUGAAAUAACUUGAGAGAAUCUACAGUUUUGGUGAGUGUCUUUGGAUCCAUAAUUUCAUAAAAAUAGAAAAAAAAUACAUUUAAUAAUUUUAUAAUACAACUUAUACCUGUCGCAUAAAUAGCCCAAAGAUAGAAUAGAGUGAUAAAAAAGGUUAAUGCGUCUCACAAUUGCAUGGUACUGACAGGUUGUCGAGUCUGUGCAAUAAUAAUUACCUACUCAAGUAAAAUACAGAUUUUGUAUAUAGCGGUGAGUAGAGUCGAAUCCACAGGGAUUGGGGAGAAAUUUAUUUCUUUUCAAGUAAAGAUUAAUGGGGGGUUUUUGGGAUUAAAUGCUAACUAAAUAAAUUAAAUGCAGAAAAUAAUUAAUUAAAAGAAAUAAUUAGAGAAACUCUAGCCAAGGAUACACUUCAGAAAUGGUUCAUGCACUGAUCAUCGAUUCACAAAUAAUUCCAACAUUUAUUAAUAGAUUAGUUAUAGUUGUCAUGCACGCGAUAAACAACCAACCUUUCCUUAAUUUCUCGAUAGUUAAGGUACAACCGUUAACUAUUUCUCUAAUCCAGAAACAACCCUAGGUACGACUGUAGGAUUUAAUUUCUAGAUUGUAUUAAUAAUUAGAAAGGCUCAAUCCUAACUAAUAAACACGUUACGAGAGUUUAUUUAAGUUAGAUCAUAUGUUCCCCUGACAUAAACCUAAUUACGCCAGUUGCUACUGAGACAGAGAUAACGAACAAUUACGGAUUCAAUUACCCCUAUUUAGCAAAAUAGCCUAUAUGAAUAAUUAAUUAUUGCGCACUAAUCAAUCACACACACGGCUAUAACAAUUAAAAACAGGAACCAUAUAAAUACCAAUAAAUGAAGAAGCGAUUAAAAUAAAUUCGAUCUCACAGUAAUUGCAGAAUCAAAUCUUCAGUUAUCCCUUGACUAGAACUAAGAAGCUAGUUCUCCAUUAAUGGUUAAUGGAGAACCAGCCGUCCAAGAAUAAAAAUAAUAGCCGGCUUUUCUAAUGUUUUCCUCCCCUUUAAAAGUCGGCUCAGGAGGAAAAAUAAAAGACCUAAGUGCCUGCGAAUUUGUUGCUGGCCAAACUCCUAAUCAAACGUGAAUCCGGCUUUUUUUCCUCCCUCCAAAUCCGUGCCAAGGAAACAAAAGUACUUUUUAUAAACAGAAUUGUACUGAUUUUUAUACAAAAUGUACUGCAAAAAUUUACACUAAAAGAUGUUGGUUUUUGGGGAAAGGACAAUACGGUUGUCUUUUACAACAACUACAAAAUUAAGCAAUCAAAAGUACUUUUCUUUUCCACAAAACUAUAUUAACAUUAUUUGAAUAGUGUGGUUUUAAAAAGGUUUGAGCAGCUGCGAAAUCAUCAAUGUAAAUUUUUAACAUUAUUAUUCAGGAAAUAGAAUUAAAAAUCAAAUCUCCUAUAUAUAGUCAAAACUUUUUGGUGGCCCGUGGAUGGGAGGGGAUCUUGCCACCAGUUUUUCAAUAUUUGACCCGUAAAUUAUCAAUAUUAGAUGGAGCGGAUCAACGAAUACAGGAUCAAAUGCGACUAGGCCUAAAACUAUGUUUCAAAUGAUAGAUUUAUUGUGUAUUUGGUUUAGUAAGUAUACGGAUAUCGUGAAAUUGUAGUUUGUUAUUCUGUCUAUAAAUUAGUCUAUAAUGAUAUAAAACAUUAUCUAUCCUAUAAAACAAGGAUACAUGCCUGUCUAUGACCAUGCGAAUGAAACUUUAAACUUUAAAAGUCCCGAGGACACACUUAACUAUUUUGACUGAUUAAAUAGAUCGCUGAUGACUGAUAAAUGCUUUUAGCAUUGAUAAAUUAUUUUGACUGAUGACUGAUUAAAUAGUUCAGGUGGAGUUUAAUAGAGACCAAAGAGUUGACAAUCAAAUCUAAAAUAAAAAGCCCGCACACAGAAAAAGAGAGAGAGAGUUGAAUGCCAAUAGAGUACAGGACUCCGUCAUAGGAGGGAACACCUAAUGCAGAUUGAACUCCUAAUCCUUGGAAAAUCGGAUAAUUUCGUAGGAUUAGAUGUGAAACCAGUAGCAGAAGGAAGAAUCGGCAUUGAAAAGUCAAGUUUCUGGUGAAGACUUUGUCAGCAUUACUGGUUCAUGCCACCACUAUUCACUUAUGUGUAAGCAUACUUGAUCCCAUGUAAUUAGCAAAGUUGUGAGCAAUUAAGGCCUAAAUAUUAAGUAUUGAUUUGAAGAAGCUUUGGAUACAGAGGGGAAGGAGGAAUGGUUCGAAAAGCGGAAACUUCGAUGGUGUUCAAUCUGCUGUUGAUUGCCAUUUUCUCGUACUCAUUCAAGAUUUCAGGAGCAUCGAAAAUUCUAUUGGGCCGGUGGUAGCCAGUGAGUAUAUAUUCUCGGUUAAUUUUCUAUUGGUUUUUACUUUUUAUAUGAGACCUUAGUAAUUGAUUUUAGGAAAAGAAAGUAAAGUUAAAUAGUGAAAGUUGUAUGUAAUGGAGCAUUAGUUGCUUACAUCCAAGAACCUUAAUGGAGCAUUUAUUAGUUGCUUACAAGUUAAUAGUACAAGAAAAGGAACUUAAAGCAUCGUAAAAGUAGGGGAAAAGUGUAUAUUGAAUGUAUUAGAGCAAUUGCAUAAAGGGACAAUUAUCUAAUCAGAUCUCAAAAUGGUUAAAACAAGGAGGAAUUUUACUUUUAUUGCGAGUAACAAUUGUGAAGAAUUUGAAGGCUAAUUUGAAUCUUAGCAGAAUCUGAACAAAUACAAUAUGCUUUGCUUUCAAGGAUUUCUUCAUUCAUUCUGCCUUUCCAUCUUUGAAACUACAGAUUACCGAGAGAAGAUUCCCCUCGAGGUUCUCAUCCUUGGGUCGACCAUGGGCUUCUAUUGAAUUUGUGAAGUUCUGACGAAGAAAAAACGAUCGCCAAGGGAGAAAGUAGAACAGAAUGGACUACUUUAACACUAACAAGUUAGGAUUAUGAAAUAAAUUGUGCCAAAGUUUCAAGUUCAUUAAUUUAUUAGUAUCUUUUAUUUAACUAGUCAGAAUUGCUUAGGUUCAUGAUAUUCUCUACUGCAGACAUUAUCAAUUAUCUUCUCAACAUUUUGACUCCUAAUUCCCUGUUUAUUGAGAGAAGGAUGACUUCAAUAGAAUGGCCUUCAGUUUUUUGUACGCUUCAAAAGGUGCAUAUGACAUGUCAACAAUUUUAGGGUCUGUUUGAUAACAUAAAAAAGUGCUGAAUCUGAAUUUUUUUAGACAUUCAGAUGUUUUGAGUGUUUGAUAAAUGAAAAUCUAUUUGCUGAACUUGUUAAGCAGUGCUGAACCUAUGUGUAUUUUUUUCAGCACAAGAAUCCUAACUGAAUGCUUAAUUCUGAUAAGAAUCAAUAGAAUUACUUCAACUACCUUAUCUUAUCUACCAAAUCUACCCUUGUUUGUUAAUUAUAUUCAAAAUUCUUAUCUAAUUAAACAAUCUAAUAUUCUUUAUCUAACGAUUUUUAGUUUCUCUUUCCUCCCUUUUUAAUGACUUUCACAUUUUCUCCAUAUUCCUCAUAUAAUAUAUUUCAUCUUUUAUAUUAAUUUGAUUUAAAAAUAAAUAUUGUCAUUUUUAUACCUAACAAUUUUAAACUAAUUAAAUCAUAGAUUCUAUUUCUUUUUCGACUGAAAGGAUAUAAGGGCAAAAUUGUCAAAUUAAACUAAUUAAGCAUUCAGCUAUAAAUAUUAUCAAACAAUAUAAAUAGGUUUAGCAUUAAAAUUCAGACAUUCAUAUAUUUUUUUCAAUGUUUAAAAUUCAGCAAAUUAAUUAUUUCAGUAUUCAGAUUUCAGAAUUCAGACUUCGGAAUUCAGAUUCAGUUUUAUCAAACGGAACCUUAUUGGUCGCCAUACAAGAAUAAUUAUUGAUUAAAUACUGGAUCUUAAAUACUUGCUUUACCUCGUUAUUUAAUCAACAAUCUUUUUUCUUAUUGAUAACUUUCGGUGACUCCCAGCCAAAAAAAAAAAAAAACGAACUGAAGUAAUUAUAAUACUGGAGCCACGAGGGCAGGAAAAAAAUUCUGGGAAAACGUAUCUUGAGUAAAUAAAUAACCUACAUGUGGGUAUACAUACAUACAUCUUUUCAUAUAUAAAACAUGAAGCAUGAGUUUGGUGUUUAAACUUUUUAUCGUCUUAAUUUGCACGCUCCCUAUGUAAUAUGCCAAACGAAAACUUGGAUGAGCAGUUGAUAAAUUUUUAGGCCAUUCCAUGUGUGGAUUUAGUGACUAGAUGAGUUUUCUCAUUUUUAGUGAUCAUAAAAAUUGACGAAAGGAUUUUUGGCAAUCUCAAAAAACAAAUAUCAAAGAAAAAAAUAAAUAAAAUAGGAACACAGGAAUUUACGUGAUUCGGUCAAACUAACCUACAUUCACGGAUAGAGAAGGAGCAAAAUUCCACUAUGAAGAAGAGAGUACAAAAUACCUUAAGAAAGUGUUUCUAUACCCAAAAUAUCUAAUACUUGAAAUACAAGAAAGGCAAAAUAUAUUUUACUAAACAAAAAACUUAAUGACCAAAGACUCAAAUAGUCCACUAAAUCUCUCUUGGUUUAGUGCACAUAAUCUAAUUACAUGUUCAUUAUAAGUAUAGGCAACUAAAGAAAAAACUCCCUCAUACAAAAAGGCGAUGUGGGACAAAUCCAUAUUUAACAAAUCUCUAACUUGGCAUGUCCCUAAUAUUGAUAAUAGCAAAUCUGCUCUACCUUCUCCACAUAAGCUCCAAUGGGUCUAAAUCACCAACAACAAAUACCAACCAAGUCCAAGCACUGUUUGAACUUGUAAAUUGGAAGAGAUUUCAUGAACAUGUUAGCAUGAUUCUCCUUCAUACUGAUUUUCUAAAUAAGAACUUUUUCUUCAACAAUAGUAUCUCGAAUGAAAUGAAACUUCAUAUCAAUAUGUUUUGUCCUCUCAUGAUACAUCUGGUCUUUAGUCAAAUGAAAGGUACUUUGACUAUCACAGUAAAUAGUAGUAACACCUUGAUGCAAACUGAGCUUGCCAACCAAAUUCUUCAAUCACAAGACUUCUUUGAUUAUCUCGAUCAUAGCCAUAUAUUCUGCCUCCAUAAUCCAUAAAACUACAACAAGUUGUCAAAUUGCUUUCCAACUAACUGCACAACCACCAAUACAGAAUACAUAAUCUGAAAGUGAUCUUCUCUUGUCAAGAUCUUUGGCAUAGUCAAAGUCUACAAAACCAAUCAAAGUGUCAUUAUUUAUCCCAAACUCCAAGCAACUAUUUGAUGUGAGGGCUUGAAAAUUUGUUUAUAUUUUCUUAUAAUUCUCUUUUAUUUUGAAUAAUUUAAUUUAUAAUUCCUUUACUACUACUCACUCAAUAGUUGUAAUAAAUAAUAGAACUGAAAAUUUUACUUUUACUUUUAUAGUUAGAGUAAACUAGGAUUUUUGUGCAUUUUGGUAGUGUGAUUAGUUGAUGAGGUGUGUGUACUAAAUUUGAUGGAUAAGAGUGAGUAUUAAGUAAGAGGAAGUGUGUAAUUAAAAGUGAUAAGAAUAAAUUAGUGAUCAUAAGUUAAAACAAAAGUACAAGAGAGUUAAGAAAGUAGGCUUGAACCGACGUGCGCUGUUUGUUACCGGUUGAGUACACCAUUUGAUCAAUACUUUCUUACCCUAAUUUCCUUGUUUUUAUUUCAUUUAAUUCUCCCUAAAUUAACCCUAAAGUCAGCCAAAAUUAUUGACCAAGAAAAGGAAAGAAAAGAAAAAAAACAAGAGGAAAAACUUGGCCUUGCCAAGUGUCAAUGAUCCAAGCAUGUUUGACCAAGACAACUUUCUUUCUUCUUAUCUUUCUUUUGGACCAAUUUUCCUCCAUUUCUUUCAUCUUGGCCGAACCAUAGGAGAGGAAAAUAGAGGAUAAAAACUUCCAUUUCCAUCUUGAUUUUGCCUUGUUUAAGUUAGAAUCACAAAAAUUAAACCAAACAAACUAGCACUAAGGAAGCAAGGAAGCUUGUAGCGGAGAGUUUUUGGAGAGGAAGCCUUGGUUUCUUCACUUUCUUCAAGAGGUUGAAGGUAUAAGAUGAACAACUUUCUUUCUCUUUCUUUUUCUUGCAAAUAGAAGAUGACAUGAAACUUGGAGUUUUAUGGAUGAUAACCUAGAUUUGGUGAAGAUUAGUGAAAUUUCAGCUUUGGGCUUAUGAUUUCAAGCCUUGAUUUGUGUUGUUCAUCCAUGGCAUGUUGGUAUUGAGCUUGGUUAUGGACUUGUGUGAUGAUUGGUAGCUUUAUUGUGACUUUUUAGCUUCUAAAUAGAAAUUUCCAGCUUUCCUAGAGAUUUUUCAGCUUUACUAUUGUGAUGAUAUGUGAUAGAAAUGAGCUCCAAUUAGAUGGUUUAUGGCCUAGAUUAAGAGCUGCUUUUAUCUUAUACCCCCGACAUUUGAAAAUAUUUGAAAAUAAAAACUCCAACAGUGAUCAUUUCAUUCAGUUAGUCAUUUCAUUCAUUGCAUUUCAUUCAUUCAGUGACCUAGGAUUACCAACCUACCCGACCGAGUCUGCUUCUGGCUCGAAUAAGCUAGCAACGAAAGGCAAGGCCCAAUUCAGUCAAUGUGAUAAAGUAUACAUGGCUUACAUUCAUGUACAAGUAACAUUCAAUCAUUUAACCAUUGAAAAUUUACAUUCACUUAGGUCGAGUGCAAUAAAGUACACACUCGCCUGUUUAAAAUCUAUUUAACAAUCAGUGGAAAACAUUUAACACUCAAAUACUCAUUCACAAAUAUUCAAUACAAUAACUUAUUGCACAAACAUGCAAGGAAUACUCACCACUUGAUCACAAUCGUUUCACUUCAAUACUGAUUCAUCCUCUUGGAUAGGUUCAAAUUCUGUCGUCAUGUAAUUCAUCAAAAGUCUAGUUACUUAAAGCCAAGAUGAUGAGAAAAUAUGAGAUUCGAAACUUCACUUAGCACCACAGAAACUAUAGGUUUAACCCUAAUAUUAGAAUACCAAAAGGGCCACGGUUUCCUGUUUAAAUCAAAUUCUUAUCAUGCAUGCUAAGAUUAAAACAUCACUAAAAUUUUCAAAUCAAAAUAUAUAGGAUUUAACCAAAGAAAUUUAGGUUUAAACCCAGAAAAGUUUUCUAAAGUUUUCCCAAGUCCCACUCAAUCCAUUUGAUAAAAUUUUCAACUUUGGUGACAUUCUUUAAAAAGGUAUAACUUGAGUUUCGUAAGUCGAAAAAUCAUAAAACUUAUGUUGUUAAAAAAUAUACUCAAAGCACUAAUAGAUUUAGAAGACAUCUUCAUCAAAUUCAGCUCAUAGAUUAGUCAAAUUUCAGUUUAAAACUCACUGUUGUCACAAGUGCAGAAACAGAACAGUCAUGAUUUUCAAGAAAUUUUGCAAAUUUGCUGGUAUUUAUAGAAAUUGAAAAAAACCUUGAAUUUUAUAUCGUUUGAAGCUCUCUGAGUCUAGUUUCAGAUGCAACAAACGAAACUUAAUUCCAACUUCUCUAUAUGAAGUUAUUGCCAAUUUUCCCAAAACUGCACAGAACUUCCUGUAAAAAUUUUUAGAUUUCUAACAACUAGAGAAAAUGAAAAUUUUCUUAACGAAAUCUCACUCCUAUGGCUCAAAUUCAACAUACAUGUGAAGAUUAAGGUUUUAAAAAAAUGUCUUGAACAAGAUUACAUUAAAAUCACCACAAAAGUUCUGAAAAGAAAGCUGAAAUUCUCUCUCUCCCUCUCGGCCAGCCAUAACAGAAAUUUUUCCAACAAAAUUUUUAACCUUCUUACUUAAUUUUAUGGCAAAUGCACUAUAUCUUAUAACUAACAUGUCAUGAGGCUUAUAGCAUAUGUUCUUGGCAAGAAAAUCCAUCAUAACUUCACAUAUAUAUAAAGUUUCAAGUAACUACAUCAAAGCUGGAAUUUUGCCUCUCAAAACUAGAAAUUUGCAUACCAAGACUAAAAAUUACAUAUCAAAGGUUAAAAUUUCAUAUAAAAACUAGAACAUCUCUUAUGAAAAUUGAAAAUUCAUCUCAAAGCUGAAAAUUGAACAUUAAAGCUGGAAAUUGACCAAACCCUAGCAAAACCAUGAAAUUACUAUAAACAUACUUCCUUUAGAUUCAAUCAUGACAUAUCUUGCAUAAAUCUCAAGAAAUAAGUAAAAAAGAGAUGUUUUCUAGAAAAUUUACCUCAAAAUCCCAAGAUGACAAGCAACUCAAGAGAUUUCUUCCUCCAAAACUCCAUCAAAAGCUUCCCUUCAAGCUUACCUCAAGGUUGAUCGGAGUGUAUUGGGUUGGUUUUUGAAUUUUUCACAAAUCAAGUAAGUAAAUCAAGAUGAAAUUAAAGUUUUUUUCUCUCUUCUAUCUAUCUCUUAGGUCCGGGCAACAAGGAGAAAAAAAAUGAGGAGUUUUUGGCUAAUUUUGGAAGAUAAGCACAAGACUUCUCUUGGUCCAAGUCUUGAUCAAGAUUUCAUGGAUGUACGACACUUGUCAAGACAUGACCAAUGCCUAUCUCUUUGUCUCUCGAUUUAUCUCUAAUGACUAAUCUAACUUGUGUUUCUCCAAUUCACCCUUGACACUUCUAAUCACAUAAUAUCUUUUGCACCACACUCAUUCUUGUCUUCCAAAUUUAUUGCACACAUCUCACUAGUCGGUCAAACUACCAUAAUACUUUAUGAAACUUUACAUGUACCAAAUUAUAAAAAGGAAAAAGAGAAAAAUCUUGACUUAACCUUUCAAAUCAUCAUAAAAUUAAGGCUAGUAAAUAGGCAAGUAAGGUAAAAUAAAAGAAAAUAUAAAUUGAUUAAUUUUUUUUAAAUAAGAGAAAAUAUAAAAUAAUUUUCGGAUCCUCACAGCACUAGUCAAUAAAACCCUUAGAGAAUCAUGGGACUUAAUUGAGGGGAUGGCAGAGACAACAAACCAACUCGAAAAGUAAAUUAGGUAAAUGCUCCUUUUAUUCAGCAGCAAUUAUCUGAGUUAACCUCUGUUGUUUGUCAGUUGACGGUAGGAAAUUUGCAGCAUGUGGAAUUUGCAAAGACACUAGUCAUCCAACGGAUGGGAAUCUAAUGCUGCAAGAGGAAAGUUUGGAACAAUUGAAUAUGGCUAGGAACGUGCCCCGCGCCACACAAGCACUAUGAUCCAUACUCCAACACUUAUAACCUAGGUUAGAGAGAUCAUCCAAAUUUCAGCUAUGGGGGAAUAGACAGCAGAUUUCCUUCCCCUAUAGGCAACAAGGGUUCUAGCCCCAAUAUCCACCAACGCCUCAACCUUCUUCAUCCAACUCAGGAACUUCUCUUGAGGAUAUUGUUAAGACUUUAGCUAUUAAUGUCGUGCAAUUCCAGCAGAAAACAGAAUCGAGCAUUCAAAAUCUAGAAAAUCAAGUGAGUCAAAUUGCGAUUGCACUCAAUCGGCUAGAGUGUAAAGGGAAAGGAAAGUUGCCAUAUCAACAUAAGGUAAAUCCCAAAAAUGUGAGUGCUAUGACCCUCAGGACUAGCAAGGAGGUUGAAGGUCCGAAUCCAAAACUGAUUAUUCCAAAGGAAAAGAACGAGAACCAGAUUGAGCAAGAAAUUGAGAAAGAAGGCAAAGACGGUGUAGACGGUAAGGUAAUUCUUGACUCUUCUGUUAAAGUUAAUUCUAACUCGCUGUCUUUUCCUAAUAAGUUAGAGAAGCCGAAAAAGUUGGAGAAAGAAAAGGAAAUUUUAGAAGUGUAUCACAAAGCGGAGACCAAUAUUCCUCUAUUGGAUGCGAUCAGACAAGUGCCCAAGUAUGCUAAGUUUUUGAAGCACUUGUGCGUCAACAAAAGGAAGUUGCGAGCAGAUAAAAAGAUAGUGGUGGGAGAAAACGUAUCAACCGUAUUACAAAAGAAACUUCAACCCAAAUGUGGGGAUCUAAGCAUGUAUACUAUCCCCUGUAAAAUAGAAAAUACUAGACUUGGAAAUGCAAAACUAGAUUUAGGAGUUUCGAUCAAUGUGAUGCCUAAGACUAUAUAUGCUUCUCUAAAUUUAGGACUGUUGAAACAAACUGAGAUAAUCAUUCAGUUAGCUGACCGUUCUAAUACGUAUCCUGAUGGGUUAAUUGAAGAUGUCCUAAUUCAAGUUAAUGAGCUAGUAUUUUCUACUAGUUUUUAUGUUCUUGACAUAGAUUAUGAGAAUUCUAUGAAUCCAUCCCCUAUAAUGUUAGGAAGACCAUUUCUAAGUACUGCCCAGACCAAAAUAGAUGUUAAUGAGGGGACUCUUACUAUGGAAUUUGAUGGGGAGAUCGCCCAUUUCAAUAUUUUUAAAGCCAUGAGAUAUCCCACUGAAACUGAUUAUGUGUGUUCUACUAGUGUUAUUAACCCUGAUUUGCAGGGGUUAUUUUCAACUUAAUGUUGAAGAUGAACUACAAAUGGCCUUGACCAAUUCAUUCGAGUUGGACACAACAUGUGGGUUGGAAUUAAGUGCCAAUCUUAAACACAUGGUUGAAGCGCUACAGACUUUGGAGCUUCACACCAAGAGGUAUGAAUUUGCCCCAAUUUUUAUGCAUGAGUCUUAUUCAAAAUUGUUACCUUUGUUGUGCAAGCACCUAAAGUGGAGUUUAAGCCUUUACCGAGUCAUUUGAAGUAUGUGUAUCUAGGUGAUAAGGAGAUGCUUUCAGUGAUUAUCUCUGCAAAAUUAUCACCUAGUGAGGAAGAGAAAUUGAUUUGAGUGCUUCGGGAUCACACUUAUUCAAAAUUGUUACCUUCUGUUGUGCAAGCACCUGAAGUGGAGUUUAAGCCUUUACCGAGUCAUUUGAAGUAUGUGUAUCUAGGUGAUAAGGAGAUGCUUUCAGUGAUUAUCUCUGCAAAAUUAUCACCUAGUGAAGAAGAGAAAUUGAUUUGAGUGCUUUGGGAUCACAAGGAGACGAUUGGGUGGACUGUCACUGACAUCAAAGGUGUCAAUCUCUCAAGUAUGCAUCAAAUUGGAUUUGAAGAGGAUGAAAAACCUGUGAGGCAAGUACAGAGAAGGUUGAACCCAAUCAUGAUGGAGGUGGUGAAAAGGAAAUUAUUAAACUUUUGGAGGUGGGAAUAAUUUUUGCCAUCUUCGAUAGCUCAUGGGUAAAUCCAGUACAAGUAGUCCCGAAGAAAGCAAGGGAGACAGCAGAGGCUAACCAUGAAAGUGAGCUUGUACUAGUUCGAAAACCCAUUGGAUGGCACCAAUGCAUAGACUACCUGAUGUGAACCCCCGAUCUAGACAACCAAAACACCAUGGCUUAGGUAGCGGAAAUUUGACCCAACUAAUCUCUAGAAGUCACGAACAAUUUUGAUAUUAUCUCAACCCGUCACUACUUGAAUUAACGAACCAAAUUGGAGGUAGUAGAACGCCACAAUCAAGGAGAUACUCGAUUGAUAAGUUCAGGUGAAUAACUUGAGAAGAUUCUCAAGUAUUCAAAGAAAACUCUCUUGCCAAAAAGAAAGUGAAAACUUACUAAUUGUAUUUAAUAGCCAAAAAACCGAUCCCCAAAACAAAGAGGAAGUGGGGCUAUUUAUAGCCCUUACAAGCAUUAACCCUAAUCCAAAAGUUGACCAAACUACCCUACAUACUUUAAGGAUGAUUUUGGGCCUCGCUUACUAACAAAUGGGCCGCAAUUAAACUAGCUUAAUUACCUAGACUUUCUAAAGUGAGAAAUAACCAAAAUCAAUGAGGAAAAUCAAAUAAUCCUACUAAACUCAAGUAUUCGUGCAAUCAACUAGUCUUCACUUGAAUCUUCCAAUUCUCCAUGUGCUUGAAUGGGCCUUAGUCUUUAUAUUCUCAUCAUUUCCCUCCUCUUAAAGGCGAUUUGUCCCCAAAUCAUGACUCUCUUACAAAACAAAAGUAAUGAGAACAUGUGUAUAGUCACCAAGCAGCCUGCAUGUCGCCUUCUUAAGCGAAGAAUGAUCAUGACAUCCUUGUGUGGAACAAGGACAACUCGUGGUGGUGGUAGAUACAUGUUGCGGACAGCAAGAUUUCCAUGAAAAUGGUCACACAAACGACGUCUCAAUCCUAUGGGUGGAUCGUGAGCGGACACCCGGUGAACCAAGGUUUGGUUGGGCUGCGAGUUGUACGCAUCAAGACGUGCAAAAACUGCAUCAAAGGCCAAUGUAACUUGACUAGUGUUGGUUGGAAUUACUUGUCCAACACUCUCUUCGCAGAUCUCUAUGGUUGCGGGUAUUGCACACUGCAAGAUGAAGGAUAUCUGACCACGAACAACCUGUACAAAUGAAAACACGUUAAACAUCACAAAGGUGGAACAAUCCAGCUCCCAGUGCCCGAUGUUGUCCUCAGAUUUAGCGAGCAUGAUCAAUGUUCGCCCUUUCUUUUCCUUGCCUUCUAAUCGAUCCAACUCCCAUUCCCUCUGUAAAACAUUUUGUUCCUCUCGAACUUGUGUAGGAGAGAGUGGAACAAGUAUGACCCUUGUCCCUUUAUGCAUGAACGAGUAUUUGUUGGAAUGACCUUCAUAAGUAACCUCGCGAUCAAAUUGCCAAGGUCUUCCAAGAAUAAGAUGGGCAGCUUGCAUAGGAACCACGUCAUACACCAACUCAUCCUCAUAUCUCCCAAUGUUAAACUUCACAGAAACCUGCUUGGACACUCACACUUCGCCGCAAUCACUAAACCAUUUAAACUUAUAUGGUGUAGGGUGAUCUUGGACAGGUAGGUGUAACUUCUUGACAAAUAAGGCACUGGCGACAUUGGUACAACUUUCUCCAUCGAUAAUCAAGCUACACACUUUCCCGUUAACUAGACAUCGGGUAUAGAAGAUGUUGGUACGCUGCUCUUCUUCAUUUGUGCGUUGAGCACUCAAUGCCAACCUUGUAACAAGGCCUAGUCCAACUGGUUGGUCAAAGGCAAUUAUCUCUUCUUCCUCAAUCAAUGGUGGCAUGUCUUCAUACUCAUCCUCCUCAUCCGUUAGCACUUCACCACUUGGAAGCAUGAGCAUGGUCCUUCGGUUUGGGCAUUGGGACGCGAUGUGACCAAAACCUUGACACUUAAAGCACUUAGUGUCGCGGUUUCUAGGUUUAGAUGCCCCUAGAUCAGCCUUAAAUUCGGCCCUUUGGGUCGGUGUUGAAGAUGACGAGCUAGGCACCCAUGCUCCAUUCGAAAUCCCACUUGCCUUGGCUGACUUUUGUUCACUCGUGUGGGUAAUCUCGCCUUUAUACCGCUGAGUUCUCCAAUUUCCAGAUUGGACGUUGGAACUUUGGUGGGGAAUACCCCUCCUCUUGAGCCUCCUUUCCACCUUGAUAGCUUUGUCCAAUAAUUCAUCCAUGUCAAGGUAAUGUUGGAGCUCCACAACAUCUGCAAUUUCAGCGUGUAGUCCUCUCAAGAAACGUGCCAUGGUUGAUUCUAUAUCCUCCCGAACAUCAGCCCGCAGCAUGGCCAUCUCCAUCUCCUUGAAGUAAUCCUCAACCGUCAUACUACCUUGGGUGAGAGUUUGCAAUUUAUGGUGCAAAUCCCUGUGGUAAUAUGCUGGUAUGAAAUGCUUUCUCAUGAUCCUUUUAAGUUCUUCCCAGGUGCGAAUGAGUGGUGCUUCAUUUCUCCUUUGUCUGGUGCGAAUCUGAUCCCACCAAACGGCUGCGUAUUCAGUGAACUCAAUGGUUGCCAACUUUACUUUUUGGGACUCUGAGUAGUGGUUGCAAUCAAAGAGCAUCUCAAUCUUCCUCUCCCAUUCCAAAUAUGCUUCAGGGUCCGACUUGCCUGGGAAGGUAGGAAUUUUGAACUUGAUUCCCUUUAGUUCAUCAUCCCCUUGAUUAGGGAUGCGUUUAUAAUUCCGGAAUCGGUUUCCAUCUGCCAUAUCCUACUCAUUGUUCGAAUCACCUAACUCCUCCGUAUGGUUGUCUCUUGGAGGCAUUCUUGCCUAGGGUUGAUUGCUCCACCUUAUCCUCCAGUGUAUCAAUUCUCUGAGCCAUGCGAUCAAUGGCGCCUGUUAAUGCUUCAAGAACAUGUUUCAUGUCAUAAGGGUCACUUGUCGCAUGAGUUUGAGACAUGUUUAUAGAGUACCUGCAAGGCUCAACAAACAGUCAGUAGAAACUGCCUCACUCACUCCCUUAGUGUAUCACUCACCCUCGUGUAUGUCACUCAAAGCGCUCCAAUGGACUUACCAAACACCUUUACCUGUUGGGUUAGGUAGUUUGAGAAAUGCUGCUCAAACCCAAAUAAUUGUCACCAACUUCUUCCUCAAGAGUAAUCACGGAGAUGUAGGAGAAAGUGUAGGGAAGUGUUCCUAAAAGUUAGGAGAAAAUAUAGGAGAAAGUGUAGGAGAGUGUUCCAAAAAUCUAGAAAGAGAAUAUAGGAGAGUUUCCUAAAGUGGAUGAGAGAAUAUAGGAGAGUUUCCUAAAGUAGAUGAGAGAAUAUAGGAAAGUUUCCUAAAAAUAGAUGGGAGACUUUAGGAAAGUUUCCAAAAGAAAUGGAUGAGAGAGUUUAGGAAAGUUUCCUAAAAAGGUAGCAGAGAGAGUGUCCAAGUGAGUACAAAGAGUUAUCCAAGUGCUUUACUUAGUUUCCUAAUUGGAUUUGGAAACAAGUUAAUUUUUUGGAAACCCUUUGAAAAUCCUUUUCCUUUUGAACAACUUUUGGUAACCUUCUUGAAACAACCUUUGGUAAUCUUCUUGAAACAACUUUUGGUAACUUCCAAAUUCUACUCCAAGAAAUAUUGCACAAAUCAGAUUUGGUACCCUAUUCAAAACAAUUCGGUUGCCACUUUCUUUCCUUUCCUUUUUUUUUUGCCAACCGAUUCCUCUUUUCUUUCUUUUUCUUUUCGUUUUUGUUUUCUGUUUUUUUUUACUACAACUAUCAACCACGACACAAAAUAAGGAAAUCCACAAAUAAUAACUACCAAGAACUCCAAGAUCGUUCAAGAACUUUCAAGGAAGUUGUCAGGAACUUCAGAAAUUUCAAGAUUGUGAUCAAGAAUGCAAGAAACUCAAGAUUAUUAUAAGUUCUCUUCAAGAUUCACAAAAUUCCAACAAAUUUUGCCAAAAUCCAGAUUUGAAAACCAAGUAAACAAGUUGGAUAACACAAACAACAAGGCUGGACAGAUUUGUAUUCGGAUGAACAGUAACUAUGAACAGUGUCGAUGAACAGUAACGGUGAACAGUACGAUGAACAGUGUUGGUGUGAACAGUAACGGUGAACAGUGACUCUUUUUUUUUUUGGUUCUAAACAAACGAACAGAUGGGGAUAAACAUAUAUGACUCGAAAUACACGAAAAAAAAAGAUAUAAACUGGUGGUUGUCGACUAGCUCUGGUACCAACUGAUGUGAACCCCCGGUCUAGACAACCAAAACACCAUGGCUUAGGCAGCGAAAAUUUGACCCAACUAAUCCUUAGAAGUCACGAACAAUUUUGAUAUUAUCUCAACCCGUCACUACUCGAAUUAACGAACCAAAUUGGAGGUAGUAGAACGCCACAAUCAAGGAGAUACUCGAUUGAUAAGUUCAGGUGAAUAACUUGAGAAGAUUCUCAAGUAUUCAAAGAAAACUCUCUUGCCAAAGAGAAAGUGAAAACUCACUAAUUGUAUUUAAUAGCCAAAAAACCGAUCCCCAAAACAAAGAGGAAGUGGAGCUAUUUAUAGCCCUUACAAGCAUUAACCCUAAUCCAAAAGUUGACCAAACUAUCCUACAUAUUUUAAGGAAGAUUUUGGGCCUCACUUACUAACAAAUGGGCCGCAAUUAAACUAGCUUAAUUACCUAGACUUUCUAAAGCGAGAAAUAACCAAAAUCAAUGAGGAAAAUCAAAUAAUCCUACUAAACUCAAGUAUUUGUGCAAUCAACUAGUCUUCACUUGAAUUUUUCAAUUCUCCAUGUGCUUGAAUGGGCCUUGGUCUUUAUAUUCUCAUCAUUACUUAUACGUUCCUCGAUCAACUUGUUUCGAGACACGUAGCACGUUUGCCCAAGGAUCUAGCGAGGAUGUCCAACGCUUGGAAUUGCGGGAUCUAGAACCAAACGGACGACAUGAUUGGAUUCAAGACGGUAGUACGACGACUCCAAUGAAGGUGACUACUCCACGGGAUAGGUCGAUAGAACAAUCAAGGACGAUCACGAGAUUGCUCAAGAACCCUUGCCAAUGCAAGUAAUGGAAUUGUACUCUCCAUGGAAGAGAAACAAAAACAAAGUUUAUUAUCAUAAAACGGCCAUCCUUAAUGCUUACAAAGCAAGCCUAUAUCUAGGCACAACUAAUGAAACCCUAAUAUCAAAAAGCUUGAUGGUCGGCCACUCCUUGGACAAGGUGGGCCGAUCCAUGGACUCAAUAAAAAAGGGUCUAGUGGUUCGGCCAUCCUUAGACAAAGGUGGGCCGAAUCCAUGGCUAACAAAAGGACUAAUAUAAACUUACGGCUCCUAACACUAAGGCUUAAUCGGCCAUGGCCCACUUGGCUCUUCACGGGUUUGGUUCAUCGUGUAGACAACUGGGUUAUCACCUUCCAAGCCUUCAAUGUCUCGAUGAACUCCUUGUUGGUCUUGAACAUUCCGCACAAGGGCUUGGAGUGAUUCCUUGAAUUGCUUAGCCCGUGCCCGUGUGACUGGGCCCAAUGGGACAAGGUGGGCCAAGGUCCAUGCACACAUCAGUCCCCUCCUCUUGAGAAGGAUUUGUCCUCAAAUCUAGAUGGGGACGAAAGAUACUAACAAGAGUUUGACAACUCAAAUCGACAGUGCGUUUGGAGGUCAGCCACGUUAGGAACAAAUGAAAGGUCACGAGCCAAGUUAAAUGCCGUUUGGUCAGCUUCAUGAGGCUCUCAAACAAGGACAUGCGCCAAGAUAGGAAAGAGCUUGUGUAAGGCUCGUGAAACUUCUAGGUAGCAACCCAAAGCUCGCUAAUUAGCCUUCGAGCGUGGACAUUCACAUGCACUUCAUAACGAUGUUCAUUGAAACUAGAAAAGCCUCGAACCUGGUUGUGCAAGGUGGUGUAAUUCGGCCCUAGGUACUGAAUCGGCACAACUUGCCACUCUGGAGGUGGGACACUGAGCCACCUGUGUUGCAUAUCCGUAGAAACAUGAACCAGUGAGGUAAGAGCAGCACUCGGAUCUUGAUUGACACAUUUGUGGGCAUCAUCCGACAUAAGUGGCAGCAAUGAAGUGAAACACACUCCAUACGAAUCGCAUGAAUUUGCGCAAGUUGGAGUUGGUAAAGUAAGCUCAUGGUGACCAGCUUUUGGACAUGUGAAAAAGCACGAACGUGUACCACUUUUAGCAGGAAUGAGCACGAAAUCGGGUUGCAAGUCUUUAACCAUGGUUGGGAAGUUUUGGACAGCAUUACAAUCUACAAAAACAAAAUAACCUUCAACUUGAAACAAUUCAGAAAUUGGGUAAAGGACUAAUAGGACAUUAUUAACUAGAUGGGAAGAAGGUGUAGAACAAGGUUUAAAUGAGAAAACUCCCUUUGACACUUCGAUAUUCCUUCCACCAGUUGAUUCAACUUGAGAUUCCAGUUCUAGUUCUUUACUCUUCUCAUCAACACCUGCAUAAGAGCAAUAAGGGUUAGUGCUAGUAACAUGCUCAAAAUGAGGCAAAGGUGAGGAAUGAACUAUAGUUAGAGAACUAGAAGUAGAAUCUGGAAUUUACCCUUCAAGGUGAGCUCGAAUGAAUCCUCCAAUGGUGCAGACAGGUGUGAAUGGACAUUGUUCCAUGAAUUGAUACCAAAGAGAUUUAGUUCCUAGAAGACAAACUCCAUGGAAACUCGCAAAGUGUCCAAGUGACUUGGGAAUGGAACAUGCCAUGACCAACUCUACUUGACUUUGUUUAAUCUACACAAAAGAAGAGAUACUAAACAAAACACAUGUUAGACUUUCAACUUUUGUAGACAUGGUCAACUCCUCCUCCUUACUCUUCACUAAGGCCAAAUUGGUCUUGCCUUUUCCCACUCCAUUCUUCUCGGACCAUUGCUCACUCAUUGUACAUGAGGUUUGAUUUUCAUUGUCUAGCUCAUGUUCAUGACUCGGGUGCAACGCAUUCAUAUUUGGCUCUUCAAUCGACGAGGGAUUAGGAUGAAUUUUCCCUUUAUUAACACCGAUUGACACAUGAUUAAGUUGCUCCAAGUGUGAAUCCAGCACUUUGCUUAUUCUUUCCAUCAUAGAAUCAACCCAUGCUCUAGUCUGACUUCGAAAAUCAUCACUUGACUCACGAAGCUUUGACUCAAUUCGAGAAUUCUCAAACUCCUUGUCUUGAUUGUCAAGGUACCUCUUAGAUGAAUCUCGUUUGCUUGAGGUUGACCUCGAUUUAGAUGCUCUGCGCAAGUUUCUUUGCUCCUUCUCAUACUCAUCACAAUCUCACUUAUACCUUUCAUAUACACAUGGAGCACGGUAACAUUCCAUCUCCUCCUGGAGUGAACAAAACUCACGUUGUGAACUAGAUUUCAUGGAACUGUGCUUGGGAGUAGGCAGCUUGGAACCCCUCUUCUUGAGAGGCUCAUUCUCCAAGAAUUAUUGGUGGUAUGAGUAAGAGGCAACUCUGCUAGGCAUGAUUACGUGACCUGCAAAAAUGGUUAGCAAAAAAAAAAAAAAAAGAGAUUCCUCACGACACACAAGCUCACGUGUAUGUAUUCAUCACUCGUGUAUCACUCAAAACACUCAAAUAUGCUUACCAAAAUUCCUUACCUGUUGGACCGAGUAAUUGAGAAAUGCCGUUCAAGUCCAAUAAUUGUCACCAACUUCUUCCUCAAGAGUAAUCACGGAGAUGUAAGAGAAAGUGUAGAGAAGUGUUCCUAAAAACUAGGAGAAAAUAUAGGAGAGUUUCCUAAAGUGGAUGAGAGAAUAUAGGAGAGUUUCCUAAAAAUAGAUGAGAGAAUUUAGGAAAGUUUCCAAAAAAAUGGAUGAGAGAGUUUAGGAAAAUUUCCUAAAAAUGGAUGAGAGAAUUUAGGAAAGUUUCAAAAAAAAAAUGGAUGAGAGAGUUUAGGAAAAUUUCCAAAAAAAUGGAUGAGAGAAUUUAGGAAAGUUUCCAAAAAAAUGGAUGAGAGAAUUUUGGAUGAGAGAAUUUAGGAAAGUUUCCAAAAAAAAUGGAUGAGAGAGUUUAGGAAAAUUUCCUAAAAAUGGAUGAGAGAAUUUAGGAAAGUUUCCAAAAAAUGGAUGAGAGAAUUUAGGAAAGUUUCCUAAAAAGGUAAGAGAGAGAGUGUCCAAGUGAGUACAAAGAGUUAUCCAAGUGUUUUAUUUAGUUUCCUAAUUGAUUUUGAAAACAAGUUAGUUUUUGGAAACCUUUUGAAAAUCCUUUUCCUCUUGAACAACUUUUGGUAACCUUCUUGAAACAACUUUUGGUAAUCUUCUUGAAACAACUUUUGGUAACCUUCUUGAAACAACCUUUGGUAAUCUUCUUGAAACAGCUUUUGGUAACGUCCAAAUUCUACUCCAAGAAAGAUUACACAAAUCAGAUUUGGUUCCCUAUUCAAAACAAUUCGGUUGCCCCUUUCUUUCCUUUCCUUUUUUUUUUCUUGCCAACCGAUUCCUCUUUUCUUUUUUUUGUUUUUGUUUUUGUUUUUUGUUUUUUUUUCCUGCAAGUUGGUUGAAAGGCAAGAAGGACAAACUAAGGAGUGAUGCUAAAUACUACAUCUGUGAUGAUCCUUAUCUUUGGAAGCAAUGUGCUGAUCAAGUACUAAGAAGGUGUGUUGCCGAGAGUGAGUUUAAUUCUUUACUAACUUUCUGUCAUUCUUUUGCACGUGGUGGCCAUUUUGAAACAGAAAGGACAGCGCAUAAAGUAUUGAAUGGAUUCUUUUGGCCUACAUUAUUCAAUGAUGCAUAUUCAUUAUGUAAGUGAUGUGAUAGAUGUCAGAGGGUAGGUAAUAUCUCUUGUAAGGAUCAAAUGCCUCAGACUCCAAUGAUUUUUUAUGAGAUUUUUGAUAUAUGGAGUAUCGAUUUUAUGGAUCCCUUUACAUUAUCUUUUGAUUUUCUUUACAUUUUGCUUAUAGUAGAUUAUGUUUCUAAGUGGGUGGAAGCGAAAGUCACCCGAAUUAAUGAUUCUAAAGUGGUUGUAAAUUUUGUAACGUCUAACAUUUUUGCGGGCCAUUGUUGGUGAUAGAAGAAAGCACUUCUGUAAUGAGACAAUUGCUACAGUGUUCAGGAAAUAUAAUGUCCUUCAUAAGGUUUCAACAUCUUACCAUCCUCAAACAAAUGACCAAGCAGAGAUCUCAAACAAAGAAAUCAAAUUAAUUUUGGAGAAAAUGGUUCGUCCAGAUAGGAAGGAUUGGAGUGUGCAUUUAGAAUAUGCAUCAUGGGCUUAUAGGAUGUGUAUAAAACACCUAUUGGGAUGUCUCCUUAUAGGUUGAUUUUUGUAAUCAAGAAAACUGCAAUUGCAAGAGUUGGAAGAGUUGUGUAAUGAAGCAUAUGAGAAUGAAGUGAUUUAUAAGUAGAAGAGUAAAGUUUUUCAUGACUAGCACGUCACCCAUAAGACAUUUGUAGUUGGAUAGAAAGUUCUACUUUACCACCCUAAGCUCAAGUUUUUUCCAGGUAAAUUGCAUUCUCGUUGGAUGGAUCCUUUGUUAUCACUAAUGUUUUCCAUUAUGAUGCAAUGGAAAUUCAAAACUUGAAGAUAGAUAAGAAAUUCGUGACGAAUGAGUAUCGCCUCAAACCCUACUAUGAAUAUUUUCUAAUUGAAAAUGUGAAGAUGGUGUGCCUCGAGGACCCAAUCUAUUUGAGUUAAAAAUGUUUGGCCAUGUCUAGACGAAAACAUUAAAGAAAGACGCUUAUUGAGAGACAAAACCAAUUCUUUUUCUAUUGACUAUUCAUUUUUAUUAUGUUUAUCCUCGGUUUUACAUAGUUGGUAGGUUUAAUUUUAGUUUUUGAUAAUUAGCAGACGUUCACCUCAAGGCACAUGCUAAUGUGUAAUUAACCAACUCCACAGUCACAAGACUCUUGACCAACAUGAUGUGUCUACGUCUUGUUGAUGAAGAGUUCAUAUUCCGAUUUCAAAAAUUUCAGCGAAUGACAAGGCAACAAGAGGGUAUGCCAUAAUGAGGGAUUAUUCAAUCUCAACAUCAUAAGACUUUUGACCCACAUGACAUGCCCAUGUCUUGUUCCACCAAGGGAGGGCAAAACAAACUCCAUUUUCUUUCUAUCUUUCUUCUCUUUUCAUUCUCUUUUUCUUUCCUAUUUCUUCUUUCUUUCUCUUCUUCUUUCUUUCUCCGCCAGCCGCCCCUUAGUUUCUUCUCCAACUGCGCCCACCAAGCAUUGCCUACUAUUCGAAGUCGCCGUCCACUGACAUCCCCUUCAUCGUAACUUGACCGCCGCUGCUACGUUGCCACCGCUUGCGCCGCUGCCAUUUGCUAUUUCUUUUCCCCCCCGAGACAAUCACGUGCCACUCAACACUGACGUUGCCGACAAUUCACUCACAUCUCCAUCCACUGUACGAAGCAGAAACGAGCCGUCACCUAUUGCCAUCGUCUGCCGUUCGAAGUCACCAUUCCCUGUCACCCAUCCUUGAUUUUUGCUAACCCCAUGUCCAUUAUCCUUGCUCCCCUUAUAAAUUUCUUCACUAGGGUCACCACUCCAAGGCUAUUCAAGUUUCUAAUUACUAGUCUAUUUCAAUUGUACGAUUUGUACUGCCAUAUAUAAUUUGGGCUAUUAUUGCUAUAGCUAAUUUGGAUUUUUGGUCUGGUUAUGGUUCUCUGAUGUCUUUCUUCCUCGCCUGAUUGAUUUUAUUACUGGGCUUUACUCUGCACUUUACAUUUUUGUUUUCGAUUGCUGGUGAUUGGGAAAAUUGGUGUUGUUUGGUGAUUAGUGGAUGCAUAAACUUUACUAAAUGCACUUGAAGUGCGAUUUCCUUACUACGAUUGUCCUUUUGCAUAGGAGUUCACCGUGCUUGUAAUUUCUUUGACUGUUGGUUACUAAUUGUGUUGAUUUUGCUAUUGCUUUAUUGGAUAUUGCCAUUGAGUCCUCUACACUGCCUUCGUGACUUAUAUUGGGUGUUGUUGCUAUAUUUCUGGUCUUUAUUAAUUGAAAGGUGACCAAGGUCUCGAUUCUUCACUGAUACUAUUUGUUUUGGACCUGUUUGGCUGUCCUCAGCGGUUAGGGGUCACUUGGGGUGUGUAUUUAACCAGUGAAUUUGGCACUUGUCAACUAUCAUUGUUAAUUGCUGAUUGCCUGUUGCCUACAUGGAGAAAAAAAUGACUACAAAAUCUAGGACACCUAGGUCUCAAUCCACCGCCAACUCCCAACCAACUAUUCCCGCCAGUGACCCUUCACACCAUCCCUCCUCUUCAGGUAAAUGGGCAUGCUUAGGUAGAGACAAGGGUGUUCAUCUCUCCUCACCUUCUCACUUUGGGGGUCAUUUGAAUUUCACCAGAGCCGCUGACAAGUAACGGUAUUCUACUUGUUGUGAAUUGCGGAUUAUCCCUUGCAAACAUCUUGACCCUCUUAUUAUGGCUAUUUUAGGCAUUAAGAAUAAUGUUGAGAAGAUGUUCACAGCCAUAGGGUGGCGUGCCUAUGCUGCGAUUCUAUGCUGUGCUUUUGUGGGGUUAGUUAGGGAAUUUUAUGCCACUUUCGAAUUUGACCUUCCCACCGAUACUCUGUCACCACCCCUGAUUUCAUUCGAUAAAAACUGAUGGGCCAGCAAUUUAACUUUUCCAUUACCCAGUUUAAUUUGGUCUUUGGGUUCAUUGAUGAUGAGUAUUCCAAUUCUAGGGAGUAUGUUGAGAGUGUCUGUGAUUAUGUAGAGCCAUUCUUCUCAUUCCAGACUAAAAUCUGGAAGAAUGCGUCUGUCAACGGGGCCCUUUAUGACCCUAGUCAGUUCAAGAGUUCCUAUCUCAAGGAUCUGAGUGCCCGUUAUGUUCAGCGUUUCUUAACUUAUAGUUAUUCAUGUAGGAGGGAUAGUUCAGGGAGCUUUCCCAAACCUGAAUUCUUUUUUAUUUGGUGUAUGCAAAAUAAUAUCAAAGUUAAUUUGGGAUAUUGGUUGGCAUCUCAAUUCAAAACUGCCUUGACUAAGAGAAACAAAACUCUAAUCCUUGGCUUGUAUAUUACUCAUUUGGCAGUUCACUUGGGUGUUCUUGAUUUAUCUAUCCAUGAUUUGCAUGUAGCUUGUCAAAUGGAUCCUUUGGAUGUGGUUUGCCUAGAAAAAAUUGGUGUCGUGGAGCAGGUUAAUAACAUAUAUCAGUUUAUUCCACCGGGACCCACUAAUGUACCCAUUCGUCAUCUUUUUGGGCAUGCUGGUCCCUUCACUACUUCGGGGAGAGUUGAGGACGAGCCUGGACCCUCUAUCUCCGCAGUCGUCGUUAGAUGUUGAGUUGAGACAUCUCCAAGUACAGGUUCACCAUAUCGAUGAGCGGGUGACCAAUCUUGCACUUCAUAUGUUCCAGAUGUCCAGAAUUUGCGGCAUUCUUCCAUCAUGUGAGUUCCAUGCCGUCAUUCCCAUCUAUUCCAUAGUUGUUCGGAGUCCCCCUCUGCGGUAUUCAGGGAAGUCUUGUUAUUCCUUCUCUUUCUUUUUGCUCUUUCUUGUUACAUUGAGGACAAUGUAAUGAUUAGGUGUGGGGGGAUGAUAGUGUAGUAGGUAUUGUUUAUUUUAGGUGUUUUCAUCCUCUUAUUUUCACUUUUGGACAGUUCUAUGGUUGUUUGUGAUCAACAAUGGUUAGAUGGCUCAAACUUUUCUAUUGCUAAGUUUUCUUAUAAGUCGAGGCUAAUAUGGGAUGUCUAAGCAUAUCUCUUUGGUGAAUAUUGAAAAUUUUGUGACUUUUACGGUUCUUGACUAACUUGUUUAGGCAGUGAAAAUAUUUUCUGACAUUUACUAUGUAAAUUGGCCAACUAUUAACCUUAGUUUUCCAUGUUUGAAAAAUAAAGCAAGUUUUCUGAAAAUUUUCUUUAUUUAUUUAUUUUACUGUUCAUUUUGGAAGCUGUUUGAAUGUUGUUCGGCUGUACUCCGCUAGUGUCGUCACCUAGCAACCGGGAGGUUUCACCAAAAGUGUCAACUUUUGCGUCAAAAAGUAGCGAUGUCUAUGAGUAUGUUGUCCUAAGGCGAUGAUAAGUUGACUAAUCAGGCUCCUUCAUUUGGUAGAUGUUAGAGUUCGCAUCAAAAGACUUGAGUGGCUAAGGACUAAGCCACUUCACAAAAAAAAAAAAAACAAAGAAUGAAAAUGAGAGUUGUGAAAAAUGAAAAAUGUGCCUGUUGAUCCAUGGGGUUAAUGUUGAGAUUUUACCGUUUACUAAUAAAUGCCUAUUUAAUAUUCUAACUCCUUAGAUUAGUUAGCCGUGAGUUGGACGAGUCUUUGAUUUUACAAACUAACCGGAGAAUAUGUCUUGGAACUUAGCCACUAAGACUUGAUGUGGGAUAAUUGCGUCUUGGCAAUAGAUGGUUUGAGUAAUGAACAUUGUUUGAGUUUAUUUGCUGAAUUGUUGUUCUCAUGCUUGAGGACAAGCAUGGACCAGGUGUGGGAGGAAUUGAUAGGGUGAAAUUUGGUAUUAAAUUUAUGAUUAAUUUCUCCUUUAUACUUGCCAAAUAUUGUUUUAAUUGUCGGAUUCUACUAAUAUUUAGUUAAUUGUGCUAAUUGUAGGGAAUUAUAUGAGAUGUGAUCAAAAGGAGCAAAUUUCUGGCAUUGUAAGAGUUAAUUUGUUGGUGGCGCGUUCGGGGCUUAUUUCCAAGUCAAAGUCAAACUCAGGGCAGUUUUUGGAGGAAGAUUUUGAAAACUUUAAUUUUCAUUAUGAGUUCUAAUAUUGGAUUAGGGAACCUGGAAUAUUAUCUUUAGUAGUUACCUUUUUCUAUUUAGGAAACAUGUUGUGUUAUUGGUAGUUGAUACCGAAUAGGAAACAAAAAGCAAAAGAAAAGCACGGACCCGUUUGAUUAGGAGUUGGCUAGCAACAAUUUCGCGUUGUGACUCUUUGGAGUAUUAGCAGACGGUCAUCGCUUGUCUCUUUCUUUUUCUUCUUGUUUUUCGUUCACUUUUGAAAAAAAAAAUCAUAAGCAAUUAUUACCAAUGAAGUCUUGUGGAUUUCACUCAAUGAUGCGUGAUUAAAUCACUUUCUAACCUGAGGAUAGCUUGAAGACUUUAUUCUACAAACUGUGACUUUGAAUCGAUUACACUAUUUCUUUUAUUUGUUGAUAUUUAUUCGUUCUUUGGUUUUAAUAUACAUGAUUAUUGUGUUAUUCGAAUGUCAAAGGGCCCGGUAUUUGAAUUGACUUGAUAGUCGAUUGCUAAUUGAAGCGAUUUAAUCCGUAGUUGUGUUAGAUUGCUUUAACCCUAGUAGCAACUGGUAUAACUAGGUUGUGUUAGGGGAACAAAUAACCUAAGUUAAAGAGACCCUUGUAAUGUGUUGACUAGUUAGAAUUAGACUCAUCUAAUUAUUCAUGCAAUCGUGAAAUUAAACUUCUAUGAUUGUACUUAGGAUUGUUUUCAGAUUAAAGAAAUAGUCAAUGGCCAUAUCUUGACUAUUGACAAAAUUAGGAAGAGUUGGCUUUUAUGCUAGAACUAAUUAUUGAAUUCAUCCUUGCAUCUAUGAUCGGUUUAUGAACUUUAUUUGACAGUUAUUCCUCGCGCUAGAGUCUUGCUAUUAUUGAUUCACUUUUUUUUAUCUCAACUAGAAAAAUCUCUGUGAAAACGAUCCUGCUCAUCACUAUAUAAAGUUUUAUAUUUGUCUCAAGUAGGUAAUUAUUAUUGCACAGAUUCGACAUCUGUCAGGAUCGACAACUAAUAUUCCUAUAUUCGAUAAACGAUCUGUAUACUUCAGAAAACAAGGUAUUUAUGUUUUAUUAAAAUUUGGUGCAUGGUAUAACCUCGUCACAUUUUCAAUUCAGAAUCCCCAGAUCGAAACCAAGCCUUGCAAGAACCGGUUUUGCUUUGACGAAAGUUUCAUUUCACUUCAAACUUGCCAGCCAAGAAUCCCCAACUCCAACCGGUUCUUAUCAAGAACCGGUUUCUUCCCCUGUUUUGCAAACCAAAGUUUCAUUCUCGAAUAUUUCUUGUUUUCUUUAUUUUAUCAUCAUUUGUACUUCAUGUUGACUUUCCAAAUGUGCUUUAAUCAUCAAGAAUUAUUCAAUUAACUUCUUGCUUGCCUUUAUUUGAUGAUUUAAUCAUUAAAACCUACAAGAAUAUGAAGUUUUCACCGCUCUUUAGUGCCAUAAAAAUGCAACUUUCUCAUUUUAACCACAAAAUACAACUUUUGACUAUAAAUCUAAUUAUUUAAUUUUGAAUUACCUAGAAACACACUAAAACACAUAUAAAUGACUACACAAAAUGUACAUAAAAUAAAUAUUGUGGACAAAUCAUCAUGGACAAAGACAAGGAAAUUUUGUUAGCCCAAAUAAUCAAAAUCAAUCAUCCUCAUUCAUGGUGGAUGCGUCCAUACUUUUAUACUUAGGUUCAAGUCGAUUGUGGGGAAAGGUUUGACUUGCACACUAAUGCUUCUCGCGGUUAUGAAACUUUGAUAAGUAUUCACAGAUACAAAUCACCUCCGACAAAUUUUCUUACAUGCUAAUUGUGGUCAGACAUCAACUUUUGUGAUUUUUUAAAAGAAAACAUUAAUAAAGAACAAGAUGUAUGGUUGCUGCUUUUUAAUGUGAUCGAAUUUAAUAUCAAUGACUGUUUUUAGAAUUUUUUGUGAGAAAUUUCAUGGGUCGCCCCCUUGUCAUGCACUUAAUAAGAAAUAUAUAGCAGCAAUAUUAUUCUAAACCAUUUGUGUAGAAAAAACAGUUCAAACAAAAACCAAAGAAGCUGAGUUAGCCAACAGACUGCCUGGUCAAUACACGCCACUCUACGCCCCAUCACUCCAAAAUUGAUUAUCAACAUUCGUAAAGAUCUCAAACUCUUGGGGAAUCCAUGGAGAAGGUAAAGCGGGGGAAGUCACUUUGAAGGUAUACCCAAAAUCCAAAUUUUCCUAUAAGCACUUUCCAUAUGUGCACAAAUAAAAACUGAAUGAUUUAGAAAAGAUUCUAAAUCCAAUUUUGAAUGUCUAUUCAGCUUUCGCAUAAAAUGUAACUCCCAAAAAAAAAAAAAAGGAGGACGAAUUUUCUACAAUUUCUUCUUGACGGAGGCAGUGGUUUAGGAUGAAACUGAAAAAUAAUAUAGUUGCCUGAAUUGUUAACGCUAUCUAUGUAUCAUUGUUUUUGUUGCACAUUUUGGGUGUACUUCUUGGAUAGUUGUUUUGGCAUUUGGUGGUGUUGACAAUAGUUCCUUGGUCCUUCUGCCACUUGUGGAGAAUGCCAUAAUGCGAAGAGUAGAAUUUGGUACUUUUCCAAUUUUUUGUUUACUCUCUUCGAACUUUUAUUUUGGUGCUUUUCCAGUUGUUUCCACAAGCUGCUUGUAGAGAAGAUCAUCUAAUCUAUACAUGUGGAAUCUGCUAAGGAGAAUGGUGGCCUUUGUGAUCAAGACAGCAUCACAUAGAGAAUGUUUUUCUAACCCAAUUUCCAGAUUCUGAAGAAUCUUGAACCUGGUCAGAAUUAUAUAGCAGAUGAAAAAAUGAGAAUAUUAUAUACCAUAGAUGUCUAAAGCAGUAGAUACCGAUCCAGUAUAAUCUACUCUCCCUCCACUCGUAUCCCUUUCUAUCUUCGAAUUGCAACAUCAAACCGCUAAGAUUAAAAGGAAUAUUGUAGUUAAAAGCUCAGAAGCAUUCAAAACUAGAUUUAGCUUUACAGUAAUUAAUUAGAUUACUUUAUUUUUUGGGGUAAUGGCUAGGCUAUGGGCACACAUAUGUACGGGAAGAAUGUCAGAUUUUUUAAAAUAUAUCCAAAAGUGCAAAUAAGGUAGCAAUGGCAGCAUCAAGUUGAAAAUGACAGAUCAAAGGGAAUAAAUAGGAAGCACUGAAUGCAAAAGAAAGAUUGAAGAAAGGUGACCACUCAAGUUCUACCGUUUAGCAUUUUUUUCAUUUGGCCCCAUAUCACGACUAGGUUCAUUCAGGUACAAGAUGAGGGCUUGCUUAGCUUAUUGAACGAAAAGCACUUGGGCAAAAAUAAAAUGCUAUCAAUGCACUGAUCACAUAUACAAAUCAUCAAGAAAGAAGCUCUAUAAAUAGCAGCAUCGAAGCUGAUCAAAAGCAUAGGAUGAAUUAACAAAGCAUCAGAUGUCCUCUAGAGUUCCCUCAGAACACUUCACUGGGGGGGACAUGUUUCUUUCUUUGACUCAUUUAGGGCCAAAGAACUUUGCCUACUGAAGUGUUUGGGGGAACUCCUGAGUCCAUUUGAUAUGUAAUGAAUAAGAUUCCAGAUUUUUGUUGUUGUCUUCAAAUUUCUUCCUAGCUUGUGAGCUUGAGCGAGCAUUAGGAUUGCGAAAAGUAGUUAUUCAAGCUAGUUGCUUAUAUGUUUUCUUACAGUUUCUUUUGAGUUUACUUGUGUAGUUAUAUGCCUUCUUUCUUGGUAGAGAUGAGUUGCAUGAAGCAAACUACAUAAAGAAAAGAAUAAGGAACUUCAAUUAGCAAAUGCCCUGUAAAUUACUAGUUCAAAUUACUUAUAGCCUAUGCUCAUUGUUAGUUUCAUGCUGGUAUUAUAUAACAUGUCUAGUUUCUAGCUAAUGCUUUAGAUGAAUUAGGAUGGCCUUCGGAGAUAAUAUCCAAAAAGAAAUGGAGGAAAAAUACGUAAAAUUGUUUCUGUACUGUGCAACAACUUCCAUCGGUUUCAAGUUUAUGUAGAGUUUGUUAGAACUAUAAGAAGUCUCAGUUACUGUUGCUCAAAAAUCAAGAUAAAAUUGUUUUUCUUUUGUUGCAAUUCCUUUCAAUUUGUCUUACAAAUCCAAUCCCCCCUCCCCCCAAAGGUUUCAUAGAAAAAAAAAAGGGAAUUGCAAGAUUUAUAAUGGUGGUUAAGAGUACAGAUACUCAUGCAUGUUGCAGCUUUAACGUUUCCAUUAGUUGUACAUGCUAAAUAGUGCAUACUGCCAUCUACAAAAUGUUUUUGUGCAUAGAUUUUCAUAAAUUUGUAUAAAUGGUUUAACAAAUAGAUAAGUAAAACUACAUAAUCACUUUUUAAAGAUAAAAGUCGUGUACUUUUAUCUUCGAUUAUGUAGUUCGAUUUCAUGAUGCAUAACUAAAGUUAGUAGUGUUAAACUAUUUACAUCCGUAUGUUGGUUGCCUAAUGAUCAUAUCUAUAUUUUUCUCCAAAAUCGAACCUCAUUUGAUAGACCUCUCAAAAUAAAUUUCUUACUUCAGGUAAAGGAAACUGUUAUCGAUUUUACCGUGCCUCAUAUGUUGGACGAUUUGAAGAGCUAGGAAUCUGUCUUUAUGAACCAAAGUUUCUGCCAUAAAGGUUGCAUACAUUGAAUAACAUCAAUGGGAUUAUUUUCACACAAAGGGAAGUCCGGAUACCAGUUCCAAUUUCAUUGCAAUGUUUCCAGGCCUCUCGCUAUAAACUAAAAAGCAUUAGGAAUAUCUGCACAAAUUUCUUUUUGCAAUAAUUCCUCUAAUUCUGAUAUUCUUUUUUGUAUUUUAAUUUCUUUUAGUUGUUCUUCAAUUUUUAAAUAAGAUUUUUCUUCUUUAAUAUAGCUUAUAUGUUGUUGUACUUUAGUAAUGGUAUUUAUUGUUUUAUAAAUAGAGGAUGUCUGUAAUGUUUGUAAUUCUCUUUGUUUUAUUGGAGUUAGAAAUUUAAAAGUAAUAGUCUUUCCCAUUAUAUUUAUCGAAAUUCCUUCAUGACUUACUAAAAAUGGAUAAAUUUGAAUUAAAAAAGGUGUUCCUAAUACUAUAUCAUGAUUUAUAUUUUUUACAAUUAUGAAAUUAUGUUUAAUACAAUAUUCAUUAUUACAUAUUGAUCCUUUUGUAAAUUUAUAUUUUACCUGUAAAUUUUCUCCAUUUGCUGCCAUUAAUGUUUCUUUUGUCCUUUCACAAUAUUUGGUAGGAAUUAUUCCUUCUUUAAUACAACUUAAUUGCAUCAGCUCCACUAUCUAUUAGAGCUACAAAUGUGUCUUUGAAAUCUUCUACUGUAAUAGUUACUAAAGCAAACCAUUUUUGAAAUGUCAUUUUCUCUAUAGUAUUUAGAUAUUGAACUUCAUUUACUGGUUUUUUUGAUAUUACUAUUUCUUCUGUCUUAGAAUUAGACGUUGAGGGUUGAUUUUCCAUUAAUGCUAUUCUUGCUUCUAUUUCUAAAUCUUUUGUUUUUAAUUCUAUAAUUUCUUGUUGUAAUUGUUUUACUUGUAUUUUUAGAUUAUUAAUUUCUGAUUGAAGAUCUUUAGUAGUUUCUUUUUUCAUUAUAUUUAUAUUUGGAUAUUUAUCUAUUAAUUUUGAAAUGCUAAAAGGUUCUAUUAUCUUUGGCAUUUUAUCUUCUUGAAUAAUUAAACCUUUUAAUCUUUCUAAAUAUUCUUUUUUAGCUACUGGAUCAUUAAUUUUCUCUAUUAUAUCUAGUAAAAAUUCUUUAUCUUCUUUUUUAGUUAUAACAUUUAUAUACUUAGGAGUAUUAGAACAAUUACAAUUUUCUUCACUUUCUGAACUAGGUAUAUCAGUAUAAAAAUCAUCUUCUGAACUCUCGUCUUUUUCAUUUAUUAAUAGAUUUAUUAAUUUAUUUUUAAUCUCUUCUUCUUCUGCACAGAUCUCAUUGAUUUUUUCUUUUAGAGUACAUCUGUUUGCUUUAUGACAUAUUUUUUCGCAUUUAUAACAAACAAUUUUCUUUUUAAUAAAUUUUCUCUUCCUUUCUGGUUUAUUGUCUUCAGGUCUUUUAUAUUUUGUUUUCUUAUGAAUAUUAUAUUUUUUAAUUUUCUUUUUAUAUGCAGAUGGUGAUUUUAUUUUUUUUAAUUCCGAAUGCAUCACAAAAUGAACCUACUUCUUUUGUUUUUGAACCAUAUUUUAUUUGAAGUCUUAAUUCUGAACAUAACAUUAAUCCUUCCUGUUUUACAAAAGCAAAUAAUUGUCCAAAAGUAAUAUUUUCAAAUGAAAUAACAUCUGUUCCCAUUUCUUUUUGUAAACUAUCCAUUAUUCGUUGUGAAAAUAAACUUGGUAAUCCUGUUAUGAAUCUUUCUUUCCAAAAUGAAGCAUUACAGUCUGGUCUUCUUAGUACAUUAGUUAAAAACAUAUCUUUAUACCAUCUAAAGUCUGAUAAUGUUGGACAUCUUAAAUUUGUUAAAAAUAUUUUAUUAGAAUUUAAUUCUUCUUUUGGAUUUCCUAUAAAAUACAUUACUAUGGUUACAAUUAAAAAUUCUGCAGCAUCUGACUGUAUUUGAAUAUUUCCUUGAUCAUCUUCAAUUUCUUGUGUAUGAUCUAAUAUUGAUAAUUUAUCUUGAAGUGUUAAAGUAUUAUCCCACCAAUUUUUUAAUUGUCUAGUAAAUCCUGAAACUAAUAAUGUUGCAAUAUUUCGUUCUUGAAUAUUUUUAAUUUUAUAAGCUAAUCUGGCCAUUCCCAUUUCUUGCAAAUUAUUUAAUACUUCAUAUUCUGCUUUUCCAUCUAUAUUCCAUUCGUAAAUUGAAUCUCCAUCAUAUUUAGUAGUACGAAAUUUUGAUCUUUCUUCAUAUUGAAUGUCUGGAGGACUAGGUCUUGGAUAAUAAUUUCUAGAACUUAUUAUUUUCCAAUCUUUAUUAUAAACUUUUUUCCUUCUGAUUUUAUUUAUUUGAUUAUCUUCGUCUUUUUCAAAUUGAUUUUCUAAUGGUAAGAUCAUAUCUUCUUCAUUUUCUGAAUUUAUUGAUUUUUCUGUAGAAUUUUCGUCUGAAUUUUCGUCUUCUAUUAUUUUUUCUAAUGUGUUUAUCUUUAGAGUUUGGGGUGUAGUUAAAUUUUGUAAUGAUUGAGAUAUUCUAUUUAGUAUAUUAUCUGUACUAUUUGUUUUUUGAUUGUUAAUAUUUUGGAUUAAUUCUUGUUCUUUUUCUCUUGUCAAACUUCUAUGUUGAAAAUGAGGUGCUGAGAUAUCAUUAGGAAAUUUAGAUUCUGGUUUCUUUAAUGUAUCUAUUUUCGUAUUUAAUACUUCCAUAUGUUGAGAAAUUGUAUGAAGAAUUUGAUUUGUAUAAUUAUUUUGUUGAUAAAUUUUUUUAAUAUCUUCUAAAUUUGUAGUGUUAUUUGUACUGGAUUCAGCUUCUCUACCCUUUUUAAAAGGUGAUGCUAUUAUAUCUCCUUGUUCUAUAUUUCUCUUAAACUUUUCAUAUUUGGUGGCUUAAUUUUUCGUUGUUGAUGAUUAGCAGGCUUCCUACCAUUAUGACAUGCCCACACCAACUGGGCAUGCCUAAGGAAGGCAAUUUUCGUCUGCGGGUAGAAAACUCUUUAAUAGUUAGACGUGCCCACGCCAGGUGGUCACGCCUAAGGCAUGAAUUUUCGUCGUUUCGGCAAAAGACUAGGCAUUGGUUGGGCGUACCCACGUCAUGUGGUCACGCUUAAGGAAUUUAAUUUUCGAAGGUUAGUCAGAAGACUCGAGGGCAGUUAGGCGUGCCCACGUCUAAUGCAGCGGUUUAAAAAAAGGGGAUAAAAGACAAAAUUGCCCUUUCUUACUUUCUAUCAAUUAAACAACGGUUGCCUUAUUCUUUUCCUUCUUCUCUUUUUCUUUCUUUUUCUUUCUUUUCUCCCUCCAUUUUUCUUCCUUUCCUACUGCCACUGCUAUCUUUCCCUCUCUCCGCGGAUGUACGCGGCUGCCAAUCACAGCUCACGCACCAUCGCCGCUGCUUGCGCCGUUUUUGCUCAUCACCAUCGCUACCACACCAUUAGCCACCACCCAUGACCAUCUUUGUUUCCGCUAUCUAUUGGCAUCUCUGAUUUUGGUUUGGGGGUAGUAGAGGUCCACCAUAUUGGCUUUACACCACCAUUCCCACCUAUGCCAUAGCUACUCAAGACCCUCCAUUACGUGCUCAGGAAAGUUUCGUUGUCCCUUUUGUUUCGUAUUCUAUUUUUUAUUUCUUACAUUAGAGACAAUGUAAGAUUUAGGUGUGGGGGGAGUAGUAUAUUGAUAGUAUAUUGAAAAAGUGCAAGUGUACGUAUUUUUGUUGAAAUUUUUUGUUUGGCUUUGUCGAAUUUUAUCCAAUUUUUGCCAUGUCUUGUGUAUUUUUUGUGGUUGUUCCUGAUAAACGAUGGUUAGAUAUUUCAAAUUUUUUUAUUUACUAAGAUUUUAUAUUCUAAGAUGUUAAGUAUGACAUGGUUAAGUUUAAAGGUAUCUCUUUGGUGAAUAUUUGAGAUUUUGUGACUUUUGCACUUUUUGGUUAACUUCUCUAAAUAUUGUAAAUAUUUGUCCAGCAUUUUUUUAUGUAAAUUAGUUCAACUAUUAAUCUUAGUUCUCCGUGUUUAAGAAAUGAAGUGGGUUUGUGUGAUUUCUAAUUAUAAUUUGGUGCUCAUUAUGAAUAGUAUUCGGCUAUACUUCGCUAGUAUCGCUACCUAGUAACCGGAGGUCUUCACCACAAGUGUCGAUUUUCACGUCAAAAGUGGUGAUAGCUAUGAGUAUUGACGUGCGCAUGGUAUACAUAUAACAUUAACUUCAUCCUAAUCAAGUUUUACAUUUAUAAACUCCUAAAUACCCCACAUGCUAUUUAUCGCAAGUAUACGAAUCGUGAGCGAGUAUAGGGUAUUAAGGGUAGAUUGUGGCGACCCCACUUCCCUCUAAGGCGAACCAGAGGGUUGGCGGGCCGUCUGCCCAGCUCUCGCCAGGACUCACUCAAGCACACUAACCCAAAUCCUCCGAAGAAUAACCUAAACUAUUACAAUAUCGCUUCCCUCCAAAAUGGUCAAUAACUAAACCACAUUAACUUCAGAGAUAACAGUAAAUUAAAAUAGCCAGUCGACGGCUCCUAAACAUCCCACACGUUACAACCAGGGAAUAAGGUCGUACAAUUCGGAUAUACAAUUUCAUACACCCCAAUUACAAACAUACAAGCCAAAUAUUCGGGGUAGGGUUUACACAUUUUCCAGCUUCAAGUGGCAAUCCAAAACCAAAAGUACGUUAUUUAAAUUGAAGCACGAUACAACCCACAAAAGAAACCACAAUAUUCAUUUACAUCCCAAAAAGAAACAUAGAUAAGUUUCAAGACUUUCAAUGGCCAGAACCUGUCAAGGAAAACAAAUAAACAUGGGGUGAGCUAAACCUCAGUGGUGCCCCAAAACAUGCAACUAAAUAAAACAACUAACACGUAUUGAUUUCAACUGAAGUAAACAACUAGGAAAGCGCAUAACAGUACAAAGUAGGAUACGCGGGCUCUCAGGAGCCAUUUUCCGCGCUUGAUCAAAAUUUACCGUAGUUGACCCUCCGUCAACUCUCACUACUUACGGUCCAUGUAGAAUUUCUUAUUUUAUUUAACUCCGGCCACCGAUCAUACCCCAGCUCCGGGCCCGCACGACAAAAUAAAUGAGAGCGGUAGUACUCGAGUAUACCCCCUGGAUAAACUAGUCGAGAAAUUCAUCCAACAACGUCACGAAAUAAGAAAGCAGUAAUACUCGAGUAUACCCUUUGGAUAACUAGUCGAGAGAUUCACCCAACGACGUCACGAAAUAAGAAAGCAGUAAUACUCGAGUAUACCCUUUGGAUAACUAGUCGAGGGAUUCACCCAACGACAUCACGACACUUGAGGUAUUCACAAAAAUAUUUCACACAAGUCACCACUCGAAAGGCUAGUGUGAUAAAGUACACACUGCUCAUUUCGAUGGAUCAGCAACCAUUUUCCAAUUAUCACAUAUCGAGUCACGAAAGCACUUUAACCAAAUAAGCAUAAAACAAGCAGGGACACUCACCAAGAGUGGAGUUACUGAUCAAGCUGGGAAUCAAAGUCUGCGUCCUCGCUAAACCCCAAAAUACCAAAUUUUAAAACUAUAAGCUGGCUAUACUAGUUCUAGGAUUACGUAGGAAAAAUUAUUUAUAGUAUAACUAGUUUAUUUUCUUGGAAUAAGUCAACAAACUAUGUAGUAUUAAAACUAGUAAAAUACUUUGUAAAGUUUCCUUAAUAUUACUUUUCUUGUAAAAGUGUCACUAGAACUAAUUUACAUGAAAUAAUGUUUCUGGUCGAACAAGCUUUCUACGCUUUUAGCUAAAGUUAGCAAGGAUUCACAUUUUGUAACUUUUCCUAUAGACAGCUAGCCAUGGGCAAAUCUUAAAGAAAGGAAAGGAAUUAAAACAAGACUUAGGGUUUUAAAAACUAGAAAAAUUAUUUUCUAUAACUAUUAGGGCUAGUUUAAGCUAAAGGAAAAUUGUCGGUUUGGCAAAAUUUAGGCAAAAUACUAAAUACUGGAUUUUAUCGUUUAAUACUAGCGUAAAAAUAUUUUUGAUUGGCUUGAUCAAAAUAGCUCGAGAUCACAGGGUCGAAACGACUUUCACAAUUUCGAUUCCACUUCGAAAUCACAUUAUAACUCAGGUUUGCCAACACAUCAGAAUCACAUUUCAAUAGCAAGUCACUAGGGCUUCGUCAAUCAUUAGCCCUAGGUUUCAAUAGAUUCAUUUCUGAUCAAGAAUAAAAUAAAUGACCAAGGUUUCGUCAAUCAUUAGCACUUGGUUUUGGCAAGCUCAUAUCACAUCUUAACUAAAUCAAAAUGAAUGUAAGGCCUCCAAGCACUUCCAGCAAUUAAAUUUCAUCACCCUUUAAUACUUAUAAAAUCAUUCAAAUGGCCAAGGGCUUCAUCAAUCAUUAGCCCUUAGCAUCCAGCAAUUAGUUCUUAAAGCAGUAAAGCUAACAUUUCACAAUAGUCAAAUUCCAAAAGUAUCCAUUCCAAUACCGAUAAUUUCAUCACAACAUUUCAGUCAUAAUAAAAUCAAAUUGUCUCUCCAAAAUGCACAUUCAAGACCCUCUUAAUAUAGCUUAAUGUGAAAUCAAUGAACAUAGGAUAUUUAACAGCUCGAAACAGCAUUUUUAGAACUAAAAUUCGCCAAAAGAAAUCUAGAAAAUUCCUUUACUGUCUCUAUCAACUCGCUUGAAAAUUUUCCAGGUCUACCCUUCAACAUUUUUUAUUAAAUCCUCCAAAAUAUCAAAUGUUUCAUAGCUAAACAACUUGCACAGCUUAAAAUACACAUUUUUCAUGCAUUUCAAAACCAUUAUACUCCAAGGAAAAAUUCCAGAAACCAAUUAAAAUUUCCAGUUCACCCUUCUCGGAUUUCACAACAUUUUCCAGCACCUCAUUAAUCUUAGAUCAAAAUUUUCAUCGACUAAAUCAGUGUUUCAAGUACUCAAAUUUGUCAUGCAAAAACUUAUCUAGCUAAUUAACAUUCCCAGCUCGAGAUUAAAUUCAAAUAACAGCUUAACAACUUUAAAUGCAACAAUUUGGAAUCCAAAAUUUGCACAAGAGAUCUGAAAAAAAAUUCUUUUUUUUUCCCUCGGCUAAGCUGAGAAAUUCCAGCACUUUGCUCCAACAUUUUUGGUUCAAUUCAACCCACAACUCAAGUGUUUCAUAUCUGUACAUCUUAUAAGACUUUAAACAACGUAUUUCAUGCAUUUCCAAGCAUUAUGCUCCAAAGAAAAAUUUCUUAAGCAAGCUGAAAUUCCAACUCAGCUCUCGGCUAUCACCAAAAAUUUCCAGCAGUUAAUGGUUCAUAAAAAUCAAAAUUUUUCCUCCGCUGAUUCAUUGUUUAAGUAUCCAAACUAACAUGCAAGGUUACUUAAGGAAGUUACUAUCAUUUCCGGUUUAAAACAAGUUCAGACAGCAACCACAAACCUUCACAAAUCCAGAAAUUCAUGCGGCUCUUCUCGGAUGGCUUACAUGCAGCAGGGUUUUCUUUGUACAUUUUUAUUUCUUGUUUAACCGAGCUAAUGAGCUACAUGCAAAGCUUAAUCAUCUAGUCUUAAGUUAGAUAAACACAGUCGUAAGCUCAGAUUACUUCAAAUAGACAAGAUUAGAGCUGCACUUUCUAAUCAACUCUCGGCAGAAACAUUUUCUUCCAAAAUCAGAUUUUCCUCUUAUUCAAUUCAUCAUCCGAACGCCUAACCUUCACAUGCAUGGCCAUAAACAAUUUAAUCUACCUCUGAUCAACACAUCUCAGCCCAGAAAAUUACCUCAGACCGAAGCUCACUCACACGACAGAGAAACUGAAAUUUUCUCUCCUCUCGGCUCGCUUGAGGCUGGAUGGUUGGUCCUGGUGAUGUUGCAGCUGCGGGGUGUUGAGGUGGAUGGUGUAGUUGGAGGUGGAUUGAAGCUGGUUGAAGGUGCGACAGGGAAUGAAGCUCAUGCAGUGCUGCUCUCCUUUCUUCUCCCUAGCUCACGGACAAAGCAGGAAAAGAAUUGCAGCUCGCGGUUUCUUUCCUUGCUCUCGGUUGUAUGGGGCAGCUCGGCCUCUCACUCUCUCUCAGUCGAUACUCACGAGGUGGAGUUGAGGUGGUGCGAAGUGGAGGUGCGAAGUGGAGGUGAAAUGGAGUGGAGAUGGGUGCUGAAAUGAAGGUGAUUCGCGGAUGGAGGAGGUUGAGUGUUUGAGGGGAGAAAGGAAAUGUGAUCCAGCAGAAUUGAAAUGUUUGGAGUUGAAAGCUGGCCAAUGCAGCUCGGAUGAUUGCAUAGGGAAUUUCCGAAAUUGUGAAGGCCAUUUUGGUCUUUUCACAUUCCCUCCAAAUAUCCACUUACGUCCUUGAUUCCAACCAAGUUCCAAAUUUAUCCCAAAUGAAAUUUGAAUACCUACUAGAAUACUAAUCUCGCAAAAUUCAAUUAUCAAAAUUUUAACAUCCUAAGUGUACCCAAUGUACUUGUAACGUUUUCUCAAAAGUAUAUCGAUUCAUCUUAAUUCUAAGGUUCCUAUUAACACUUAACACUUUUAAUGGUUAAAGCUAGUUAUCGGAAUUCAAAGAAAUUAAUUGAUAAAUCGAUAAAAUAAUUUUACCUUCUAAAUAUGAAUUUAAUGAACAAAACUAAGAAAUUUAAUAGUUUAGCACAAUUCUUUUAUUUUGCGCAUAAAAUUUAUUUCUACGCACUUAUUGGGAAACAAGUGAAAGUGAUGCUAGAAAUUAUUAAGUAAUAAAAGAAAUGCAAAUGAAAUAUGCACUGGCUUAUAUAUAUAUAUUUUUUUUCAGGGUUCUCAUUCAUAAGCUAAUUCCAAAAUUUUUACUUCAAAUGAAAUUUGUUAGCCUACUAGUAUUUUAUUCUUGCAAAAGUUCAAUUAUCGAGAUUUUAAUGUUCUGAAUGUAAUUGUAAAGGAUUUCCGCUAACACUUAAUAUUAUUAACGCUUAGACUUGGCUAUCGGAACUCAAAGAAUUAUCCUCAAGGCAUUAAAAUAAUUUACGCCAAAAAGUAUUAAUUUAUAAUGGCAAGAAUCAAAUAAUUUAAAUAUUUUGCACAAUUAACCUGUUUGUAACAUAAAACUACUUUUACGUACUUAUUUAAAAACAAAUAGGAAUAGGGGUAGGAUUUAUUUAAGAAUCAAUAUGCAGUUGGAAUAUACCUAGGUGAAUAUAUAUAUAUGUAAGCAUUUUUUCGAGGUUCUCACAUCGAUCCCACAAGGAAGAUUGCAAUUAUCGGUACUACUAAAGUUUCUCUAUUAUUUAGACUAUCAAUAAAUUAUAACAAAUUAAACCUACUGAAAUUAUACAAAAUAACAAAUGAAAAUUCCUUAGGUUGUGGUAUCCCUAACUACUCAUGCAAGUGCUAUAAUUGGAUCAUUGAAUACUACUAUCUAGUCUAGUUAUGGUGUAAUUUCCUUAAACAUGUGAAACCUACUUUCGUAGUGAACCAACUAUACUCAUAACUAAUGCAUACCUAUUCUCAUGGUUAUGAAAUUAGCUACAAGUUCAUUUCUUCAGUGAAAUUACAUGAAAUGAAUCACUUAAAACCACAUAGGUGCACCCUCUAUUUUCGUGAGUGUACUUCCUAUACUUAGCACUUCUUGAACCAGUGUUAAAUCUCAAUUUUUAUUGCAGAAACAACACCUUAGAUAAUCACAACUAAUGGUACCAGAUUAAUCAUGAUUUAAAGAGCCAAAAUACUAAAUAACUUGCUCAAAUCAUAGCAAUCAAAUAACCAAAUAAUAAACACUAAAAAUCAUAGAAAGUUCAACUAAACUCAAGGCAUAAAAUUUAGAAACACAUAUUAAAUACAAAAUCCAAAACUUGUAUAUUAACUAAACUUAGAAUCAAAAACAAAAGAUAAAGAGUUGGAAAGAAAGGUAACCCUUGUCACAUGAGCUCUUCCGUUACCUUCUUCAUCUCCAUCUUCAUCUUUGCCUAGCUAAUAAACAAAUAGGAUUAACUAUACUAGCUAAACUAACCUACACUAAGAAGAUGAAAGAACUACAUUUUUGCAGACCAAGUUUCUCCCGUAUCUCUCUCUUCUUGGAUCCCCUCAAUCUUGCAAGUCUUGGCUAUUUUAUGAUGAAAGUUAGUCAAGAAUUGAGGUUUACACCUCCCUUUUACAGCUUGGAAUGUUUCUCACAUGUCUGGCAUUGCAUGUGACUUAAUGGAGGUGAAAUUGAGUUUUCGCAUGAAGAGCAGCCUUCUCUGACCACAAUCCGACCAGAAAUUAGGCCGGAUUGCUACAGUGACCUUUUGGUCAUUUUCUGCUCAAUUUCCAGCUCUGCUCUGAUUUUGACUCAAUUUCAACUGCAUUUUUAUUGAUGAUAAAAGCUGAUUUAGCUCUUUGACCAAAACAUAAAACUUGUAGCUCUUUGAAUUAUCUUUCCAAUGCAUCAAGAAUCACCUCAUUUGGAUUUGUGUAGGCUGAGAAAUGAUCGAAAUACCCUUGCCUAUUCACUACCCUAUUUCAGCUUCGACCAUAGAAAAUUAACCACUGUACUUCAGCUUUUUUACCUAGACAACCUUCAAACUGGAUUCAGAUGCCUUCACCAAAGUUGUAGAUCUAUCUCUUAUUUUCAAAUUGGUUUAAAAAUCAUCUCACUCCGAUCACUGUAGCUCAAGUUAUAGACGAAAUACGAAAAUGUGUCAAAACUGUCAAAAUACACAAAAUCCAAGUAAAAAGUGAUAAAAACCUCAUUUAACUACUUAAAACCAUUUUUCACUAAUUAUAGCCAAAAUGAUUCAUUUUCUUCCAAUAAUAUACCCAAAGUGACUAAAAAUAAUAUAAAAUGUCAUACAAUUAUUACGUAAAUUAGUCACUUAUCAAACUCCCCCACACUUAAAUCAUUGCUUGUCCUCAAGUAAUCCACACAUAAUCAACCACAAUGAUUCAAAAGGUAAAACAAUAUAUGCACUUUUGUUAAAUUUAAUUUCUCAAGAUUUGGAAAACAAUCAUUAUACAAUUGUUCAAAUUACACUAAAUACUCAUAAUAUCAAGUAAAGAAAAGAUAAUUAUAUCUUAAUUCAACAAGUUAAACUUAAUCUCUUACCCCAACCUAAUUUCACAAAUAAGCAAAUCACAUAGUCAAUUUGUAACAUUCCUCCUCCUAUAAUCAUCUUUUUCUCAAAAUUUUACAACUAAGAGGGAUUUAUUCAUACUAAUUUUACUUAAAUGGUGAGAAUGCCUUUUUACGCGAAAAUCGAUACUUUUAGGUGAAGAUCCCCGGUUACUUAACAUUUUACCUAUUCAAGUUGCUAUGCAUACUCUUAAUUCAAGUACCUUUUUACGCAAAAAUCGACAUUUGUAGAUGCCAACCCCCGGUUACUCAGUACAAAAAUCAUUGAGUAGAAUAAUUUUUACUUUCUUUUCUUCUCCCUUUUUUUUCUUCUUUUUUUCUUUUUUUUAGAAAUAAAGGACAAUAAAUAGAUAUUCCCUCUUAGAAAAUAUAUAAAAAUAAUCAAAGGAGGAGUAUAACCUUUUAUCAACUAUAUCAAUCACUUACUUAUAAAAUUAAGUAAAGAGAAGAAAUCUCAUUAAACAUGUAAAAUUAUAGGCAUAAUUUUCCUCACUUUAUCCAAUAUACUUUCUAAAAUGCAAAAAUUCUAAUUGCAUAAUAACCAUUUCCAAGUUAAAUGAGGACUAAAUCUUCCAAAAUACACAUAAAGUUUCAACAAUUGGAAGAAUUAAACACUUAAAGUUGGAACAAAUUAGCUCUUUUUGAAUGAAAAUGCAAAAAUUUGAAGACCUUUUGGGCUAUAGUGAAAUAUUGGAAAAGAUUUUAGAAAAAUUUUUACAGAGUUUCUCCUUAUAAAUGGAUGAAAACUCCCUGCCAACAAAUCCAAUUUCAGGCAAAUUAUCCACAUGGCAAAUAAUUCAAACACAAUUCCAAUAUUUCUAAGCAUUUAAAUCCACAAAAUAUCAUCACAUAGCAUUAGAAUGCAAGUUCAAAUAUUUCCCUCCCCCACACUUAAACUUCACAUUGUCCUCAAUAUGAGAAAAGGAAAAUAAAUAAAGAGUAAAAGAAAAUACUCCCCUUAUGACUUACGCGAUCCAAAUCCAUGUCAAUGUGAUGAAUUUUCAACUGUAUUUGAGAAAGAAUGGAGAGUUCACUUAUUGCACCCUAAAAAAGACAAAAUCAAAACAAAUAAAUUUCUUAAAAAUAAAAGGUUGCAAUCAACAAAAACAUGCAAGUCAAGGAAAAAGGAAAAAUGAUCAAGCAUCUGGAACCAAACAAUGUUCAUGGGAUGAAAACAUGAAAUAAGCUAAUCUUUGCUAAUCAAAUAUAUGCAUUAGUAUCCAAAACAAAGGGAAGCUAAUUUCACACGAAAAAUCCACAAUCAUGAACAAAAUAAGUUCCAUUAAUACAUUUUGUCAUCAGUGAUCAAAUCCCCUCAAGUACACAAAUAAUCUCAAAAUGGAGGCAAACACACCAAAUCAAAAUAUAAAUGACCUUCGUGAGAAUUCAUGAAAUACUAAAAACUAUUGAACCACAAAAAUUGUAAGUGCAUUUAUGAAUUUCAUCAAUUAAGGCCAUCUUUAAUUCAUCUCUUCUUUUAGAAUUACCUAAGAAUUCAAGAAAUCAUUCAAUCAAGCACCUUUUCAUUCAUUAGGUAAUCUAAAUUACUCACAUGAAUAUCAAAAACUCCCACUAAGCUAAUUAAAAUGCUAUAUUGGCUACUUAAUAUGCAACUUUGUUACUAAGCCAAAUUAAGCAUAAAACUAGCAAGAAUUCACCAAAUAAAUACAAUAAAUGCAAAUCAAAAAAUAUAUUUAUCACUAACAAUCACCAAUAGCAGCAAUAAUCUCAAAUAAAUACACCUAACUUCACAUAUAAAAAUUGCCUAAAAAUAGAAAAUAUUCAAUCAUGGCAAAAUUCAAAUAACAAAGUUAGGUGAAGAAUUGUUAUCUCAAAUUGGUUUGGUGAUGUUAAGUGAUGAAUAUGAUGUGAAAACCCUCAAGAAACUUACUCCAAUUUGACCUCAAUUGAGUGAUUUCAAGAAGGUAGAACACUAACUAAUGGUAAGAUUGAAACCACUUUAGAGUUGUUUUUGAAAGAAUAUGAACUAUGAAAUUCACUCUAAAAGAUGGGAGGAAGUGAUUUGGUGAAGGUUAUUUGAAGAUUAAAUGGUGAAAAAGUGGUAUUUUAGUGAGUAGUGUGUGUUUUAGGUGUUAGUGUGUGAGUUAGGUCGAAGAAAAAGGAGAAAAAUUGUGAGAAAUCCGUGAAACGGAUUCAUCUUACGCUGGUUACUGUUCACAAUCCGGCCAGAAAUUGGAGGGAUUCGAGGAGGGAUUGCUAGAGGGAUUUUGGUCAGAUCUUUUUUUUUUUUUUUACUGUUGCAUAUCCGGCCAGUUUCUGGCCGGAUUGCUACAGUAUGUUUUUUUUUCUUUUUUUUACAAUCCUACCAGUUUUGGCCGGAUUUUCGGCCCGAUUCUGGCCAGAAUGUCCGAAAAAAUUUUUCUUUCUCCCCUGACUAUCCGGCCUUCAAUCCGGCCAAUUUAUGGCCGGAUUUGCUGCAGAAAAAGCUGUUUUCUGUAGUUUUUCCUCCAAAUUUGCUUGGCCAACCUUCCACAUUCAACUUACUUCAUGUUCUUUGAAUAAAAUUCAAAUUUAGCAUGAUCAUGCAUGAAUAUAACUUAAACAUGAAACACUUAAAAUGCAUGAAAUGCAGCAAUUGAACAUGAAAACUCCCUUUUUGUCUCAAUAUAAACACCUUUGCAAUUGAGAUCAUUUGCAUGAACUCUUGACAUUGCCACUUACAAAACACACAAAAAUAUUAAUCGAACAACUUAAACUUACUAAAAAUGAGAAAUCGUUGGGUUGUCUCCCAACAAGCGCUUCUUUAUAGUCAUUAACUUGACUAUAUCACCUCAUUAUCAAAGAGGUUUAGUUAACGAAUAAUCCACCAUUUUAGGCCUUAGUGGAUCAUUAAAUGGUGAUUUUAUAGCAAAAGUCACAUGAUCUAAGAAUGUGAGAUAUGAAAGUGACUUACCUAUGCCAAAUGUUUCAUAGAUAUUACCUUGAAUAUGCACCACUUGAGAAUUUACCAAAGGAAAUAUCAUGAGAGUAUCUUAGGCAGGAAUACCUUUAAAACAUGUACUUUUUAUACACUCCUCAAGAGGGGUGAAAAAUGAGUCAUUAAAACUCAUCUCUUGAGAUUCAAAGUUAGCUCCAAAGAUAUUAUUAUAUGAAAUAGACAUUUCUUCAUUGAAAUACAAGUUAGAAUCAUCAUUUUGAUCAAAAUGCAACCCAUUUUCACAUACAACAUUCCCACCAUUCAUGCUAGGAUCUUUUUGCAAAUUAUUAGAGGAAAUAACUUCACACAAUGCAUUCAAUUGCUCAUGUAUUCCACCAAAGUGAGAAGUUAAUUCAUCUAUUCUUUUCUCAAUCCUAUCAAAACGGUCGGAAGUUGCAUUUGCUAGCUUUUCUAUUACUGAAUCAAAUUGAUUAGAAAAAUUUUCUACAGCUAGCUCCCAAGAUGCAUUAGAAUCAUUAGCUAAUGGUUCAUUCUCUAACUCCCAAGAUAGAGGUGCAUUAGCUAACCUUUCUAUUGCCAACUCUCAAGAUGGUUUAGACUCAUAUUGGACACAUUCAGAUUGGUAAUCAUAAAAAUAAGGAGACUCACUAUACGUACGUUGAUUAUCCCAACCAUAAGCAGGGGAAUUGCUCCAAUUAGCACUAUAUUGAUCAAAACAAGGAUUGUAAUGCUCUAAUUCAUCAUAAUAAUCCACAUGUUGUGCUUGCAUACAAGUAUAAGUAGCAUGAUAACCUCCACACAAGUCACAAAUCACAUGAUUAGAAUUAAAAGCAUUAACAUUCCUCACUUGCUCAAUUUCCUGCAUCAUGGUGUCCAUUUGAACUUGUAACUUAAUUACAUCAAAUUUUGCCUUUAAGCACCUUAAACCAUCUUCAAAAGACAUAUAUUCAGUAAAUUCUUGGUUACCUCUGUUGAAGGAGCUUUGCACUUGGUAACCAUCCAUUACCAAUCUUCCACUUCUCAAGCAUUGUCCUCCCCUGUUUUCUACUCUUCUUGAUCCCCUAAACAUGCUCUCAAAAUAGCUCAAAAACAAGUUUAGCCAAGAAGAAUAGAUGACUUUAAAUAUACAAAAACAAAACACUAAACAUAAAAGACUCAACAAGACUCAAAACAAACAAGACACUUAACCAACAAAAACAAGUGAAUUGUCUAAAUUAAUAAAGUAGCUCUUCACACCGAUAUUGCCAAAUCUUCUCCGGCAACGGCACCAAAAAACUUGAUGUGUGCAAGGUAUACAAAUAACAUUAACCUCAUCCUAAUCAAGUUUUACAUUUAUAAACUCCUAAAUACCCCACAUGCGAUUUAUCGCAAGUAUACGAAUCGUGAGCGAGUAUAGGGUAUUAAAAGUCGAUCCCACAAGGAAGAUUGCAAUUACCGAUACUACUAAAGCUUUUCUAUUAUUUAGACUAUCAAUGUGAAGAUUGUGAAAAUUGUGAAGAAUUGUGAAGAUUGGGAAGAUUGCUUUGGUCAUUUGUUUUAUUUUUGAUCAGCAAUGAAUCUGUUGAAACCUAGGGCUAAUGAUCGACGAAACCCUAGUGAUAUUGCCGUUUGAAAUGUGAUUUUGCUAUAUUGGUAAAUCUGAGAUAUAAUGUGCUUGUGAAUCGGAAUCUGAAAAGUUCGUUUGGACCCUGUGAACUUGAGUAUUUUCAAAUCGGGCCACAUGAAUAUAUUUUACUCUAUGUAUUAAAUUACAAAAAUUCGUCUUGUACGAUCACGUGAGAAAUUCGAGAUUUGAAAUACAUUGUCAACUAGUUAUCUCUUUUCCUAGCUUAAAUCGGCUUUAUUAUUUUUGGAAAAUGAUUUCAUUUGUUUUUAAAACCCUAGGUAUUAUUUUAUUUUCUUUUCUUUCCUUAAAAUUUGUCCCUGGCUAGUUGUUUUUGAGAAAUUUAUUACAAACGCGAGAUUUUAAUAGUUUUAAAUAAAAGGUGUAGAAAACUUGUUCGGCAAGAAAACUCACUUGACAUAAAUAAGUUCUAUUUGCACCUCUAGAAAGAAAAGUAUUUCUCUUAAAAGAAAUCAUACGGAAUGCUUUAUCACUCUUACUAGUUUUAAUUUCAAAAGAACGGUUAAGGUACUUCAAGAAAAUAAUCUAGUUAUACAACUCGAUAAUUUUAUAUAUUGUAUAGUAAAACUUAUAGUUUUAAAAACCUGGUUUUCUAGGGUAUAGCGAGGACGUGAAAUUUUGAAUCCCAACUUGACCUUUGAACUUCACUCUUGGUGAGUGUCCCUGCUUGUUCUAUGCCUACUUGAUUAAAGUGCUUUUCUUGACUUGAUAUGUGAAAACUGGAAAAUGGUUUCUGAUCCAUCGAAGUGAGCAGUGUGUACUUUAUCACACUAGCCUUUCGAGUGGUGACUUGUGUGAAAUGUUUUCGUGAACAUCCUGCUUGCACUUGCUAAGCACUGAGUAGGGGAAUGUACCACACCUGAGGGUGGGAGGGCCUCUUAUCCUAUCUCAUGUGUUAAGUACUGAGUAGGGGAAUGUACCACACCUGAGGGUGGGAGGGCCUCUUAUCCUAUCUCAAAUACUAAAUCACUAGGCAGGGGAAUGUACCACACCUUAAGGGUGGGAGGGCCUCUUAUCCUGACCUAGUAACCACGUGUUGGACGUGACGUCGUUGGGUGAAUCCCUCAACUAGUUUAUCCAGGGGGUAUACUCGAGUACUACCGCUCUCAUUCAUUUUGUCGUGCGGGCCCGGAGCUGGGGUAUGUCUGGUGGCCGGAGUUAAGUAAAAUAAGAAAUUCUACAUGGACCAUAAGUAGUGAGAGUUGACGGAGGGUCAACUACGGUAAAUGUUGAUCAAGCGCGGAACAUGGCUCUUGAGAGCCCCUGUAUCCUACCUUGGGUUGUUAUCGGCUUUCUUACUUGGUUACUUUAGUCCAUAUUAAUUCUUGCUGUUUAUUUGUUUAGAUGCAUGUUUUGGGGCACCACUGAGCUUUAGCUCACCCCACGUUUAUUUGUUUUCCUUGACAGGCUUUGAAGCUUGAGAAAUCUGAACUGAGUUGGUUUCUUUUAAAUUGUACUUGAACUUUACGACUUCAACUUACAGCUUGUAAUGUAUUCUGAAUUGAACUAUGUAGUUGUUACUUUGGAUUGCCACUUGAAGCUGGAAAAUGGGUAAACUCUGAUUCGGAUAUUUGGCUUGUAUUUUUGUAAUUGUGGUGUAUGUAUUUAUGUAACCGGAGUUAUACGAUCUUACUCCUCGGAUUUAGUGCGUGAGAUGUUUAGGUGCCGUCGUCUGGUUGUUUUAAUUUACUGUUAUCCCUGAAGUUAAUGUAGUUUGGUUGUUGAUCAUUUUAGAGAGAAGCGUUAUUGUAAUAGUUAGGUUAUUAUUCGAAAGGAUUUGGGUUACUGUGCUUGCGUGAGUCCUGACGAGAGUCGGGCAGGCGGCCCGCCAACCCUCUGGUUCGCCUUAGGGGGAAGUGGGGUCGCCACAGGUGGUAUCAGAGCUCUUAUUGAGCUCGUGCUGGGAGAGGAUUCUCGGACUGUGGGCAUUGGCUUGUUAAGAGUGGAACAAAAGUCUAUAGUUGGGGAAUAUUAGAUAUACAUGUCGGGUAAGAAUCUAUAUUAUGGAUGAGUUACUCUUGGGACCGGCCGGCUCGAGUUGUAAAUUAUCUUAUUGUGGAUUCUUGUGGAGAGCGCGAUAUAAGGGGCUAUAUCUUGAUUAAAUUUACGGUAUGUCUGGAUGACAAAGGCUAGUAAUAGCAAUUGAGAGAGUUCAUAUUAGAAUGUAAGAAAUGAGGAAAACCAUAAGGAUGUGACGUGACAGGAAUUCUAGAGUUAGAAACUAAUAUGAUGAAGGAACUGAAAGAACGAGUGGGGUCUAGUGGGAUCGUCUAGGACUAAACUAAUGAAGGUUAACUUAAAUCUAAACUAAAGGUUGAGCUAUUAGCCAUGUGGUUAUAAUAAUUUGCGUAUUAUUGAAUUGCUUUCUUUCAUGUUUAUAAAGAUCGAAGUUUGAGUUAUGUAUGAAAAUAUUAAAUGUACCAUGAAUUGUUUGGUUUUUAAAGUUGUAUGAACUUUGGCAUGUGAAUAUACGCUUUAUGUGUUUCAUCUUCUUUCUCUUGGUAUUCAUGUUGACGUCAUUUAAUAAUAACAAGUAAAUAAAUAGUAACAUCUUCACUUGAUCACUUUAUUUUUAUCAAUAGGCAUAACUAGGCUAUGGAUCUUCGAGUUAGAGGUAGAGGACGUGGGAGAUCAACUAGGUAACACCCCGAGGGUAGUGGUGAUAGGGAACCUGAGGUCAAUCAAGACCAUGGUCAGGGCAACGUGGCCGGAGAUCCAGUGGCCACCGCAAUCAAUAGAAUCACUGAUGUGUUAGAACGUAUGACUGAGCACCAAGCCCCGGGAGCAGUGCAUUACCAAGGAGGUCCAAUCGAUACUGAGGACCGGGCACUAGAGAGGUUCCUGAAGUUUGGACCACCUAAGUUCUACGGAGGUCCAGAACCUGAGGUAGCUGAAGGUUGGUGGGAGAGGAUCUCUGAUAUUUUCGCCGCUUUAAAUUAUACGGAAGAAAGGCAAGUGACUUUUGCGGCAUUCCAGUUUGAGGGAGUUGCUCGUUCCUGGUGGAACUUGAUUAGGGUUAAUUGGGACAGGAAUCAUACACCCAGGACCUGGGCGAACUUCACAAGGGAGUUCAAUGCCAAGUUUUUACCUCCUCUCAUCCAAGAAAAAAGAGAGGAUGAUUUCAUCAAGUGUAAGCAGGGGGCGAUGAGUGUCGCCGAAUAUGAAAUUCAAUUCAUGAAAUUGUCCCGUUAUGUCUCGGAAUUGGUAGCUACGGAGCAAAGGCGUGUAAGAAGGUUUGUGCAAGGACUGAACGUGGAAAAUCAGGAGGGAUUAGCUGCUGUUCGGAUAGACACAUUUGCUGAUACUAUAGAGAAAGCUCAAAGGGUUGAAGUUGCUAGAGCUCAAGUAAAAACUUUCCAGGCCAAGAAAAGAUUUGCACCUAGCAGCAGUCGGGAGCCGACUUAUGCAAAUGCUCCACCAGCCAAAGUGGGUCGAGGAACGAGUGGAGUAAAUAGUCAUGGAGCACCACGAGGGGCUCUAGCGAGAGGAGCUGGUGCCAGAGGUGCCGGAGAAAGAGAUAAUGGAGCUAACGGAGGACCAAAUGGAAGAGGUCAACCUAGGAACGCCUCGCAAGGAGGUCGUGUGACCACUCCCCAGGCAACUUGUGGGUAUUGUAGGAAAACUGACCAUACUGAAGACGGAUGCUGGAGGAAACAAGGAAAGUGGUUGAGGUGCGGAAGUAACGAGCACCAAAUUGCCGGUUGCCCAAAAAUGCAAGAAGGUGAGAAUUUUGAGAACAAAAUUCAUUUUAGGGAGGGGAGGAUGUGAGAACCCUGAAAAAAUAUAUAUAAAUAUCAGUGCAUAUUUCAUUUGCAUUUCUAAUUCUUUAAUAAACUUUAGCAUUAAAUCUAAUUAUUUUGAAAUAAGUGCGUAGAAAUAAAUUUUAUGUGCAAAAUAAAAGAACUGUGCUAAACUAUUAAAUUUUCUAGUUUUGUUACAUUAAAUUCAUAUUUCGAAGGUAAAUUAUUUCAUUGAUUUAACAAUUAAUUUCUUUGAAUUCUGAUAGCUAAUCUUAAGCGUUAAUAAUGAUUAAGUUAAUAAGUUUUGAUAUAAAAGGAUAAACGAAUAUUAAGAAUGUUAAAUUUAUAUAUUAAGGUCAAACUUGAUUUUAAUAGUUUAAAUAAUAAAGUAAUAAUGUUAAGUGUUAGUAGGAACCUUAGAAUUAAGAUGUAGUAGAUAAAUUGUAGACAAAAUCGAUACAAGUAUACUAAGUAUGUUUAGGACGGAAAAACUUCGAUAAUUAAACUCUCGUAAGAUUAGUAUAUUAUUAGGCAUUCAAAUUAUAUUUGGGGGUAAUUUUGGAUUUGGUUUAGAAUUGAGGGAUUAAGUAGAAAUUCGGGGAAAAUAGGAAAAGACUAAAAUAUCCUCCACUAUUUCAAAAAAAAAAAUUUCCAUGCGAUCCCAAAGUUUGGUCGGCCAACUCUUGAAAACACUAGCAUAUCAUUUUUGCCGAAGUGUAAUCUUUUCUCUCUACAUAUAUACCCAACCUCCACUACCGUAAAGCACUUCACUAUCUUAGCCUCUACCACAACUAUUCCACACCAUCCUUCCUUACCUCGUGAUCAUCGACCAAGUGUGAGAGGGAGAGAGAGAGAGAGCUUCCAUUUCCUUUCUGAUCAGAAGCCGGAACAGGAAAGGAAAUCGCGAGCUGUAGCUUUGCUGCUCUGCCGUGAGAGCCGAGCCUACUUCACUCUCUGACCGUUUCAUUCUUCACCCUUUUCUUCAACCUCAACCAGCUGCGAUCAUCCUCCAUUUCAUCCCACGUGCAAGCUUGAGCAAGAGAAAGUUGGCAGGCUGCAAUUCUGUGCUGAUCGAGAGUGAGCCGAGAAAGAAGAAAAAUUUUGCAGUCUCUUGUUGCGUGAGCUAAGCUUCAAAUUGAGAUAAACUCUGGUCUUAGACUAGUUAAUUAGAGAUAGAUGAGUUUGUUUAAGGGCCUGCAUGUGAUGGUUGAGUACUUAGACGAUGAAACCAAAGGAUAAGAAAUCUGAUUUUUACAGAGAUGGGUUUGGCGAGAGCUUAACCUGGAAAUGCAGUGUUAAAUUUGUUCAUCGGGAGUAACCUGAGCUCAGAAAUGUGUUUAGCUAAUUGAAAACAAGGUGAUUAAGCCGUGCAUGAAGUCAAUCUGCCCAGAUUGUGCUAGAAAAUAAAAACGAAACAGAAAUCUGUUGCAUGCAAGCUCAUCCGAGAGUAGUGAACAAAAAUUCUGGAAUUGGGGGAUGAAUGUUGAGUUGUCCGAACCUGAUUUGGAUUAGAACUGAUAGUAAUUUCAUUAACUAGUCAUGCAUGUUAGUUUUGAACACAUAAUACAAGGUUUUAGCCGAGGGAAAACUUGAAUUAAUGACUGACUAAGUGGGGAAAUUCUGUGAUAGCCGAGGGAGUGGAGAUGGAAUCACAGCUUGUAUCUGGAAUUUCUUUGUUUUCUUUGGAACUCAAUGUUUGGAAAUGCAGGAAUCAUGUUUGUCUUAAGCCUUGUAGGCUAUUUAGCUGUGAAACUCUUAAUAUGUGGUAGACUUGACCGGACAUGUUGAUUUUAGGCUGCUGGAAUUUUUUUUUCCAGAUUAGCCGAGAGAGGAAGGAAAGAAUCUUUCAAUUUUCUUUUGCGAAUUUUGGGUUCUAAAAUUUUGUCAUAAGCUGAAAAUUUUAUGUUAAACUAUCAUAUACACUGAAUCUUAACUUGGUUUGGACAUGCAUGAAUGAUUUGAAUAUGAGUUGUGGAUAAAAAAAAAAAGAGAGAAAAGAAAUCUGAAUUUGCGGCCUUGAAAAGGAAUUGAACAUUUAAUUAGUUUCUUUCGAAUUUUAGCUAAGACCCUUGUAUUGGAUGUUAAGAGUAGGUUAUAGCUGGUUAAUCGGCUUUUGAAUGAUAAGUGUUCAGUGAUUAAAGCAAGCUAAGGAUGGAAACCUUGUUGAAUUUUAUUUUGAAGUAUCUUUGCUAGAAACUCGUACUUGGAUGCUAGCUGUACUAGUUCAAGCUUUUAGCGAGUUUAUUUUCUGGAUUCGUGUAUUGUUCGCUUUGGUUUAAUUUGAGCGGACUAUAAACUAUAUGCUUAGUGAUUCUAGCAAGUAAAAAAAAAAAGGAAGGUAAUGGAUAUUUUGAAUUCCUAGAAUUGUUUGGAACUCAAGUUGGCUGGAUUUUUCUUCUUGUUUUGAAUGGAUUAGUGAUUGAACGUGAUUAAUUAUUGUCAAGAGCUAAUGAUUGAUGAAGCUCUUGACCAUUUGAAUAGUUUUUGCAAGAAUUUAAUUUUAAUAAAUUUGUUCAAAUGGUUGGCUGAAAUGUACUUGGGAGGUCCAUGGUUUGCAUUUUUGAUUGUUUUGAUACCUUGGACUUCCUUUAUUGAAUUUUGUUUAGAAUUGAAUUUUUCUUGAAACUUAGGGCUAAUGAUUGAUGAAGCCCUAGUGGAAUUGAUAUUUGGUUUGUAAUGUUUCUAUAUUGGUGACUUGGAAUCCAUUGUGCAAGUGAGCCAGAAUUGUGAAGAUUGUUUUGGUCAUUUGUUUUAUUUUUGAUCAGCAAUGAAUCUGUUGAAACCUAGGGCUAAUGAUCGACGAAGCCCUAGUGAUAUUGCCGUUUGAAAUGUGAUUUUGCUAUAUUGGUAAAUCUGAGAUAUAAUGUGCUUAUGAAUCGGAAUCUGAAAAGUUCGUUUGGACCCUGUGAACUUGAGUAUUUUCAAAUCGGGCCACAUGAAUAUAUUUUACUCUAUGUAUUAAAUUACAAAAAUUCGUCUUGUACGAUCACGUGAGAAAUUCGGGAUUUGAAAUACAUUGUCAAAUAGUUAUCUCUUUUCCUAGCUUAAAUCGGCUUUAUUAUUUUUGGAAAAUGAUUUCAUUUGUUUUUAAAACCCUAGGUAUUAUUUUAUUUUCUUUUCUUUCCUUAAAAUUUGUCCCUGGCUAGUUGUUUUUGAGAAAUUCAUUACAAAUGCGAGAUUUUAAUAGUUUUAAACAAAAGGCGUAGAAAACUUGUUCGGCAAGAAAACUCACUUGACAUAAAUAAGUUCUAUUUGCACCUCUAGAAAGAAAAGUAUUUCUCUUAAAAGAAAUCAUACGGAAUGCUUUAUCACUCUUACUAGUUUUAAUUUCAAAAGAACGGUUAAGUUACUUCGAGAAAAUAAUCUAGUUAUACAACCCGAUAAUUUUAUAUAUUGUAUAGUAAAACUUAUAGUUUUAAAAACCUGGUUUUCUAGGGUAUAGCGAGGACGUGGAAUUUUGAAUCCCAGCUUGACCUUUGAACUUCACUCUUGGUGAGUGUCCCUGGUUGUUCUAUGCCUACUUGAUUAAAGUGCUUUUCUUGACUUGAUAUGUGAAAACUGGAAAAUGGUUUCUGAUCCAUCGAAGUGAGCAGUGUGUACUUUAUCACACUAGCCUUUCGAGUGGUGACUUGUGUGAAAUGUUUUCGUGAACAUCCUGCUUGCACUUGCUAAGCACUGAGUAGGGGAAUGUACCACACCUGACGGUGAGAAGGCCUCUUAUCCUAUCUCAUGUGUUAAGUACUGAGUAGGGGAAUGUACCACACCUGAGGGUGGGAGGGCCUCUUAUCCUAUCUCAAAUACUAAAUCACUAGGCAGGGGAAUGUACCACACCUUAAGGGUGGGAGGGCCUCUUAUCCUGACCUAGUAACCACGUGUUGGACGUGACGUCGUUGGAUGAAUCCCUCGACUAGUUUAUCCAGGGGGUAUACUCGACUACUACCGCUCUCAUUCAUUUUGUCGUACGGGCCCGGAGCUGGGGUAUGUCUGGUGGUCGGAGUUAAGUAAAAUAAGUAAUUCUACAUGGACCGUAAGUAGUGAGAGUUGACGGAGGGUCAACUACGGUAAAUGUUGAUCAAGCACGGAACUUGGCUCUUGAGAGCCCCUGUAUCCUACCUUGGGUUGUUAUCCGCUUUCCUACUUGGUUACUUUAGUCCAUAUUAAUUCUUGCUGUUUAUUUGUUUAGAUGCAUGUUUUGGGGCACCACUGAGAUUUAGCACACCCCACGUUUAUUUGUUUUCCUUGACAGGCUUUGAAGCUUGAGAAAUCUGAACUGAGUUGGUUUCUUUUAAAUUGUACUUGAACUUUACGACUUCAACUUACAGCUUGUAAUGUAUUCUGAAUUGAACUACGCAGUUGUUACUUUGGAUUGCCACUUGAAGCUGGAAAAUGGGUAAACUCUGAUUCGGAUAUUUGGCUUGUAUGUUUGUAAUUGUGGUGUAUGUAUUUAUGUAAUCGGAGUUAUACGAUCUUACUCCUCGGAUUUAGUGCGUGAGAUGUUUAGGUGCCGUCGUCUGGUUGUUUUACUUUACUGUUAUCCUUGAAGUUAAUGUAGUUUGGUUGUUGAUCGUUUUAGAGAGAAGCGUUAUUGUAAUAGUUAGAUUAUUAUUCGAAAGGAUUUGGGUUAGUGUGCUUGCGUGAGUCCUGGCGAGAAUUGGGUAGACGGCCCGCCAACCCUCUGGUUCCCCUUAGGGGGAAAUGGGGUCGCCACAGUGAAAUUACAUGAAAUGAAUCACUUAAAAUCACAUAGGUGCACCUCACUUUCGUGAGUGUACACCCUAUGCUUAGCACUUCUUGAACCAGUGUUAAAUCUCAAUUUUCACUGCAGAAACAACAUCUUAGAUAAUCACAACUAAUGGUACCAGAUUAAUCAUGAUUUAAAGAACCAAAAUACUAAAUAACUUGCUCAAAUCAUAGCAAUCAAAUAACCAAAUAAUAAACACUAAAAAUCAUAGAAAGUUCAACCAAACCCAAGGCAUAAACUUUAGAAAUACAUAUUAAACACAAAAUCCAGAACUUGUAUAUUAACUAAACUUAGAAUAAAAACAAAAGAUAAAGAGUUGGAAAGAAAGGUAACCCUUGUCACAUGAGCUCUUCCCUUGCCUUUUUCAUCUCCAUCUUCAUCUUUGCCUAACUAAUAAACAAGUAGAAUGAACUAUACUAGCUAAACUAACCUACACUAAGAAGAUGAAAGAACUACAUUUUUGCAGACCAAGUUUCUCCCGUAUCUCUCUCUUCUUGGAUCCCCUCAAUCUUGCAAGUCUUGGUUAUUUUACGAUGAAAGUUAGUCAAGAAUUGAGGUUUACACCUUCCUUUUACAGCUGGGAAUGUUUCUCACAUGUAUGGCAUUGAAUGUGACUUAGUGGAGGUGAAAUUGAGUUUUUCGCGUAAAGAGCAGCCUUCUCUGACCACAAUCUGGCUAGAAAUCCGGCCAGAUUCUUACCGGAUUGCUACAGUGACCUUUUGGUCACUUUCUGCUCAAUUUCCAGCUCUGCUCUAAUUUUGACUCAAUUUUAACUGCAUUUUUCUUGAUGAUAAAAGUUGAUUUAGCUCUGGACCAAAACAUGAAACUUAUAAUCCUUUGCGUUAGCUUUCCAAUGCAUCAAUAAUCACCUCAUUUGGAUUUGUGUAGGCUAAAAAUGACUGAAAUACCCUUGCCUGUUCACUGCCCUGUUUCAGCUUCGACCGUAGAAAAUUAACCACUGUACUUCAGCUUUUUGACCUAGACAACCUUUAAAUGGGAUUCCGAUGUCUUCACCAAAGUUGUAGAUAUCUCUUAUCUUCAAAUUGAUUUAAGAAUUAUCUCAAUCCGAUCUCUGUAACUCAAGUUAUAGCCGAAAUACGAAAAUGUGUCAACUCUUUUUGUUCCCCUUUUCUUAAAUUUCUUUAAUUUUACAUUGCUUGUAGAGUGCAGUAGGUGGAGCUGAAUUAUGGGUUGGACCCAAUCCUGUCCUAAACUUGUUUUCAUGGUGAGACCAGUAUGUUGUGCUACAAAUGUGCAAAAAUGAUCGUAAUUUCUCAAGACGACGUCAAUGUUGAAGGAAUUGGACAGAAAAUUUUCUAAGCGAGCAUUAACCUCGCGGAUUGCUGCGCAUGUUCUUUGGCCCAUUUUUCUCCUCUUAAACAGAAAAGAUUGAGGAUUACAGAAUAGUAGACUUCAUAAGAGUUUAGCGGACUCUAACUUUCUCAAAACGGGAGUCCAUUUUUAACCAUUCAAACACAGUAUGAUCCUUGGUAUAUGAUUUGAACGACCUCAUAAUUGUCUAAUAGUUCCAAAUAAUAUAGACAAUCUGCAGAAACAAAAAA
rnacentral:lncRNA from 1 species